GAGGAGGGGCUGAGGUUUCGCUUCUCGGGAGAAGGGAGCUUCCGAGGAGAAGGUGAAUUGGCGCCCACGAGGUAUGAAUGAGGNNNNNNNNNNNNNNNNNNNNNNNNNNNNNNNNNNNNNNNNNNNNNNNNNNNNNNNNNNNNNNNNNNNNNNNNNNNNNNNNNNNNNNNNNNNNNNNNNNNNNNNNNNNNNNNNNNNNNNNNNNNNNNNNNNNNNNNNNNNNNNNNNNNNNNNNNNNNNNNNNNNNNNNNNNNNNNNNNNNNNNNNNNNNNNNNNNNNNNNNNNNNNNNNNNNNNNNNNNNNNNNNNNNNNNNNNNNNNNNNNNNNNNNNNNNNNNNNNNNNNNNNNNNNNNNNNNNNNNNNNNNNNNNNNNNNNNNNNNNNNNNNNNNNNNNNNNNNNNNNNNNNNNNNNNNNNNNNNNNNNNNNNNNNNNNNNNNNNNNNNNNNNNNNNNNNNNNNNNNNNNNNNNNNNNNNNNNNNNNNNNNNNNNNNNNNNNNNNNNNNNNNNNNNNNNNNNNNNNNNNNNNNNNNNNNNNNNNNNNNNNNNNNNNNGGCUUCUCGGCUUGGGUCUGUGUACUAAGGGUCGGGGAUAGUAGAGUAACUUUGCUUCUCCCCAAAUAGUGGGUGGGAGCGAUUUCGGGCAAGGAGGGCGUGUUUUGAAAUAUAGUGGGCGCGAGCGAUUUCGGGCGAGAAGAGUGUGUUUUGAAAUAGUGGGCGCGAGCUAUUUCGGGCGAGGAGAGCGUGUUUUGCCGACCAUGGUUUAUGAAUUAUUUGGCACAUGUCAUUUCGGCCGAGGAGAAGACGCGCUUGGAUGAAGUUAUGAACCUACCCUCGAUGUACAAUGGGCCAAUUGAUGCGUGUCCCACAUAGGCCAGUAAUUUCGCGUCUCCCUUUUAUUUGCUCGAGCAAAUUCUACUGAGCAAAGGAUGUUUAACGGUUCGUUCAAAUUUUGGGAGAACGAGCAUCCACGUCUACCUUACCAAGUCGAUUUGAAUCAAAUUUUGAAAUAUUAGCUUGCCACUUCUUUUUUAGAUGGAGAGAUGAUGCUUGGGAGUAAUGUGUUUUUACAUGCUCGUUGCUAGCGAUUUACUAUAUGACAAAUAGUUGACCCACUCAAAAACGGGAAUCAAACCCAAAAUGAAAUAUCUCGAUUCAAUAAAAUAGCUCGUUCACCAGGUCAAAAUAGUGAACUAAAUCCAAAAUUGAACACCUCAAUCUAGUAGCAUGUUGUAUAGUAUUAUAGUACUCCAUGAACAUGUUGAAAGUCAAAUUAAUGAACUUGUUUGAUAUACGCAUAUGUCUGUUCAUGUGUGGAUUGCAGAUAACAUGUUCUCCAAUUUAAAUAUUUGAAUGCAAGUUUAUAUGUAAACAUGGUUUAUAUCAGUCUUUGAUGCAUAAAAUGCGACCUCCCCCUCUCCCGGACUCCUGCUCUCUCUCUCUCUCUCUAUCUAUCUAUCUAUCUAUCUCUAUCUCUCUCUAUCUCUCUCUCCGACAAUCUUCAAUUAUGUCGCAUGCAUCCAACACACAAACCUUGUUGGUCCCUCUCCUUCUCUCUCUCUCUCUCUCACUCUGUGUGUGUGUGUGUGUGGGAGGGGGGGGUCUUUCUAGUCAGGGGCGAACCAACGUUAUGGUGAGUGGGGGCCUAGGCACCCACUGAAAAUAUGAAAUUUUGGUACGAUUUGCUUGUGUUUUUGGAAAAAUAUUCUUAAAUUAUUUAAAUUUCUAUAGAAUAUGCCCCCAGUCAAUUAGUUUGCCCCACUCCAAAUACUUUCUAGGUCCGCCACUAUUUCUAGUUUGCAUGCAUAUAUACUCCAUCUAUAGGUCUCUCUCGCACACUGUGUAUGAUUCUCUAGUCCAAGCUAGAUAUCUUGGGUGCACUCAUCAUACGCACACAAAUUCCUAUAAGUGCAUCUAGUGCCCCUUAGUGAUUUUGGUGUAUUGAAGACAUAUAGGUUAAGGGACUGAUGUGUUUGUGAGUGUACAUAGGUCUAUAAAUCUAUGAGGAGUUUGUGGGUGAGUUUGAUAUCUAGUGCCACUUAGUGAUUUUGGUUUAACGGCCUGGAGUUUUAGUUAUGUCGACUGUAGGAAUGAGGAACGAUCCUGCCCCAUCUUUGACGGUCAUGAGUAUCCUCGGUGGAAGGCCAUGAUGAAGAAGCGACUCAUGGCCAUGGACAGCGAACUGUGGACCGUCACUGAGAUUGGUCUUACCGAUCUAUGCAAUAUGGCGGAGGUUGAUGACAUUCGCAAGUACACUCUACUCAACCUCACAACGAAGGAUGUCAUCUGCUCCUGUUUGUCCCAAAAUCAGUUCAGGAACGUCAUGCAUCUCAAUCACACGAAGCUAAUCUAGGACCGGCUUUCUGAGGUCUAUGAAGGUCAUCAAACACGUCAUGAUCCUUGGUUUGAGGAUUACAAGGAAUCUCUCAAUGCGAUGACAUUCAAACCAGAAUCAUCAUCUUCUUCACCAUGCCUUAUGGCAAAAAGUGCUAAGGUAACCGAAUGCUACCUAUCUGAGUCCAGUGAUGAUGAAUCUGGAGAUGAAUUUGGACCCAGCUAUGUCAAACUUGCUUCCCAUGCCAUUAAACAACAAAGAGCUUUGGAAAAAGUUCAAUACAUGCUAAAUAAGAGCGAUGAUAUGUUGGGUGAAGAAAUGGAUCAGUCAAAAGCUUUGGCUGAGAGUCUUCAGAGACUUUAGUUCAAGUUUGACACCCUUCAAGGUCAUCAUAACACUCUCUUAUCUGAUCAUGAGAAGCUUUCUUAAAAAUUUCUUCAAAGAAAGCAAGAUCUUGAGAAGCUAAGAGUGGAUUAUGAAGAUCUUCAGAAGGAGCGCGAUUCAUUACUUGCUCAACAAAUCAGUGCUACUCAGGAAGAAUUUGUUCCUCCAUGUCUGAAGUGCAUUGAACGUGAAUCUGCUAAUUCUUCACCUGAAUGUUCAAAUGCUCUAAUGCUACAAAUUCUUCACCUGUCUCUACUAUCACUAAUUCCUCAUCUGAGGACAUUGCUAGUAUCACUGAUGAUGCAGGGCUGAAGGAAUUUUACAUGACAGGCAUGUACAAAAGCCUCAAAGGGCAUCAGACUCUUUGUGAUGUGCUUAAAAAGCAGAUCCUCAACAGGAACCCCAGGAAAGAGGGUAUUGCCUUUGAGAGGAAACUCAAUGCUGAUGGAACAUAUUGGAAGCCCGAGCAGUACCCCAAAACCUCAUGGGUUGCUGCAAAGGGACCUCCAGUUGAUCCAUGCAACUUAUCUGGCUUUACAUGUGAAUCUCCUCAUUCUUCUGAUGAGUCAUUUGACUCCAACUAUAAACUGUUCAAAAAUCAUAAUGGUGAAGUAUUUGCUAGAUAUGUUGGCACUAACUACAGGAACGGUUCACCUAUGAAGAAAAUCUGGGUUCCCAAAAGUUGCCUUGAAAGUCUUCAGGUGAAUGUCCUCAUGACACCACCUGUGAAGAAUAGGAACUCCAGAUCAAAUUCUUCAUAUGAACCAAAUUCUUCAUAUGGAUCCAAGUCCUCAUACGGACCAAAUUCCUCACGUGGAUCAAAUUCCUCAAAAGGAUCAAAGUCCUCAUAUGAUCAUCAGCGUGCUAACCCCUCUAUUUCGCAGGGUAGAGCUAAGGGCUAUGAAUAUGAGCAUUAUUCUUCAAAUCAUUAUGUUCAUAAGUCCUCGAAGAAUUUCUCUGCUUAUUCAUAUGCUUACCCUAACCCAUCUUAUGUGAAAUGAAGCGGACUGGCUUCUAUGCCACCUUUCUCAUAUGGUGCUCGCAGAGUGAUGAAUUCUUUGCCACCCCUUCAGAUGUGGGUGGUGAAGAAAAAGAACUAAUCUCUUAUGCAAGGUCAGGUCUCCAGACGCGCUCAAAAUGUCUGAAGAAUUUGCUGGAGACCUGAACAGUGCCUGAAAGGACGCAGGCUAAUCAUGAUGAAAUGAACUUUCAUUUCUCACGUCCCCAUACCGUUUAUCUGUUCUAUUGCUCGAAGAAAUUGAUCUGAUGAUAUUGAUGUCAUAUUCUUCACUAAUGAAGUAUAUGAGUUCGUAAGUUGCACUAAUUCAUCUGCAGGAUGAUCAACCCAAAGCCAAUGAGUGGGUCCUCGAUAGUGAAUGUACGAAUCACAUGACUGGUGAUAAGAAUCUAUUGAUGGAUGCUCCUUUAUCACCGUCACAUCUGAAGUAUAUCAUCUUCGCUGACAAAGGCAAAAGUCAGGUAUUGGGUCUAGGUAAGGUUGUGAUCUCAAAGGAUCGACACAUGGACAAAGUCAUGCUUGUCGAGUCCUUAGGAUACAACCUCAUGUCUAUCUCAAUGCUUUGUGAUCUUGAUAUGGUUGUUGUCUUUGGAAAAUAUCAUUGCGUAGUGAUCAUGGAAGCUGACAAUUCCAAAGUCUUCGAAGGCUUUAGGAGAGGAGUCUUGUACAUUGUUGAUUUCUCUACAGGACCACAACCGGCCGUAUGUCUACUUGCAAAAGCUUCAGAAGGCUGGCUAUGGCAUCGACGACUUGGUCAUGCUGGCAUGAGGAAUUUGCACACGCUUGCGAAGAAGAAGCGUGUCAUUGGCAUUGAGAAUGUGAAAUUCCUCAAGGAUCACUUAUGCGGAGCCUAUGAAGCUGGAAAGAUGACCAAGGCCAAGCAUCCAACAAAGACUAUCAUGACUACCACUCGACCAUUUGAAUUGCUUCACAUGGAUCUCUUUGGUCCUAAUCAUUAUUCAGCUGUUACAAAUGAUGCAUCUCUAUAUGGCUUUGUUAUUGUUGAUGAUUAUUCUUGUUACACAUGGGUGCACAUUGUGACUUACAAACAUGAAGUGCAGGAAGUCUUCAAAUGAUUUUCCUCGAGGGCUUCAACCAACUUUAGUGUGAAGAUCAAGCACAUCAGAAGUGACAAUGGGACUGAGUUCGAGAAUUCCGGUCUUGAUGACUAUCUGAGCUUGGUAUUACUCAUGAGUUAUCUGCUCCUUAUACUCCUGAGCAGGAUGGCGUCGUGGAGCGAAAGAACAGAACUCUUGUUUAGAUGGCUCACACUAUGCUUGAUGAAUACAAGACGCCUCGUUGUUUCUGGAUUGAGGCAAUUGAUACUGCGUGCCACAUCAUCAAUAGAGUAUAUCUUCACAAAUUCUUCAGGAAGACUGCCUAUGAACUCCUCACUGACAAGAAACCCAAUGUGAGUUACUUCAAAGUCUUCGGUGCUAAAUGUUGGAUUAGAGAUCCUCAUCACAAUUCUAAAUUUGCACCAAAAGCACACGAGGGUUUUAUGCUUGGUUACGGAAAGGACUCGCACACCUACAAAGUCUUCAACAACGUUCUUCACAAGGUUGUUGAAACUGUAGAUGUGCGGUUCGAUGAAACUAAUGGCUCGCAAAGAGAGCACCUACCUUCCGUGAUAGAUGAACCAGCACUUGAGGAUUCUAUCAAGUUCAAAGCUACUGAGGAUGUCAUUCGCACCGAAGAAUCUGCUGAAGAAUUCAUUCCUGAACGUGAUGAAUGUCGAGCUAGCACACCUGAAGAAAAUGGUGCUGAGGAAAAUGCUCCUGAAGAAAAUGCAGAUCAAAUUCCUCGAAGACAACCCGCUCAUCCUCGUAUUGCAAAUGAAGUGCAAAUUGAGAAGAUCAUCGAUGACAUUGAAGCACCAGGUCCUCUCACACGCUCAAAAUCUUCACACUUAUCUAACUUUUGUGGGCACUUUGCUUUUGUCUCUAUCAUAGAGCCCACUAAGGUAGAUGAAGCAUUUCUGGAGCCUGAGUGGAUUCAAGCUAUGCAAGAAGAAUUAUAUCAGUUCGAUCUCAACAACGUCUGGGAACGGGUCAAACGUCCAGAUCCUCGCAAGCACAACAUUAUUGGCACAAAGUGGAUCUACCACAACAAGCAAGAUGAAAAUGGCCUUGUGGUGAGGAAUAAGGCACGGCUUGUAGCUCAAGGCUACACACAGGUUGAAGGAAUUGACUUCGAUGAAACUUUUGCACCUGUUGCUAGACUUGAGGCUAUUCACAUAUUACUUGCUUAUGCUUACCAUCAUGAUAUUAUCUUACAAAAAAUGGAUGUGAAAAGUGCAUUCCUCAAUGGUAAGCUUGAGGAAGAAGUAUAUGUUGCUCAACCCCUAGGUUUUGAAGAUCCAAAGAAUCCUGACAAAGUCUUCAGACUCAACAAGGCCCUGUAUGGCCUCAAGCAAGCCCCUCGGGCGUGGUAUGAUACUUUGAAGUAUUUCCUCAUGAAGAAAGGCUUCAAACCCGGUUCACUCGACCCAACUCUUUUCACUAAGUCUUAUGAUGAUGAAUUGUUUGUGUGCCAAAUAUAUGUUGAUGAUAUCAUUUUUGGUUGUACUAACCAACGAUACAGUGAUGAAUUUGCCUAUAUGAUAAGUGAAGAAUAUCAAAUGUCUAUGAUGGGAGAAUUGAAAUUCUUUUUAGGUCUACAAAUUCGUCAAUAGAGAAGUGAGAUAUUCAUAUCUCAGGAGAAAUACCUCAAGGACAUAUUGAGGAAAUUCGGCAUGCAAGAUUGCAAAGGGGUCAAAAUUCCAAUGCCCAAAUGGCCAUCUAUGCACUGAUGAAAAUGGUAAAGACUUUGAUCAAAAGGUAUACCGCUCCAUGAUUGGCUCUUUAUUGUACCUAUGUGCAUCUAGGCCGGAUAUUAUGCUUAGUGUUUGCAUAUGUGCCCGAUUUCAAGCUACACCGAAGGAAUCACACCAUAAGGUUGUGAAGCAUAUUCUUCGAUACUUAGCUCACACACCAACACUUGGAUUAUGGUAUCCCAAGGGCUCUUCUUUUGAUCCCAUUGGAUAUUCAGACUCUGACUAUGCUGGCGAUCGCGUGGACCGCAAGUCAACAUCAGGCACAUGCCAUUUCCUUGGACGAUCUUUGGUCUGUUGGUCCUCGAAGAAACAGAACUGCGUAUCACUCUCCACUGCAGAAGCUGAGUACAUUGCUGCUGGAUCGUGUUGUGCUCAACUACUAUGUAUGAAGCAAACACUCAAGGACUAUGGUGUCAACGUGAAGAAUGUGCCUCUCUCCUGCGAUCAUAAGAGUGCUAUCAAGAUUGCUCACAACCCAGUUUAGCACUCGAAGACCAAGCACAUCCAGAUUCGUCAUCAUUUUCUUCAUGAUCAUGUGUUGAAGGGCGACAUCUCCAUUGACCACGUUAGCACUGAAGAUCAGCUGGCCGAUAUCUUCACUAAGCCCUUGGAUGAGAAGAGAUUUAGCAAGCUGCGGUGUGAGCUAAAUAUCCUAGAAUCUUCGAAUGUUCUCUGAAAUGGACACACAUCCUAACACUUAUGCUGACUUGAUGACUUAGAUGCGCAACACACGAAGUAACAUUUUUCUUCAAUCAAUGAAGACUAACCCUUUAAGUGUAAAGAAAUUAACAAAGAAAUUAAUUCUCAGAGCCUUACGAGAAGUUGUGAAAUCAUCUUUCUUAUACGGUGGGUUACGCCACCACCCAAAGUUGGAAAUCUUCAAUUUGAGUUUUUCUUUGUUUUUGAAAUUCCUCAGUUUUUCAAAUUCUUCAACUUUGCAUUGUAUUCACUCCUUCCGGUGUUGUUCUUAAUUUGAGAAUAUAUAUAUAUAUAUAUAUAUAUAUAUAUAUAUAUAUGAGUUUAUGUCCUCAAUAGCAUUCACUUAUUGCUAAUUCUUCAAGUUGUUUUCUUCUACUAAGUGAAUGUGAUCGGACCCUUCCCCCUCUAUGCUAAACUCAAUCCAGUCUAUUCACAAAUUCUUCAUGUGCGUUCUAAUUGAAACUCGUUCAAAAUCUUCACUGUGUCCUUGACAGCUAAAGAAAUUGUGAACGGAAACUUUCAUCUAUCUGAUCUAAAUUUUCGGCUUUGCCGCCCAAACCGUUCCGCAUCCCACGACAAUACUUAUAUAUUCACCCACGAUCAUACAUGAUCGCCACCUCUCAGUAUGUGGGUGACAUAUUUCAAGCGAAUGAGAAGGGCCAGGGGCACGUUCGUCUGAUUUCCUCGGGCGUAAAGUUUCUCACUCCCUCUAUAAAUACCCCUGCCUCUUCCUCACUUCACUUUCACUCCGCUCGCUCUCACUCCCGUUCGAGCUCCCCAAACGCUAGCGCCGCCGCUACUUCAUCGUCGCUGGUGAGGAAGGGCUUCACUGCCUCGACCUCGUCGCCAUCAUACUCGCGCCGGUUGCAGAUUUCUUCACUCCGCCACUGCUGUAGCCGUCUUCCUCUGCUGAGUUAGGGCGUGGAAGAUCUGAACUGACGAACUUCACAUCUACACUUCCCAGUUCGUCGUGUUCUUCAACUUGGGUAAUUAAAAGUAACUUUUACUACCCUCUUUGAUUCUUAUGUUUUCUUGAAAAUCGUCAAAGGUGUUUAUUCUUCAAAUCUUCACACACAUGAACACCUCACAUGUCAUCUGCUCUUGAUUCGUUUCUCUAAGCAAUUAUUUUCUUCAAGAUUCCUCGAUUCUGUGGAUUUUCAAUCUAUAGAACUCUGGAACCAAAGGCAAAGAACGCUUAGUGAAAUUCCUCAAGACUCAUCUGGUCAAAUUCCUCAAACCUAUUCAUUUUUGAAAAACCUUCUGAGAACGCAUAUGACCUAUCCAAAUUCCUCGCAACUUUACUCUGUUCACACGUACAAAUGUCCGCUGCUGAAUCACUAGGUUCUCAUCAACUUAACUCAUUCACAGCGUUCCUUGAAGAAAAGUUGCACACCUCUUCAGAAACUUUAGUUGUUCAUAUUCCUCAACUGAAGAAAAUGACUGAAGGUAAGAAGCCACAGAAGGGUGGAAAGAGACCUGAGGUUAACACUCCUUUCGAAAUCCCUGAGGACAUUUAUGCUGGGUACUGCACACCCCCUGAGGAAGAUAGAAAUCAGCGCAAGGUGCGCAUUCAAAAGAUAAAGAGGAGAUGGGCACGGGAAUGGAGGGAGUACAGGUAUGUUACUCCCAAGUAUAUGAAGAAAUUCGCGCUCAACCCUCCAUGCUCAAGACCUCCAUUGGCACCAGGCCAAGUGGAAGAUCCCACCAGCCUCAAGCAUGGUGAGGACUAUGCUGAUGAAUGGGCAAAGCGCCAGGCCAAACUAGCCAAGCAAGCAAAGGAAGCAGUGAAGAAAUUCAAUGCAGACUCUGCUGCUGCUGGUGCCUCUGUUGAGGCCCCUGCUAGUCAGCCGAAGAAGGCGAUGCCUAAGAAGCCUGCGCAUAAGUCAAGCACUUCUCUCUCAAAGCCCUCACGGCCAAUUCCUUAGACUGCUCCUUCAAAGUCCUCAGCUCCUCCGACAAAGUCUUCAGCUGCUCCGAGCAAAUCCUCUGCACCUGUGCAUCUUGCCACGCGCCAAAGGACCACAGGCAUCUCAAUUGCCUCAGGAGCAUCUACGAGUUCCUCGGCUGCACCAAAUUCCUCAGAUGGCCCCUCUCUGCUGAAGAAAAGGCCACUCCUGGACGAGGCCUUCGACCAAGUCCUCACAAGAAGCAGGUCGCCUUCCAAGUGCCCUCUGAUGAUGAUGAGGCUGAUGAUGAAGAACUUGCCGAGAUCAUCAGAGACAGGCAAGCCAGGGCCGCUAGAGCCAAAGGUAGCAAUGUGCCACUGCUGUUGGAUCCAAAGUUGAUCCUCGAUUUCAUUGACCUAUGGCACAAGGACCCUAACACGCCUUUGCCAGAGAUGAACCUCACUCCUGGUCAAAGUCAUGUUCUGACUGCCUUCAUUGAGAAAGAAAAAUGGAAAUUUGAAGAAGGCAGAAGACUGAAGAAAGCACAGUACAAGAAGCAGCGCUACCUCAAGGACAAUGUCCUCACUCUUACCCCUGAUCAACUCAUUGCCUUGCAAGCUGAAAUCAAGCAACUGAGUGAUGAAUUUGAUCGCUGCUAUGUUGAUUGGAAGGGCGCCAAGGUUCGGUUUGUCAAUCUGACGAAGAAAUUCACUUCAAGUGUGCUGCUCCUGUGCACGUUGAAGUUACACCGGCUGAAGCAUCUGCUCAGCCUACUGAAGAACAUGCCAGCACCGCUGAUGACAAUCAGGCUGCUGAAGAAAAUGAGAGUACCAGGGCUGAUGACUCCAUUCCAUCCGCUGAAGAUAUUGCCAGGGCAUCCACUAGUGGUGCGCCUGAAGAAAGUGAAGAAGUUAGGGCAACUGCGAUAGUUGCGCCUGAAGAAAAUGAACAAAAGUACUUUGCACCUCCUGCGCCUACACCAACUCUGACCCUUCCAUCUGCAUCAGAUGCGAAGAAGACCAAGGCUGCAGAGCGUGCAGCUAUGAAGAAAAUGAAGGCAUCAACUUCAUCAAAUUCUUCAGCUCCGAAGAAGAUGAAGCCUCUAACUAGUUCAAGUGACAACCCAAUUGAUGUCGUUCCAGUCUCUUUCAUGCCAUCAAAGGACCUUGUUCCUUUUGGUGAAGAUUAUUGGAUUCCUAGCGAAUCUAAUGAAGAAACUCCUUCUACUGCUUCGACAGAGCAGUUGGAUGAAGAAAUUGAAGUGGAUGCAAUCCCUUUAACCCCAGUCAUCUCCUUGCAUAUGCCUCAGUUCACUACUGAAGAGGCCGGCAUUGAAGAAAUGGAAGAUGACGAUGUGGACAUUGGCUGUACCACUCCUAUGCUCAAUGAUGACUUUUGGGAAAGUCAGCACCCUAACUCUCCAAUGUUAACUCCACUCCAAGCAAUUCCUCAGUCCCCAGCUGCUACUGAAGUACAAAUGGGAUCUGAAGAACCUCAUGCAACCCCGUCUGUCCAUGAAGAAAUUCCAGCCACUAGUGCUGAAGAAAUUGUAAAUGAAGAAUUGAAGACCCAGGCUGCAGCUGAAGAAGAACCAGAAAUUCCUCAGUCUGUGGAUCCUAAGAUUGUGAUUCCUGAGGUGGUGAUGCAAUUGGCUGACACUCCUCAGCCCAAGCCAAAGGAUCCCUUCUUAAAGAAGCAAAAAUUCAAGGCUGAUGAUUUCUUCGGCGAGCAUGUGUUCUUCACUAAAUUCAACCCAUAUGACAAUGCUCCUCUUAGAAGGAAGCGUUUCUGGACUGCCAGCCAGGCCAACUUCUAUUCUUCACUACUUCUCAAUAAGGACAAAGUCUUCAACCACGAGCAUAUUCCUCACGUGGACAUGGAAUCAGUGCCUUGCUUCUCUCAAGUCCUCAGUAUGCUUCAUGAUGCAGGCUUGCUCAAAUUUUGCUCAGACAUAGUUGAUUGGAAUGAAGAGCUUAUUCUUCAGUUCUACGCAAUGCUGCAUAUCACAAGUGAUGCUACUAACGUCAACUCUUGGGUGUUGGACUGGAUGACUGAAAACACUCACUACAAGGCACCAGCCUCUGAAUUGCUUCAUGCCCUGCCAAUCAGUCCUCCACCUGACGGUGCUCGUUGUCUGUAUGAUGAGCCUGAACUCACUGCUCACUAUAUGCAAGUGCUCAUGAAGCCUCUGAAGCCUGGUCAAGCCCCAAGGACCAAAUUCCUCGUGAAGGAAUUGCUCUAUGUGCCAAGAACCAUCUAUCGCAUUCUGAAGAAGACCAUGAGUCCUAUCAAAGGCCAUGACUCAUCCGAUGAAGAAAUUAUUGGGAUGAUGAAAAAUAUGCUAUUCAACAUAAUGCAUGGCAUCCCCAUAAACUAUCAUGAUUUCUUCAUGAGGACUCUGGCAAAUGUUGCACUUUCACCUUUUGAGCUGAAGCCUUACGCACCGUGGAUCAUGAGAUUCCUCGGAACAAGGUCUUCACUCAACUACAAGGCUGACUUUCAGAAUCACCUCAACUACUUGCCCCCGAUUGAAGUCCUCAAGCGGAUAUAUUCCUAAGCUGAUGAGAAGGGCAAGUCACCAUCCGUUAUCAAUGAAGGCAUUCAUCCAUUGGAUGGUCAGUUCCGCAAACUACAUCUUAUUCCACCAAUGAUGACUCUGCCACUCAUGAUUCUGCUGCCAAUGCUCCCAAGUCAAGUCCUCAAGCUACUGCUCCUCGUGUGAUGACUGACCAUGAGCUGCUUCUAAGUCUUCACCAGAAGGUGAAUCAAAGGGUUGAGUGUCAUUUUGGCUCUAUUCUUCACAACAUGACUUCUACACAUAAUGCAGUGAAGAAAAACCAUUACUACCUCCAUGAAGUUUUUGAUCGCACCUGGGCUAUUCUGUCACAUCUAUAUGGUGAAGAAGAUCUGAAGCAAAUGGGCUUCAAGGAAGAUUUUGACUGGUCUGUUCCUCCACCGAAGAAAUUCAAGAAGGUCAAGGUUCCUUCCUUGGUGGCCAGUUCAUAUUCUUCAUCGCGUGACACAGAUGAGUAUGAAGACUUGGACGACAUUGCGGCAGGCCCUACAACGACUCAAGACCCUGACAACACUGGCACUCCUCCAUCAUCAUGAUAUUCUUCAGGGGCGUUAGUCCUCAGUUUCAACCCUUUUGGUCAUUCGAUGACAAAGGGGGAGAAAUUUGAGUUAGUCUUCAAGCGGGUCUAUCUUAUAUGGGUGUUUUUUUGCUAAGUUACAACUCUCAUUCUUCUGAUGACUUUGCUGGAUCGAUUUGUAACCUUAAACUCUAUGGUGGCCUGAUACUUUUGAUGUGUUCUUCUGCAUGCUUAUUCCUCAUUACUGUCAAUGCACGCAUGCUAAAUUACAUUAGUCACCAUAUUUCAUCAUGCAUUUCAAAUUCUUCGGAUUAUAUGUCAAAUGCGUGUAUGAAUUACAAGGUAUAGGGGGAGAUCUGCAUGAUUAUACUCGUCAAGUGUGCAUUGCUUCAAAAGCAAAUUCCUCACUAUGCACAUCUUCAGGGGGAUUUCUUCUAUAUCUUGCAAUCAAAUUCCUCAACAUCAAUACUUACACUUCCUAUAUUUAUCCCCGUUGAAAACUUAACCUAUAUUGUCAUCAAUCACCAAAAAGGGGGAGAUUGUAAGUGCAUCUAGUGCCACUUAGUGAUUUUGGUGUAUUGAAGACUUAUAGGUUAAGGGACUGAUGCGUUUGUGAGUGUACACAGGUCUAUAAAUCUAUGAGGAGUUUGAUAUUUACAGAGAAAGUUGACCCCUAAAAAUGAAGUUCUUCAACUGAAGACUUUGGAUUUCUGAAGACUUUGAAAGUGAAGAAAUUGGUGUAACCUUGAAGACUUGGCAAUCAUUCGAGAAACAUGAAGCAUGAAGACUUUUGUUUUCGUAGUUUCAUUUUCUCUUUCUUGAGUCAUAGGAAACACCGUACUGUUAAAGGGGGUCGAGGAAAUACUAAGGAAAAAUUUCCAUGUGAUGCUCAACUCAAAAUCCUACACCUACCAAUCCCUUCGAGUGAAGCCAUUGGAAAUCUCAUACAGUUCAGUCAUAUUCUUCAGUGACAGAGACGAAGUUCUUCUGGUCUCUGAUGAAUUUGUUUUGACUGAGGAGUUAGGAAUUCGCCAGUGCGGAUUGCCUACACAGUGAGGAACAUGAUAGCCCUGAAGAAUUUAAGAGUCAAAAUUCCGACCGUUGCUGUGCUAUGCGCCAGCUGUCCCAAAAUAUCUACCCACCUGAUGGUCAUAUCAUUGAAGGGCAUUUAUGUCUUAUCAUGUCGGGUUGCUCCCUUGGCUAUAAAUAGCCGCCCCCUAUAACCACUAGCUGGUUGGCUGCUUCGAGAGAAACUGACACUUGUCAUUUGAGAGCAUCCCAUCCUCCGAGGACUUUGAGCGAAAAUCAUCAAGUGAGGAAAACCCAAACCCAACACCUACAAACCCAAAGUGAUUGAGCAUCACUGAAGAGAUUGAUCCUGCGUGGAUCUGAUGCUUGUUACCUUUGAAGACCGUGCUUCUUCCAGACGAUUAGGCGUCAUGGUCUAGAGCAUCCAAGAGGAAUUGUGGAUCGCCGAGUGACCUAGUCUGUGAAGGUAUGGAAGUCACCUGAAGACUUACCACGAGUGAUUGGGCGAGGUCUGUGUGACCUUAGCUCAAGGAGAAUACAGUGAGGACUGUGUGUCCGGGACUGGGUGUCCUCGAGUUUAAAUACUCAGCCGCUCCAACCAGACGUACAACUGAGACAACAGUUGGAACUGGUCUACCAAAUCAUUGUCUUCACCAAGCUUACUGGUUCUAUUUCCUCAACUCUUUCGUUUCCUCAGUUCUGUUGAUGUGUGCAUGUUCAUAUCUGUUUGAAGACUUUGACUGAAGACUUUCUCAAUUUCCCUAGUUCAAUUUCUUUAGUCUGUUCGUCUUCUUUCUGUGUAAUCCUGUGUUUACGCUUUCUGUACUCUGUGCUUGUCUUCAUUCCAUCAUGAUGACCAUGCUUGUGUUCUGUUAUGUUUACAUUUGAGUACUUAUUCCGCUACUAGUAGUUCUUCAUUUAGGAAUUUCCUCACCAGCAAAUUCCUCAGUGAAGAAUUCAUAAAAAUCGCCUAUUCACCCCCUCUAGUCGAUAUAAUGCACUUUCAAUUCCUUGGCUCAUUGCCCAUAACUCUCUCACGCACCACUCUGUUGUCUCGGAGCUCUCCCCCCUCUCUCAAACUCUCCAUCUACCUGGGUCACACAUACACAUGCAUAUCUCACUCGCACUUGAUAGGCCCAUCUAAAACUCUAUCUCUCCCCCUCGUUCUAUCUCCAUCUCACACGCACACACACACACACACACACAAUGUCAUGCCUAGCUAGCCAAGUAUGAUGGUCUCUCACUCAAUUGUAGGCAUACGCAGUCCCCCCUAUAUGUAUAUGACUAGCUAAUCUUAGUAUCCAUCACAAAAUGUGCACGGUCUAUCUCGAUUUCUCUAGGGGCAUCUUUCUAUCACGCACGCAAUUCCCUCGAUCUCCCACCCAUAUAGUUCCCUCAUGAUAUCGAGGGGAUCUCUCUAUCACAAACACAACCUCUCUCCCUCCCCAUGCGUCCAUGUUCUCCAUGUGUCCCUCUCAACCUUUGUUCCUUGUUGGCCAGACCUCUAUUGGACAUGUGCUAUAGGGGUGUCUCUCUCCGUUGCAAACAAUCACACACUAGCUAUCUUCGUGUAUCUCCUCGCCUUGCUUUUCUAUCUCGGAGAUGCAUGCAUGAUAUGUUUGCAUAAGAAACGAAAAGACACACACUCUCUCUAAUUUAUCGUUUGUUGUCACUUUCUCUUUCACACACAUACUCUUUUUGCACACUUACUCAUUCUCCUUCACACGCACUUGAUCUCUCUCGACUUAGGCACUCUCUUCGGUCCAUAGCAUAUAGAUUUAUUGAAAAGUCAAACAUCACAAAGUUUGACCAUGUACGUGGAGAAAAACAAUUACAUCUAGAACGACAAACAUAUACCAUUAGAUUCAUCAUGAGAUGUAGUUUCGUAUGAUGUAUCUUUGGUAUUGUAGAUAUAAAUAACAUUUGCGUAAACCUGAUCAAAGUUUCCAAACUUUGACUUCUAAAAAAUUUACAUGCAUUGCAUUAUCGAGCGGAUGGAAUAUCUCUUUCCCCCUCUCAGCUAUCUGACGCACCACUCAGCCUUAUCGGGGCUCCUCUAUCUCUCUCAAACUUUAUAUCUCCCUGGUUCACACAUACACAUGUCUCUCUCACGCUAUACAUAUCGACCCAUCCAACACUCUCCGCCCUAGUUCUAUCUCUAUGUGACACCCCCCCUAAGUACCAUAAUCCCGCACUCCAUCAUAGGCGCAAGCACUCCCCCCCUAAGUAUGAUUAUCUCUCAAUAGCCAUCAGGAACACACGUAUUGUCUCCUUCCAUCCAUAUGUCUAUCUCGAUAUCUCUCGGGGUAUCUUCUAUCACGCACACACCUCGUCACUCGAUCUCCCACCCAAGUAGUCCCAUCACGAUCUCCAGGGGAUCUCUUUAUGACAAACAUACACUCUCUCCUCCCCAUGUCUGCAUUUUCUCCGUACGUCUCUCUCGACCUCUCUCCCUUGUUUCUCAGACCCCUCUUGGCUAUGUGAUAGGGGUCUUUCUCUCUCGGUUGCAAACAACCACACACUAUCUCCUCACCUUGCUUCCAUUGUCGAAGAUGCAUGUGUGAUAUGUUUGCAUAAGCCACACACGCUUUUUCUCUACUUUUAUCGUGUGUUGUCCAUGUCUCUUUCACACACACGCACACACACUUUUUUCACUCACUCUUUCUAUUUCACAACCUCUCUCUCUCUCUCCCUCUCUCUAGUUAGGGACUCUCACGUCCAUAAGCGUAUGGAUGUUUUGAAAAGUCAAACCUCAGAAAAGUUUGACCAGGUAUAUGUGGAGAAAAACAUUUACAUCUGGAACGAUCAUUAGAUUCAUCACAGCAUGUACUUACUUCAUACUAUCAUUUAUCUUUGGUAUUGUAGAUAUAAGUAAUUUCUUUAUAAACUCGGUCAAAGUUUCAAAAGUUUGACUUUAAAAAAAAUGUUGGAACUACAUUAUCGAACGGAGGGAGUAGCUCUCUCUCUCUCUCUCUCUCUCUCUGCUAUCUCUCACGGGCCUCCCCUUUCACUCAAACUCUUUAUACCGACGGAUUAUACGCUCACUGUGUUAGCGUAUAGCUUCGUAUAUUGUUUAGUUGACCAGUCAACCAGUCCACAUGCUGCCUUGUCAACUCGUGUCCGGUAUCUUCAUGUGCUGGCCCAUGUGGCAGUGGGUGAAAAUAAGUAAACUAGAGGCCCAUCUGACACGCGGUGAAGUAAACAAAGUUGAAACCACUCGGGGUAGCACCCCGCACACUAGUAAAUUGAGGGCACAUUGAGGACACACUUCUUCCGCGUGAAGGACGCACUCGCGCACAAUUCACCACUGCGCGGCGGCAUGCACAGAAGGACCCACUCACGCACACCCAGCACACAACACACACCAGCACACGUGUACAUCGGCAUCGCCGCUGGUUGAGAUGGACGGCGGGGCAGCCAACAAGUGGAGGCGGCUCGAGCCAAAACCGCAUUCGGCGAGCCUAGACUUCAUCAGCAGCCUCCCGAAUGACAUGCUGCUCGUCAUCACCGGCCUCCUCCCCACCAAAUCUGCCAUGCGGACCGCCCUGCUCUCCCGGUGGUGGCGCCCCCUCUGGCGCCGCAUCCCCCUCAACAUCACCGUCGACAGCUGCCUCUGCAACGGGGAUUGCAAACGCAUGGCCGCAGUCUCCAAGAUCCUUUCAUCACACACUGGGCCAGCCAGACACCUUGACAUCUACAUGUUCAGUACCAACUGCAAGGUCCAACCCAAGUUCGACGAGUGGUUCUUAUCCCCCGCCCUAGAUUAGCUCGAGGAGCUCAGGUUUGAAGCUGGACGAUGUCGCUCUCUGCCGCCAUCCAUGCUCUGCCUCAUGCCAACGAUGCACCGCAUCAGCUUCAGCUCCUGCUAUCUUCCCCAGAUUAAUGUCGCGCCCGCCCUUCUUCUCCCUCAACUCAAGCAGCUUGACCUCUUCGACAUCGUCAUCUCGAAGAAGGCUAUGGAGCACCUGCUCCACAGCUGUACUGCGCUCGGGUACCUUCAUCUUGAGCAGAUCCAUGGGUUCAUUAGCAUCCACAUCACCUCGACGAAUCUCCGAUGGAUUUAUGUGACUUGCUGGUCCCGCAACAAGACAUCAAUUGGGAAGAGAUCACUCCAGCUGUUCCACGUUAUGGUCAUUGAGAAUGCGCCUUUCCUUGAGAGAUUGGUUGUAUCGGAUCUAGAAGUUCCAACAAAAAUUAGGGUCACUGAUGCACCAAAAUUGAUAGCAUUGGUGUACUUGUCUGCCAAAUUCUCUAAACUCUCUAUUGGAUCUGUAAUCGUUCAGGUACAUCACUCAUAUUCUUCUCCGUCUUCUUGAAAUUCACAUUUUAAAUUUCUUCUUGAUGUAUUUACGACCGUCUUCCAGAAAAUGAUUCCCACAAGCUUGACCCAGUCUAUGCGCACAGUGAAGAUCUUGGCAAUAAAAUCUAUCGGCCCCAAUCUGGAUCAAGUUGUUGGAUUCCUUACAUGCUUUCCAUGCACGGAGAAGCUACUCAUCAAGGUGAAACUUCUUUCUUAUUAGUAAACGGUAAUCACAACAUAGCUCAAUUUGUUCGUAAUUUUCCCAAAUUACGAUGACAAGUGUAGUGUUCAAAACUGCAUCUACGCACUGCACCGAAAUAAAUGUUUUUAGUAUUUUUUUCUCACGUGAUCACCUGCAUCAUUUUUUUGUUGUACUACUAUAGUAGCCUAGGCUAGUCAUAGUGGAAAGUAACUUAGACUACUCUAGUAACUCUAUGGUUACCCUAAGAGCAAGUACUACCUCCGUCCUGGUUUACUCUUCCUAUUUUGCAGUAUCAAAAUUUGACCGUAGAUUUAACUGACAAAAUGUUAAUGCAUGUCACUAAGAACUAUAUCGUUGGAUUCGUAUUUGAACAUAAUUUCAAAUGGUAUAAUUUUUAGUGACAUGAAUUGGCAUUUUCUUAGGUAAAUCUAUGGUCAAAAUUUUAUACUAAUCAUGAGGUAGUACUAAAGUGGGCUAUAACGGCCCUCCACUAUGUAGGCCAAAACACGUGCCAAAUUCACUUGUGAUGCAUUUGGCAUUGAUGCCCCUCCAUUGCUCACCUGGUGCCCUAAUCUGGAUCACCUACUUUGCUCCGGUGCCAAAUUAACUCACGCAAUGAAAAAACACUUGUGUGGAGAGAGAGGACUGAGGCAAUAAAAACACUUGUUUGGGACAGUGAGAGGCUGGUGUAGUUGGUUUGAUUGAUUUGUUUAUACAUGUGGGUCUGUGUGCACAGCGGUGCCAAAUCUCUCACAUCGAGCGGUGCCAAAAUCUUUUGAUUUGACAUUGAUGCGUAUUAUGUGGCAUACUUUUGAGAAAUAUGGCAUCGUCCACAUAGUGGAAGGCAACAAAUGUCCAACCUCUUCACUUUCUCCUAGGUAAAUGAGAGGAAAGAGAAAGAGAGGGAGAGAGAGAGAGAGAGAGAGAGAGAGUGAAAAAAUAUCACUAGCCAGCCAACCCUAUCGUAUGAGCAAAUGAUAUUGGUACCUCUUGAUGACAUGGCAAUCUUAUACAGCUAGUUGCUCUAAUAUGUUCUCUCCUUUUGCAGAUAAAAAAGUCCCUGACAGUGAAAAAUGUGUUGCAGUAUAAUAAUUCUCAUUGAAUGCCUGUCUCCAUCUUACAGAAAUUGAUUUGAUCGACUACCGAGGCAGCACAUCUGAGAUUAAGUUGGCCAGGUUCUUUGUUCUGGAGGAAAGUGUGCUCAAGGUAAUGAGGUUUGGCGUUCUAUGGCGCAACAAUGAAUGGCGUGCUGAUCACCGCAAGCGUCUAAGCCUAAAUGAAAAGUCUCCACAGAAGUUGAUUUUUUUUUUUGAAACAUCAAGUGGCCAGAGACACGAAAACUUAUUUGCCCAUUAGUGACUUGUCAGGGCGGAGGAUUUUAGUUUGUAUGAUAAUGCUGCAUCCACCUAAAGUAACGAAAGUUCUUACGUAAACUUCCUAGUAAUUCCCUCUUCGUACGUGCAAUAUUACUCCUAACAUUUGUAAUAUUAGUUUGAAACUUGUAAUAUUGCCAUGUCCUAUUCCUGCAUUUUCAAAAUCGUGCGAAUCAAACAGGUCCUGAGUUCAUGAUGAUGUUGUGCCUGGCAUCUUUCACCAAUAGUCGUUGGAUCUAGAUCUGACGCAUACAAACCAAACUUCUCCAGUUUUGAAAAAAUAUGCCCGCACUUGAUCCCUAUUUACAAACAACUCCUUGUCUCUCACAAUCUGCCUUAUCUCCUCCCCACCACAUCUAGAAGGCCAUGGAAAAAUCUGGCGUGAUGGCCGCUGCCGGUGCCGUCCACCCCCCAAUCUUGGUGUUCCGUGCAAUGCACAGGCAUCUACACACGAGAAAUUAUGUCGAACACGGCUAGUUGUAAGCAGGCUAUGUCUACAGCCAUGAUGAUAGUUGUCGGCGUUCUGGGAACGGGGGUCCCCAGACUUGCCUGCCCGCGGCCUGUGGCGUGGCUCAAGUGGGGGCCCAAUACAUCCCAACCUCCUCAGCUCAAGCUCAAGACCCUCGCGAGGGGCCAAGCCUCGCGGGGCGGACGACAGGAAGCGUCCUCAGGAGCAGCCUCCUCAGGCAGGCUCGCGAGGAGGCGGAGAGAUCCAGGCAGGGUACCUCCCGAGGAUCCCGUGAAGCAAUCCAUGACGAUCGAGACCAGGCGGGCGCCAGGCGGGCACCGGCCUGCGCAGUGUCCUUGUUUCCCUUUCGGUGCAAAGGGGGCAAGCACAGGCCAAGGCAUCGGGCAAAGGUUACCAUUUCGGUGCAACAAGACCAAGACCAGCAGAACGACAGGAUGGAGGUCAUCGUGGAGCCCAGGACGACAUCAUCGUUAGAGCCUUUGGCAGCCGAAGACCAACUUUAGUCAGGAUAAGUGUACUAGAUUUUCCCCUUCAAAAUGGCCAAUUGUUGGUGCCCUUCCUGCUCAUUAUUUGGGAAGAGGCCCAGGGCCUCCCUCUAUAAAUAGGACUAGCCACCCGCAGGGUAGAGGCAUCUAGAGAUUGGAUCGAGAGAACAGAUCGACCAGAGAGAGAGAGAGAGAGAGAGAGAGGCGACUGAACUCACCCAAGCAGUUCAUCGCACCAGCUCAAGAACAGCCCCUCGCGAGGUUGUUCUUCCUUUGUACUGUUCAUCAUCAGCCCCUGAGGCAAUCCACCACACCACACACUGGAGUAGGGUAUUACACCACAAUUGUGGCCUGAACCAGUAUAAAUCUCGUGUCCCUUGUGUGUUCAUCUUUCUUGCUUAGAUCCUUGCGAGACUUCGAGGCGUGAGCUGGUAGGGGAAAGAUCUUCGUGCGCACCCAUGUGUUCGAACCUCAAGGGUCUGCCGGAACCCGAAAUCCGACAUUUGGCGCGCUAGGUAGGGGUGCGCCGGAAUCUUUCUUCCGCUAGUCGCGUGUGAUCUUCCGCCGCGUCCAUGGCUGAUGCUCGCCGAGCUUGUGCCGAGCGUCGGGCUGCUCUCGCCACCCGUGUCGCCCAGACGGUGCCCGUCGGCGGACGCCCUUGUUGUUCCCCGUUGCCUGCCGCCAACGCCGCCACCAGCCCGACGGGGAACGAGCAGCAGGCCUCGUCCCUGCAUCCUUCGGUUCGGCACGAUGGCCGCACCGCCACCCCGUCGCUGACUCCAGCCGGUUCGUCGUCCCACGCCCGUCGCGCCCCACGGACGCGCACGCCGCGCUGCUCCUGGCGCAUGAGCUCUUGCACUACCGUCCCGUCGACGACCUCUACGAGGACUGGCUCGCCCGUAUCACCGAGCUCGUCAAUGCCGCAGGGGGGCUCUCCCAUGCCGUCCCUCUCGCUGCCUCGCCCUACGUCCUGCACAGGAGGCGAGGAGCAGGAGGUGCCUCCACCGCCUCCUCCCCAAGAAGGCGCCCUGGCUCCAAGGCGCGCGGCCCCAGGACGAGACCCACCGUGUCCAGCGCCUGCGCAACAAGAAAGGAGCUGCCAAGAGAUCCCUCGCCCCCAAGAAGGUGCUCACGUGCUCCCAGCAUCGGAGCGCCAUGACCGCAUCCCUGCACCGCCACGUCAAGACCCCACGCUGCUCCAGGCAGCGGUGCACAGGAACCUCCAGGAGCAAGCCCCGCAUCAGCAGAGAGCUCCGGUGGCCACAGCAGGCUGUCGCGCCUUCACCUCCGAGCUGCGUAGCAUUGCGUGGCCCGGCAAGUUCAAGCCGGACCUGCCUCCUCGCUACGACGGCACUGCAGACCCUGCGGAUUUCCUCCAGCUCUACGAGCUGGGCAUCGAAGCCGCCAACGGGGACGAAAAGGUCAUGGCGAAUUGGUUUCCCAUGGCGCUCAAGGACGGUGCCCGCACCUGGCUCCUGAACUUGGCUCCUGGCACGAUCUCCUCCUGGGACGAGAUGCGCACCUGCUUCAUCGCCAACUUCCAAGGUACUCACGACCGGCCGCCGGCCAUGAGUGACCUGUGCCGCAUCACGCAACAGCCAUGAGAGACCCUGCAGAAGUACAUCCAGCGCUUCAACAACGCCCGCCUCAAGAUCCCCAGGGUGACCGAGGAGGCUAUUAUCUCAGCCUUCUCCGAUGGUGUGUGUGACAUCAAGAUGAAAGAAGAGCUAGCAAUCCAUGAAGACAUGUGCACAUCCCUGGAGCUGUUCAACUUGGCGACCAAGUGCGCCAGGGCUGAGGAAGGGCGCCUCUCCCUCCUCAAGCUUUCGGCUGCCGACCCAGAAGAGAAGAAGCCCAAGGCCAAGGACGUGAAGCGCAAGGGGGCUGCCGUGCUCGCAGCCGAGCCGGACACCAAGCAAGGCAGGGAUCAGCCUGAGUCAUCCAAGAGCAGCAGGUACUGCGUGUACCACGACCUCCACACCCACAACACCAAUGAAUGUUAAGAGCUCAGGGCCGUGCGAGAUGGGCGUAUCGGCCGACGCCCCGACCGCAAUGACCGGGGCUAUGGCCAAGGAGGAGGAAGAGGUGGAGGACGAUGGGAAGACCGCGGCCCUCGCCAAGGGUGGCGUGACCGACCUCGCAAGGACCGCUGGCAGGACCAGCCUCGCGAGGGAGGUUGGAGGGAUCAGCCUCGUGAGGACCGCCCUCAAGGCAACGUAGGCCUCCCUCCUCUGCCACCACCGCCAAGGAGGAAUGAAGACCAUCACCAGGGCGAGGGGGCUGGGGGCUUCCAGGAGCUGCGCGUAAUCGCUUGCAUCCUGGGCAGCGCUCAGGCCCCGGCCUCUCAGUGCAUCUUCAAGCAGUUCGCUUGCGAGGUGAAUGCAGUCCUCCCCAAGCUUGAGGCCACGUGCCCUCUCAGGUGGUCUACAUGCGCAAUCACGUUCAGAUCGGCAGAUCAACUCAAGUGCGCAGCAACGGCCGGAGUCCUCCCGAUGCUUUGUUCCCCAGUCAUCAGCAACGUGCAAGUCACCAGGACCCUCAUCGACGGCGGAGCUGAAUUCAACAUCCUGUCCGUCGAGAUGUUCAACAAUCUCCAAGUGCCAUAUGAUCAGCUUCAGCCGACCAAGCCUUUCUCAGGAGUCACUGACGGUUCCACUAUUUCGAUAGGGCAAGUUCGCCUUCCUGUCACCUUUGGGCAGCGCAACAACUACCGCACCGAGCUCAUUGACAUCGACAUCGCCCACAUUCGCCUACAAUACAAUGCCAUCCUCGGGUAACCAGCUCUAGCCAAGUUCAUGGCAGUGACUCACCAUGGCUACAAUGUCCUCAAGAUGCCAGGACGUGGUGGAAUCAUCACAGUGCCUUGCGAGGAGAGGGAUGCAGUGUGUUCUCUUGAGCGUGCCUUCCAAGCCACGACAAUCGAAGACCUAGAUCACAGGAGCGGGAGGCUCCCAAAGGCAGACCCCAAGAAGAAGAAGGCUUCACCUGGCCCAAACACUCACGAGGCAGGCGCCUCCGGAGGCGAUGCAUUAGGAACCGCGCCCGUUCAAGGGGCGCCACCCUCUAUCGCAUAGGAAGGCACGCCCGGCGCCCUCCUCGGGCAGGGCUCGGGGGCUCUCUCCUGGAGGGCCACCGACCUUGCCAAGGUCAUGAGGGAGGCGCUCGGGCACCACUUGGAGGCGUGCUUCAAGGCACGUUUCCCUCAGGAAGGUAUGAGGCAAGGAGGGCCAAACCCUCAGGAGUUCAUCGUGAGGAACAUUCAGGAGCUACAGGAGUCCAGAGUCAUGCGCGGCAGUCGCCGCCUACCCGCCGUAGCCCCACAUCCCGACGAGGAUGGUGGGCUGCGUGUCUGCAUCAACGUACCAGGGCUCAACCAGGCCGCGUCUCAGGGGCGCCUCUGGCCUUCAUGCGUGGGGCGUUGCGAGGGUCCACCUCACAGCUACGUUCACAUGCCUUUUGGCCUUCCGAACGCGGCUGCUUCCCACCAGUGCCUGAUGAGGAGCAUCCUGGAAGCCCAGGUGUCCACGCACCGCAUGUUCCUGGAGGAGGUGGAGAUGGACCUUGAGAAGCCGCCCGGACCCCCAGAGCCUCCCGAGGCUCAGGGCUUCGGAGGCUUGUGAGGGGUGGCUUCUUCACCACGCGUCGUCAGCUACUCCGACACUUCAUCCACAACGGUAUCAGGUGACAUCUUUCCAAGUUCCGUUUUCAUCUGGGAGCGCCCGUAGGGCUGCAUCAUUCCCAGUUCGCGUGGAUCCGUCCCUGUGGCAUGUAUCUGUUUUGCUUAUGUUCCUUACCUACCUUGUGGGGGUGCCCCUCGGGCUGCAUUAUCCCCAAGCUGCUCGGGCCUGACCUAGUGGCGUUUGCCUUUUUCUGCAUCUAUCUAAAUGAAUUCGCUCCUCCGAGCUUAACCUGGUCCUCAUGAUUAUCAUCUACUGCUUAUCGCGGACCUCUCAUCUCGCAUGCAAAGCGCUUGCAUGUUAAAAGGGGGGCACCUGAGCAUCGCGACUCAUGGGCUCUUACUGGCUCUCUAGCCCUCACCCCUGGCCUUGACCCACGGCAUCGCGACCUGUCAUACCAGCAGCGGCUGAGCUCGCUCGAGGGCCGGGACCUGAGGAUGUAGAGCAUUUGCAUUCUAACCACCCUGCAGGAACACACCAUUGAUAAAGGCCCAGAGCCAGGCGCAACUCGCCUCGAGGUAGGGCCUUGUGAGUCCCGCGCUGGCUCACGGGUGCCCAGAUACACCUCUCCUAGCCCUACCGUGCCGGCUACGUGUCAGGGCGGGGCUGUACACGCCCCGGGCGCUCCUCCCGGAGGGGAGCCCCCUCCCACGUACCAGUGGAAGCACCAUGCUCCGCGCUGGCUGAUGACACUGCCGAGGAGCGGCUAUGCCCGUACACAUACGGAAGCGCUAUGCUCCGUGCUGGUGAUAAACAACUGAGGGCAGCCCACGCCCGUAUCAACCCUGCGACAUAAUACAUGAUUCGCCACGCAUACGCAUGUACGAAGAGGAGGAAGCUAAGUUAGAUCGGCAGGAUAACUUGGAUGCCCUGGAGGAGGAGCGCGAUGUCGCAAAAGCCCGUUCCGCAUUCUAUCAACAGCAGGCUCGGCGAUAUCAAAGCAGAGAAGUGCGGGCCAAAACUUACAAUAUUGGCGAGCUCAUUCUGCGCCUACCGGAGAAGAAGAAGGACAAACUCAAACCCAGGUGGGAAGGUCCCUUCAUCAUUGACAAAGUUCUCACCGGAGGAGCGUACCGUCUAUGUAAUGCAUCUCAUAACAGACUCGAGCCGAACCCAUGGAAUGCGGCUAGACUCCGGAGAUUCUACGCCUGAUGCCGAACACAGUGUUCGUCUCCUCACCCCUCCUUUUUAAUUAUGCUCCACCUUUGUUUCUCUCCUUUCUCGCACCUUUUUCUCUUCACACACAGUGUUCAACACAGUGCGGACUCCCGGAUCAUCCUGGCCGUACUAUGUAUGCAAGCUGUACCUGGGGGCUUCCUAUUCGGAAGCUAGACAUAAUUACUUUAAUGGCUUUCUGCCCAUCGCAUACACGUUCUUUUUCCGUAUGUGCCCUUUUUUCACCAUUAUAUGCAUCGAUAUGACUUAAGAUGUGGCCAAGCUGGGUUGUCUGGCUCUUGUGUUUAUGCCCUACGUUCCCGUUAAUUCGGCUAGGGCAUAAGGGGAGCACCUCUGUGAUUGUUACUGUCGGUUAAGGCGGAUGUGUACCUUAGACUAGGUGAAGCCGAAAGCUAGUUUCCUUAAGAGAAUAUUCAAUCGGUGAACAAAGGAUGUAUUCUUGGUUACAACAACAAGAAAAAAAACCAGAAGCUUUUUAUCCUGCGCCAUUGCGUGCAGUCCGGACAUGUGCAUCGACACAUGGAUACCUAGGGAAAGGAACCCCUAACGGAACUAUUCUCCCUGGAAGAUGUUUCUUGCUACCAUGCAAUAUAACAGAACUAGUUGGGUACUUGUCUGUUCAAGCACCUAUGACGCCUAUGCCUGGUCUCCACGCAUACCCCAGUUUUUGUAUAAUUGAGCGGGUAUUCGGACACACCCCGGACUAUAGGAUCCGGGGGCUGAAGCGAAAAGGUCCACCAUGACAAAUGAUUUCAAUCCGGCUAGAGGCUAAUUAUGCCAAUUAAAUUACAAAGUCACUAAGACUGACUGUAUUCCUCCUCUAUACCAUCUAACAGGCUAUCUAGCCUACAAUCCUGCUGAGAAUACUUAGCGGCUAAUGCUACCUAGUCAUAUACCAAGCUCACGGGAAUUUCUUGCCCAUCAGUCCCCACCGGUCUCACUUCGGCCAUAUGGUUCGGGUCCAGCCUGGUGUAGCGCGUCUUCACCAUUGCCCAGGCUUCUCUUGCUCCUUGCUGGCAGGCUGAUAUCUUCCACAGACGGAAGCGCCGUCAGGCUCCUUGAAGCAGGUCCGCAAGCUCCCCCAUGCCAUUCGGCAGAAGGCUUGAUGGCCACAAGGCCUGAGCAACGCCAUGCAUCACCUGCCGAGCACGUUCAUGCAUCUGCGACAGUUCUUGGAGCAAAUCACCUGCAGAUGAGGGCAUCUCCUCUUCAGGGCGACCCGUUGACAUUCCUGCAAGGAAAAAUCUUUUCCAUAAACUUCCUUGCCGAACUAUCAAACAGUUCGCUUGAGCUCUUAUCAUAAAUGUCGCGUCGAAGCUUUUUUUUCUCCUUCACGGAGUCCGCCAGUUGAGCGCGGACAUCUUUUAAUUCCACAUCCAGACGAAUAGUGGUAUCGUGAAGCUUGUUCUUCUCUUGCAUCACCUGCGUAAGGAUGCGCUCGCCGGCCUUUAGCUGCCAUUGGAGAUGCGAGUCAUCACCCACUACGCCCUCACCCCGGGAUUGUGUGCAGAAUCUUCUAUUAGAUUAACCGCACCAGCCAUUUACCAACUGAUACAUCUGCGUAUAAUGGAGACAAAUAUUACCAGAGGGGACCCUUCGGGGUCCCUCUAACUUGGCCACCGCAUCAGUCAACUGGGCUUUGCAUGCCUCCAGCUCCCGCGCCAAUUCUUCGUUCUUGUCCACAAGGACCUGUGCAUAUAUUGAUCCUUUAAACAGUUAUCCCAACUAUUCCAAGUCUCAGGCGCUACUACUAUACAUACUUAUCAAAAUUUCUUACCCGUAUGUCUUUGGUAUACUGGUUUGUCGCUCGGGCAAGCCCGCCUCGAGCAGCUCGGAUAUAUGCGUCCACCGAAUUGAAGGCAUUAAAAGCCUCUUCGGAGAAGAUGUUGUUCUGGAGCACGGCCCUCCGGCGCCGGUGAUUCAUGGCGCUCUCCACUUCUGAGUUCAUGGCCGAACAUAUAUUCGCAUCCUCCGUCAGGGGGCUAUGCGGUGUUGGCCCCGUGUCUGCCUCUGCUCCUGAAGCCGGUCCUAGAACAUGGCUGGUGGAGGCAUGAUUGGUGGGGUCCCCGGAUAUAGUCCGGUUAUUCCUCUUCCUGCCAGACACAAAGGGCGCUGUCAUGUUUCAAAUUCUGUAAAUGGCGGGAGAGGUCAUUACUUUACCUCUGUAGCGGUGUGUCAACCCUCAUCGCCUUCCUCUUGAGCCUGCCCGAUCCGGACACCCGCGGUUGACGAAUCCCUAGGGGCUCGGCCCUUUGCUCCGACCAUCGUUUCUGCAAAUAGAACGACGCCUCAAGGGUAAAUUAUAAUACCUGGGGGGAGUCCUCUUCAGAGGAUACGUUUUUUUAGCCCAGCUUACACGCGAUGCGGGGAGCAGUCCGAGGUAGUCGGCCGUAAUGGCCACUAGGGCGCCAUCCCAGCUUGCCUGAUAAAAACACCCCGUCGACAAGCUCCACUGUAAUAUCCGGGUCUACCUUGAGUCCCGGAUCUAAGGCCCUUCCAGGGUCCUCUAGUUGCAGGAGGGGCUAGAGAUUCCCUCUACGGCCCUCCUCAGUUCCUGCUCAGAAGCAUUGAUGCAAGUAAUCUCAGCGGAAGGACGCUAGAGUAAGCAAAGCUAGGAAAAGAAUGGCAACUUACCCACUCUGGGGGGUUGUACAUGGAGAAUCCGUCCCGCGUUUUUUUGCAGAGGAAUUCCUCCUCUUCCCCUUUGUACAAAUCGGACAAUAUCCCUGCCAAAGCAGCAGCGGAGUCCGGACCCUUACGGCAGCAAUGGGUGGCGUCGUCUUCCCCGUUGAAAUGCCACAUGGGCUUCCCCAGAUAUUAGAGGGGUUGCACUCCUCGCCUUAUGCAUAUCGCCAUAACCUCGACUAUCGUUAGUCCGGAUUUGGCCAGCAACUUUAUCCUGUUCAUCAGGAGGUAUACCUCCUUUGUGUCCUCUUCUUGAGGGCCUCAGGGGCGCCAGCUUAAGCGUGCCCUCGGCGGGGCGUUGCUGAACUUGGGGAGACCUAUCCGUACUGGAUCCGGAAGGGGAACAUCAUUUAUAUAGAACCACUCUGAGGGCCAGUUUUCUGGUGCCUUCUCAGGAGUGCCGGAUAGGUAUCCGGUCUUGGCAAUGCGCCAUACUUUGGCCCCACCCACUUGACAUAGGGACUCUCCCUGGGUGCGGGGGACAAGGCAGAACAGCUUCCUCCAUAAUCCGAAGUGUGGUUUGCAGCCUAAAAAUAGCCCGCAAAGGGCGACAUAUCCCGCUAUGUGCAGAAUAGAGGCUGGGGUAAGGUUGUGUAACUGGAGACCGUAAAACUCCAGGAGCCCGCGAAGAAACGGGUGGAUAGGAACCCGACGCCCCUCAGCAGAUGCGAGAUGAGGCAUAUCCGCUCGUCUGGAGAUGGGUUAGGAGAUCCCUCAGCCUGUUCCCCUCCGUCAUAAGUGGCUAUUCCAGCUCGGACGGAGACCAUGAAUGCCGGUGGGAGAAACCCUGGGGUUUGUAACUCUAUCAAACGGCUAUGAGGAACUGAGCACUCUCCCCAAUCCCCCGACUUGGAACGAGGAGGGCGAGUAGAAGAGUUGCGACGGCUAGCCAUAUUGGAAUGGUUUUUUGCAGAGCGCUCUGUUGGAUGCUAGCUUUGGGAGGGAGAGUGAGGUUUGGAUCUGAGAAUCCCCGUCCCUUCAAAUAGACGGCCAGCCCGGAGGAUUGAGGGUGGUAAAUGCAAAAAUGCCUCGGCUCCUCGCAUUCGCUCGACACGUGGAGAUGGUCAUUAUUGAGGCACUGAAGCCGAGGAGCACAACAUUAAUUGGAGGCCGGACACUAUUUGUCGUAACAGGUACUUUGGAGUAUUUGGAGGAGGAACCCGCCUUGCAAUGCCGAAGACAAUACUACGCGCCGGACUCAUCGUCAUUGAAGCCUGGUUCAGGGGCUACUGAGGGAGUCCUGGAUUAGGGGGUAUCCGGACAGCCGGACUGUGUACAAUAUCCGGGCUAUUGAAGCGUGAAGAUACAAGACUCAAGACUUUGGCCCAUGUCCGGAUGGGACUUUCCUUGGCGUGGAAGGCAAGCUUGGCGAUCCAGAUAUUAUAUUUCCUUCCUUGUAACCGACUCCAUAUAAAUCGGAGAGGUUGGUCCUUAGAAGAUCGAUCACAAUUACAUUCAUACCAUCAUAGGCUAGCUCUUAGGGUAUAGCCUCUAUGAUCUCGUGGUAGAUCUACUCUUGUACUACCCAUAUCAUCAAUAUUAAUCAAGCAGGAAGUAGGGUUUUACCUCCAUCGAGAGGGCCCGAACCUGGGUAAACAUCCGUGUCCCUUGCUUCCUGUUACCAUCAGCCUUGACGCACAGAUCGGGACCCCCUACCCGAGAUCCACCGGUUUUGACACCGACACCGGGUAUGACACCCUUGAAGGUGGUUUUUGUGGGCUUGAUCCUUGAGGCGUCGAUGCCCAUUUUGCGCACUAUAUCCUGAUAGAGCAGGUUCAGGCUGCUGCCACCGUCCAUGAGGACUCGUGUGAGAUGGAAUAUGUCAAUGAUUGGGUCAAGGACCAAUGCAGCCAAACCGCCAUGACGGAUACUGGUAGGAUGGUCCCUGCGAUCGAAAGUGAUCGGACAAGAGGACCAUGGGUUAAACUUUGGGGCGACUGGCUCCAUCGCAUAGACGUCCCUUAGUGCACACUUCCAUUCCCGCUUGGGGAUAUGGGUUGUGUAUAUCAUAUUCACUAUUUUCACCUGGGGAGGGAAUUUCUUCUGUCCUCCUAUGUUCGGCGGCCAGGGCUCCUCGUCGUCAUUGCUAUGCAGCCCCUUUUCCUUGUUUUUGGGAUUUAAUUUGCCGGCCUGUUUAAACACCCAACAUUCUCUGUUGGUGUGGUUGGCUGGUUUAUCGGGGGUGCCAUGAAUUUGACAUGAGAGAUCAAGUAUGCGGUCCAAACUGGAUGAUCCCGGACUGUUUCUUUUGAAUGGCUUUUUCCGCUGUCUGGAUUUAAAGCCUCAGAAUCUGGCAUUAACUCUUGUGUCUUCAGUGUUGUCGCCAUUGUUGCGACGCUUGUGUCUAUUGCGUCGCGGCUUGCCAUUGCUAUCUCUGGCGUCUGAAUCACCGUUUUUUGGUGUGAUGUUGCUACGAGCCAGCCAGAUGUCCUCGCCCGCACAAAAGCGAGUCAUGAGUGUUGUGAGGCUGCCAUGGACUUUGGCUUCUCUUGGCCGAGGUGUCGGGCGAGCCAUUCGUGACGGAUGUUAUGCUUGAAGGCUGCUAAGGCCUCGGCAUCCGGACAGUCGACGAUGUGGUUCUUUUAGUUAGGAACCGAGGCCAGAAUUUUCUGGCUGACUCUCCGGGCUGUUGGGUUAUGUGACUUAAGUCAUCAGCAUCCGGUGGUCGCACGUAAGUGCCCUCGAAGUUGUCAAGGAAUGCGUCUUCCAGGUCCUCCCAACUGCCAAUGGAGCUUGCUGGCAGGCUAUUCAGCCAAUGUCGGGCUGGUCCUUUGAGCUUAAGUGGUAGGUACUUGAUGGCAUGUAGGUCGUCGCCGAGGGCCAUGUGAAUGUGUAGGAGAAAAUCCUCAAUCCAUACCGCGGGAUCUGUUGUGCCAUCGUAUGAUUCAAUGUUUACGGGUUUAAACCCUUCUGGGAAUUCAUGAUCCAUUACUUCGUCUGUGAAGCAUAGGGGUUGUGUGGCGCCUCUAUGUCAAGCUACAUCCCGACGUAGUUCAAAUGAACCUACUCUGUUGUAUUCGGCCCGACCAAACUUUGGUUUAUUGUAUCCGGCGUGAUGGUCAUCGUCAUGUCUGGUGGCGCGCCCCCGUGAUCCGUAGAUCGAUCUUGACUGUCCUACUUUGUUUUCCAAUACAUCUCGCCGGUCCUUCGUGUAGCCUCGGGCCUUAGUAUUAUCAUUUGAUUGGUGACGGGGUGCGGUCUGGACUUCGGGCUGGUACGCCGCUUUGUCGCGGCCACGGGGUGGCCAGUCAGCCACAUCAUGCGCUGGUAGCGUGGGCUUUAAAGCCUCCUCCUCGAGUUGAGGUAACAACAUGCGCUUUGGGUAACUUUUGCUAGGGUGCUCGAGUCUGUAUUCCUCGGCAGCUAGGACCUCGGUCCAUCUAUCAGUUAGCAGAUCUUUAUCAGCUUGAAGUUGUUGUUGCUUUUUCUUCAGGCUUUUUGCAGUGGCUAUAAGCCGGUGCUUGAAGCGCUCCUGCUCGACGGGAUCCUCAGGCACGAUGAAUUCUUUGUCGCCGAGGCUCACUUCGUCUUUGGAAAGAGGCAUAUAAUUAUCGUCCUCUGAUUCUCCAGCUAUUGCCUGUUCCCUAGGGCUAGCUUGCCCAUCCUCUUGCUCGGCCUGCUCGAAGCCUGGCUGGGCAGGAUUGUUUUUGUCUUCGGCACCAUCCGGAUUGUUAUUUGUGCCGGUAUCGCUAUUUUUGCUAUGGCGGGGCUUGGAGCGGCGCCUAUGACGCCGGUUCUUAGAUUGCUUCUCCAAGGGGUUAUCAUUCGUUACCUCAUUUCCAUUGCUUCCUUUGGGGGUGUCCACCAUAUAUAUAUCAUAUGAUGAGGUGGCUGUCCAACGCCCUAUAGGCGGUGGUUCCUGUUCUUCUCCUGCAUCAUCGUCCAUACCGUCGAUGUCUUUGGAGUUGAAGUCAAGCAUGUCGGUUAAGUCAUCGAUAGUGGCUAUUAAGUGGGUGGUGGGUGGGGAACGGAUUUCUUCAUCGUCCGCUUCCCACUCGAGCCGGACAUAGUUCGGCCAAAAAUCUCCCGACAAGGAAAGAGACAUUAAUGAAUUUAGCACAUCACCCAAGGGUGAGUGGCGAAAGAUAUCCGCAGCGGUGAACUCCAUGACCGGUGCCCAAUCAGAUUCGAUAGGCACGGACGUACGCGGUUUGGAUCCUAUAACCAAAGAUGAGUCCGAGGGUCCGAUGACACCAUCCUCACAAGCGGUGGGAUCAGUGUUCGGCUCCAAUACCGAUAAGUGUGCGGACUUCGUGGCGGGGUCCAUCCACCCGUCCUCGGAAGGCGCGAUCUGCUCCGGAUUGAUUCCCGGGGCCGCCGCAGGUGCGAUCUCCCGAACACAGUCUGAUGGCAAAUCUAAGUCAUGCUCGUCACGGCUGUUCGGCAUACCUGACACGGGCUCGAAUCUAUCGAAGAUUAGGUCUCCACGGAUGUCAGCAGUAUAGUUUAAGCUUCCAAACCUGACCUGAUGGCCAGGGGCGUAGUUAUCGAUCUGCUCCAGGUGGCCAAGCGAGUUGGCCUGCAGUAUGAAGCCGCCAAAUACGAAGAUCUGUCCGGGGAGGAAAACCUUCUCCUGGACCGCGUCAUUGAAGAUGAUUGAAGGAGCCAUCAAGCCUUACCGUGACGGCACAGUGGAACUCUCAAUGAAAGCACCAAUGUCGGUGUCAAGACCGGUGGAUCUCGGGUAGGGGGUCCCGAACUUUGCAUCUAAGGCUAAUGGUAACAGGAGGCAGGGGACAAGAUGUUUUACCCAAGUUCGGGCCCUCUCGAUGGAGGUAAUACCCUACUUCCUGCUUGAUUGAUCUUGAUGAUAUGAGUAUUACAAGAGUUGAUCUACCACGAGAUCGUAGAGGCUAAACCCUAGAAGCUAGCCUAUGAUUAUGAUUGUUCUUGUCCUACGGACUAAACCCUCCAGUUUAUAUAGACACUGGAGGGGGCUAGGGUUACACAGAGUCAGUUACAGAGAAGGAGAUCUACAUAUCCGAAUUGCCAAGCUUGCCUUCCACGCGAAGGAGAGUCCCAUCCGGACACGGGACGAAGUCUUCAAUCUUGUAUCUUCAUAGUCCAACAGUCUGGCCAAAGUAUAUAGUCCGGCUGUCCGAGGACCCCUUAAUCCAGGACUCCCUCAAUGGCAACAAGAUUCUCGAAAAUAGCAACAACUACAUAGUUCCCGUAAUGCCAAGAGCGGAUGGGAACUCGAAAAAUUGCUAUCUUUCGUAGAAGACAGUCACCAUGAUCGUAUUUGAAUGUGCGUAGAAUACCGGUGUACUCAACCUCUAGGCAGUCUGCUUAGAUUUUCCAAAGUGGAACCCGGUGAUGAGUGUACGCAUUCACAAGUUCCCACUCACAGUUGUUCCCAAUAUAAACAAGCCAAUCUCCAUUUGUGCCUACCCAAGCCUUGCCCUCAAGCGAUGGCAUCUUAACUUCAUACAUAUCAUUAUCAAGCGGCAUCAACUUGCACAAGGUGAGGCCUCCGUCGUCCCCGCGCCAGUCAGCAGGGUCACGGCAAAGAAGAUAGGGGAGAUCAAACCGCUCCUGGACCCUUGGGUUCCUUGCAAUGGUGUUAUUAGCUGAGUCGAGAAUGGUCUUGAACGAACCUGCCAUGCUAGCUGAGGUGAUGAGGUCACACCGAUCAAUGAGUUCUCCACCAUGUCAUCUUUCAGAUCGGGGCAAGAAUAACAGGGUCGUUUCUGUCCUGUUCCCUCCUUGGAGAAGACGAUCGAACAAUGGCAGAAGGAAGGGUGAAGGCAAAUGGAGGAGGGAGGAAGAGUGUGCGACUGCAGUUCCAAAUUGAGAGGGAAAGGCGAAGAGUCGGUGGACGGUUGCCAGUUUGCCACGGUACACGAAGAGGCGCCCCGGAGUAGUAGAAAAGGACUCGCCGUCGUGUCACUGACAUGUUGGAACGGGACCACAUGUCAACGAAACAUGGUGUGUAAUUUAUCGUGCAAAAUGCGAUCUGGACGCGUUGGCCCGAGGUGCCACAUUAGUUAUCAACCUUUAUUUUUUUUAAAUACAAUCUGAGUGGAUAGCUCCUGUGGUUAUCACACGUGAGCAGAUAUAUAGGUGGGCUAGGUGGGCAGGCGGCAACAAUCUGAGUGCUAAAAGAGUUGAUCCAAUGCUUGGUUUUGUUUGGAUUUUCCAACUAUGACCAUUGGAUGGAGUGAAUCAAUGGCUUACGUUCAAAGUUAUUCUCAUACUAUAGAAUGGUAUAGGAACGUGGAGAGAUUUGGUUGAUUUUAUAUCGCAGAAUAAUAUAAAAUAUUAUGAGUGCAGACGCUCCACCGCGAGGUUCGUUGCUCCUUCUCGGUCGUCGGGAAUCUAUAUUCUUCCACUCUUUCGUUUAAGACAUGAGCUUUGUUCAUCCUUUUGCCGACACGCGGGACAUCUAUAUGCCUCCAUUUUAAAAAUCAUACUAUAUGCCUCCAUGACACACGGGACAUCUAGCAUCAAGGUCGCGUGUCAUGCAAGAAAAUGGAGAUAUGCAGUGCGUAAGUGAGUCGUGCACUUCGAUGGCACCUAGUACUACGCAAUAGUUUUUCUCCUCGAUGUCACAUGAAUAGUGCACGUACUCAAUGACAGAGCACGGGAUGGUAGCCAUGGACAUGGUCGUCCCUUUUUGAAGAGAGUACUAAUAAAUAACUUUGAUGUGUCCCGUCAACUCGCAGAAUGAUGAGAAUCUUGCUUACCUUCUCCCGCGCCAACGCGUGCGCGGUGGCUCGCAGCACGAGGAGAAACUUUUGCUUACAAGCGGUGGACGUGCAACAAUUCAUUUGGUGUCAGAUUGCGAGAAGUACUAUUGUAGUACCAUCAUUAUUGUUCGACUUCCGGAAAAGGAGAAGAGCCAAGCGCAAGGUCACCUACUAACCUAGUACAGUACUACUAUAGCCAAAGCCGGUCCACCUUUUUAGAGCAUGGUUAAUUAAUAUAGGCGGCUCUUGCAGCGGCACAUCAUUUAGAGCAAGUACUCUCUUCGUAGUAUCAAAGGAAGUGAAACAAAAGUUGGAGUGGAUGCUAGAUUGCCAAUUAAAACAUGAUUACAUAGGGAAAAAAUCCUAUAGCAUUCUAUCCUAUGAAUCAAAUGACCAAUGUAGGAAAAUUAUGAGGGGGGUCUCUCCAACAGUGUUCCUCGGCUCGCACCUAGCAUCACGGUGGUCGAACUUGGAGUCAUUCAUCUGGUACACGUGGCAUCUCAGAUCUGGACACAAGGUGACGCGACCUCUCACUUCGUCCGCCAUUUGAAGCAGCGCGCCAGUGGAGGACUAGCAUACUCCAAUAUUAGGUUGGCUCUAUGUGAUGUGGCAACUUCAUAUACUAACCGGAUGCUGACUAUACUACUACGGUACUCACACUCCAAGAAGUGACUCGAAAACCAUUCAUAAAUUGAGUCUAUGACAUGCAUUUGCAAAUGUACCAUUCAUUACAUACAACAAGUCAUCAACACACAACGACAACGAGGAUACAUGUUGGAUUAUAGAUUAUUUCAAACAAAACAUUCUAGCAAAUACUGAAGUUUUCAUCACACAACAAAUAACAAGCAAUGAAAUGAACUUCAACUCAACCUAUACUCGGCGUUGGAAACGCUUGCUUUGAACCAUAGGUGCUCUAGGAAGGGCCAGCUAUCAUCAACAUCGAGAGCAACACAGGACUGAUCAUCCAGGCUGAAGCGACAUAUAUCAGGAGCAGGGUAGGGAACCACCGCAAUGUCCGAGGUAUAGAUACAGUUUCUUCUCAUAAAUGGUAGUAACGUUGUGUCAACAGUAGCUGGAUCGCCUUUAACCAUCAUUGGAUAGUUUGGUCCAAGGAAGAGCGAGUUUUCUCCAAGACUAUCAAUAUUGUACCAGGGAGAAAGUGUUGGUGCUAGCACACUACUACCUCUAUCCGGGAUUUUUAGGCCGCUGAGUCCCUGAGCCACGUCCAUAAAUACAAGGCCCUGAUGUAUUUUCCAAUGCACAAUCAAUAGGGCCUUUCCUCUCUCUAAUUGGCCAAGAACGGGUCACGCCACCGCGUCCUGCGUGCUGAAGAGGUCGCAUGCAUGCGUGCACGAGGCCGGACAAUGCAUGUUGGGUGGUAAUUAUGGCGCGGCACAUGUAGCCUUUUAAUCUGCGCUAUUAGUAAAUGUCAAAGAAGUAUCCAACCAAUUAGCGCAGAGCACGUAAAGGCAGCCACAUAAAUCAAUUCAGUUAAUUACUAUCUAAAUGCGUGCAUGCAGUUUACUGCGGCUGUCUUGGUCCUAGUGUUUUGUUCUGUGGGACUAAUAUACCCGGACGGAGGUAGUAGUAUCCACCCCGAAUACCCUGUAACGGUUGUUGGAAUAUGUCCAGAGCGGGCGACCAUGGGAGACAACACGUGCUCCCUUAGUAGUAACAAUCUCAGUGCACUGUAUACAGACAAGAAGAGGUGAUCCAUCGGGGUUACUCCUAGUUGCCAGGCGCCACUGAGUAUAUAAGUCCUGCUCGUCCUCAUGACCGUGAUCAUCACCAUCAUCAUCUCCCCCUUGGUUAUAAAAAGUUUCAAGUAUAGGUGGUGGAAUGUUCACAGGACCUUGGAAACACAAGAAGAAGGUUAAUUAGUAAAGGGAAACUUGCUAACCCACAUGCAUGUGGAUGAAACAAUUAUAAUUACGGUGGAAUACAAACGUACCGAAACUAUGAGGAUCCCAUGCAAAAACAGUGCCACGAGUGGUGGAAGCAAACACAUGAUCCUCAUAUUCAAUUGCAUCAUAGUACUCAUCAUCCGUGUACAGAAACUGAUUUUUGAGCAAUAUCCAUGGACAAACCGUGGAAUUAGUAACGACGGCAACAAGCUUGUCAAAGAUCGCGACAACUACAUAGUUCUUGUAAUUCCAAGAGCGGUUGGGAACUCGACAAAUUGCUAUCUUUCAUAGACGACAGCCACCAUGAUCGUAUUUGAACGUACGUAGAUCAUCUGUGUGCUCAACCUCAGGGCACUCUGAGAUUUUUGGAAGUGGAAUCCGCUGACGAGUGUACACAUUCACAAGUUCCCCCUCGUAAUUGUACCCAAUAUAAAUAACCCAAUCUCCAUUUGCACCAGCCCAGGCCUUACCCUUAAGCGAUGGCAUCUUGACAUCACACAUAUCAUUAUAAAGCAACAUCAACUUGCACAAGGCGAGGCCUCCGUCGUUCGCGCCCAUGCGAACAGGCUUAUAGCAAAGAAGAUAAGGGAGAUCAAACCGCUCCUGGACCCUUGGGUUCCUUGUAAUGAUGUUAUUAGUUGAGUCAAGAAUGUUCUUGAACGAACCUGCCAUGCUAGCCGAGGUGAUGAUGUUGCACCAAUCAAUGAAUUCCUCCACCAUGUCAUCUUUCAGAUUGGGGCAAGAAUAACGGGGUCGUUUCCUACCUGUUCCCUUCAUGGAGAAGACAAUCGAACAAUGGCAGAAGGAAGGGUGAAGGCAAAUGGAGGAGGGAGGAAGAGCAUGCGACAGCAGUUCUAAAUCGAGAGGGAAAGGCCAAAAGUCGGUGGACGGUUGCCAGUUUGCCACGGUACACGAAGAGGCGUCCCGGAGUAGUAGAAAAGGACUCGCCGUCGUGUCACUGACAUGCUGGAAUGGGACCACAUGUCAACGAAACAUGGUGUGUAAUUUCUCGUGCAAAAUGCGAUCUGGCGGCGUUGGCCCGAAGUGUCGCAUUAUUUCUCGACUUUUUUUUAAUGGCGUAACAUUCAGUUUUGAAGCACGACUAACUAGUACUGUAUGCAGAAAAAAUAUAAACUACUCUACCACUACUCCACCUCUAGUACUAGUAGUAUAAAAACGAUAUAUAGGCCAGAGCUUCAGCACUUUCUUGCUAAGGGCUGCCCACUUGCUUCUUACACUAUCACCCUCUCUCCAGAUCAAAAAAGACGGCCUCUCUCUCCCUCCUCAUCGAUGGUCACAGAUCCACCGGGGAAGAAAAGGACGUGCAGCAUUGACGCACUCGUCGUCGGCGAGCGAGGUCACACACUGACAACAAGGCCGUCCUCUCAGACCUAGCGCCCGCGCGGGAUGGCCUUCGUCCCCAAGCUCGCUGCCAUAGUGUGUGCGAAGGACAACGACCAUGAGCGAAGCCACUUCCCGCCGACCCUCAGGUAUGCUACCUCUUUUUGAACCAUACCCGUGUUCUAUUGCCCCAUCUGCCACGUCGCUGCAUGUGGAUCUUUUUUCACUCCACCAUCUUCCCAAUUUGCUAUCCUCUACUCUGCUGGUCACGCAGACAAAAACCGUAAUUUGCACUAUUAAAGGAAACCCUACUUCAUGCAGACUAAUCCAUGUCUGGGUUGAAUAAGGAAAGGAAGGGAGAUUGUACUGUCCAAGAGAGUAGGCAUCGAACCCGCAUCUAGGUUGUAACGGGGAAAAUCAGUAGCUAAGGAACGAGUCUCAUGUCUCUUGGUUGAAGAAGGGUAGACAGGCAUGACAACGCAAUAGAGAAUGACCAGGUCGAUUGGUUUGUUGUCCUCACAUAGGAAAACAAUGGCUAAAGAGAACAAAAAUGGGACGUAAUCCACAUAUGCUACCUAGAUAUUUGUUGCUCUGGGAAACCAUACCUCCCUCACCACUCUAUGCGUCUGUGGAGGUACAUCGUACUGGUGCGCCCGCUGCCCGAAUGGGCCUCCCAUGCUCUUAUGCCACUUUUUUGCUGUUAGUAUAACGCUAGCAGUCAAGUCAAGCAAUGCUACUGCUAAAGUGAUGCCACAUUUAACUAAUGUCGCACUUAGUCUAAUGCCACCGAUAAAUUUAAGCAAUGUCAUUUAAUGUCACUGGAUUAUUUCAGGGUUAGCUGUUAAUUGUGGAUGUAUUAAAGAUUUUUUAGCUAAGGCAUUCUAAUGUUGUUGCAUAGCCAGUAUACCAACGAUGAAUCUUGUUUCUACCUUCAGAUUUUUGCACUGUUAAUGCUUAUAGAUUACAUACCUCACUUUCAUGCGAUGAGUCAAUUUUUUUUUGUAUAGUGUCAAGAGGAAAGGUCAAGAGUGGGCACCUCCUCCUCCAGUUGUUCUCUUGAUUCGUUCGAUCAAGUUUUUAUAUUUGACAGAUUAUCAAGAUUAGGAUAGCAAUUUUUAGGUCCCCUCGAGUUUGAAAUGAUAUUUACCUUGAAGGUACAUGGUUUGCAAUUUUAUUAUACUGUAAUUAGUUAAUAAUGCUAGUUACCUUCAGACUUUUGUAUUUUGUUUAAUGCUCAUGCACAGCUAGUAUACCAAUGCUGAAACUUGUUACCUUUACAUUUUGUAUUGUUAAUUCUUAUAGAAAUCUUCUAGAGCUAGAGUUUAUUGAAAUUUGUUCAAUAAAAUCAUUGUACUGUACCCUGUAAUAAAAUAACUACUCUACUGUUGCACUAGCCACUAUAUUAGUGUAUAUUUGUAGUAUUCGAAUGGUAUUGCAUUAGCGUAUGGACAUAAAUAAAGUGUGGCAAGCUUUCCCAGAUAUGUGCUCAAGAAAGCUACUACCUGUUUUUCUAAAUAUUAGACGUUUGGGUACUUUAAAUUGAACUGUGAAAACGUCUUAUAUUAAGGAACAGAGGGUGUAGAGUUCAUCAAAUUAUCCUGGUAAAGCUAGUCACACCUUUGUUAAAAUUAAUGUUCGUUAUGUUAUCAGAGGAGGUCUGUAUGUUUCCCUCCAAUGCAUGUCGACUACAUACCUGACAUCAUGAUGUAAUGUUAAGUCAUUUCCUUUUGUACAGUGUCACUGACUUGUCAAGGCUGUGAUGACAUUUUAUUUUAGUUGAACUGCACAAAAUAUGCUUAAAAGAAGAGGAAAGGUCAGAAAUCGAUCAUUCUUUCAGAAAGAACUAUAUAUGCCUUUCUGACAUCAGUCGUUGUUGCCUUAUUUAUUCCUUCAAACAGGUGGUUAGAAACAGUCUUGCUACCUUUUCCCAUUAAGAAGUUGGAAUCCUUAUAUUUGUGAGUCUAUGCUUCAACUAGUGCCACUUUUAUAGUAAUCACACUUUCAAUAUUUAUGCAAACAGGGAUGCUCGAUUUUAGUGGAACUGCACAAAAAGUCCAAAUGGUUCAACAUUAGGAGCAUGUUUUCUUCCAAACAUUUAUAUCCAAUUGGUGGCACUAUGAGUUGUUCAUUAUGAAGGUACAUGGUUUGCUACUAUGUUGCUACUCUUUUUGUAUUGUCAUUAGAUAGUAAUACUAGUGGUUUGCAUGUGAAUUUAUUGGUAGGGUGGACCUACGUUGGAGGUGCAGGACAUGAUUCAAUGAUUGGAUGCUCAAUUUCAGUCGUAUCAAUUUCACCUCUUCCAUCACUGCGAACAUGGAUAUCCUUGGUCUGAUGAAGAAUAGGCGCUAUAUUUCUGCUCUGAACCAACAAAUCAAUUCAGUAUGAAAUUGUCCAGGGCAAAACAUGAUUGUAUCAAAUUGUCGAGUGCAAAACAUGACAGAUGCUAAGCGGAAGAGACAUGUUUAAACCAAAAAUACAAGGUGGGCUAUAUGUUUACUAGCUGCUUGAUAUUUGUGCAGACAGAGAUGUCUGCCCAUUGCUAUUUGGCAAAAAAACAAAGUGACCGCAAUUUUGGUUGAACUGCACAAGAGAAUAGUAUAGUCACUGCAUGCAGUGCCAUUUGAAAAUAGACACAGAAAGAUUGGAUAGUCACUUCAUGGACUGCAGAAAAGUAGUAUUGUACUAUUUAUUGGCCAACACUAGGUGCUUCAUUGCUUUGGUCUAAUUAUACAAUGGGCAUCAUUUUGCCUAAGUUAAAGUUUGUAUUCCUAAAAUAGUCGCGCCGUGUGCUCGAGAGAAGACCAAAUCAUAUUGCAGUGGAUGUUCCUCCAUCAUGUGUGGUUCAUUCUCAUGGUUCCAGCUGUUGGUGAAACCACUUACAUUUGCAAGAGGAAUUAUAGACUUCACAAACAAAUUUGUCUUUCAGACUGUAUUGAAUGUUGGCGAAGAGAAGCAUCCAUGUUAGUAGGAAGAACAGAUGUUUUUUCUAGAUCUUUGCUUUUGGAGGUACAUAUUUGUAUAUGAUCUGUGAAUCAUUGAGAUGCAUUAACAUGUUGAUCUUAUGUAUGGGAAUCGUACUAGUUGGUUUUAGUUGUAAUGCAAGAUCCAAAGUGGCUGAUCUUUGCUUUUGGAGCUACAUAUUUGUAUAUGAUCUGUGAAUCAUUGAGAUGCAUUAACAGUUCCUUAUUUCUGUUCGCUCAGUGUUUACAAGUUACUGAUCGAUCACUAGCUAGCCUACUAAUGCGCUCCUGGCAGUUUUAAUUGCGAUGCAAGAUCCGAAGUGGCAGUUUUUUCAAUAAAAAUGCCUACCUCUGAAGAAACUGACAAGCUGCUCUGAAGAAAAUGUCAUGCGAAUCUGAAGAAACUGCAAGCAAAAACGUUCGCAAAUGCCUUAUCUCCCAGCUAACGUUCAUCAGCUAAUGCGAUCGUACACAUACACCAUCCGACCUACUCGAUCCUACACGUACACUAUCCGACCUACUCGAUCCUACACGGAUAAAUAGUGGAUCACGCAUGUACUACCUCCUUUCCGGUUUGCAGGGCUCAAUCAAGAAACAAACUACUUGAUCCUACACGAAUAAAUAGCGGAUCACGCACGUACUAGUACCUCCUUUCCGGUUUGCAGGGCUUAAUUCAAAAAUCUCACCAACCAAGGUACUCCCUCCAUCCGGGUUUAUUAGUCCCGUGAGCCAAAUCAGCAAGACCAAGGCAUGGCAAUAAUUAACUGCAUGCAGAAGUUUAAGCCUAAUUAAUUCCAGCGAUUUAAGUGGCUGCAUGCGUGCCCUCGGCUGCGACUCGUUGCAUGCUGCUCUCCAUACUGGCUACGAGCGAUUCUGAGUGCCUGCAUGCAGCCGACUGUAAUUAAGGUAGCUAAAUGAUGCGAAAAAGAUGCGCUUUAAUUGUUGCAGGCCUUUUAAAUCCGUGGAAUCAUUAUUGACAAGGAGGGAGUACCUCAUCUGGAUGACUCGAGUGCAUUCAUUUGACCGUCAUGCCGACGUGCGACCCAGCAUGGACGGGACGGGAUGACAUAGUCAUAAUUUUAGUUUCUCUAGUUUUCCACGGCAAGUUGGCGUGCUAAGCCAUGCCUUCUUAUGCAUUGAAUUCCGAUGACCGUCGCGCUACCUUCCACCUAUAAGUACUGUUUCCCGGCCUUCUCCGGUGGCACCCUGACCCAACUAGCCCUAUCCUCAUAAGCUCCCACUGGCCCGACAUCGCUCGCCACUUAUCCUCGCUCUCACCACCUCUGCCAUGCCCCCGCCCGUCCGCGAUAGGCGAGGCCGGAGGUUAUCACCGCCGGAACUAGUGUUCGCUUUUUCACCGGAAGGCAGACGGAGGGAGGAGGCAUUCUAUCGGUCUUUAGAUGGCAAUGCGGAGAUUGAGGACUUGUUGGAGCGCGACCGCCUGGCGGAGGAGCAGGAGUUGUUGGAGCGUGACCGCCUGGCAGAGGAGCAGCGUAUCCCUGAUUUGCGCCGCCAGUGGGACAUGGAGCAGCAGCGCACCGACGCUCUGAGUCGAGAGGCAGAGCACCCACAACUGGGCCGACUACAUGGAGGUUGGCGCCUGGCAAAUAGCCCUGGAGGCUGUCGGGCAUGCACGCGUUCGCGACACCGAUUUUUACUACCAACUCCUCAAGUGGGUUUCCUGCUUAGAAGCUAAACCUUUGGUGGACCACGCCUGCAUGGAAAGGGCCAACACGCGCGCGCAACGCGCCCUAUCGCACCUCUGGCAAGUCCGAGGCGAGGCAGAGGAUGCCGGUGCCAGCGUUUAGCGUAUACCCCAGAUGGCGGUCGGCAUCGUCUAGUUAGCUAAGAGUACUUGUAUGCUACUAGAGUAUUAGUGGGAGUAGAUAGUUAACUUGGCUAUGAUUUUUUUUACUAUAAACAGUAGGGGAACUUGGCUAUGAUGGUUGUCAACGUGGAAGUUCAGUACUAUAUAUGUGGAUCAGACCUGUUACUUUGCUCUGAAUGUUGAACUUUCCAUUUGAACGUAUGGAAUGGGCUGUUAUUUUUUUAAAUGGGUUGUAUUUGUCCUCCACAGGUUUAGAGGCUGACUUGUGGGCCUACCAAGUUGACGCGUACACAAUCAGGAGAUGAUUGUACGUGGAGAGGAGGACAGCAGGGACCCGCCAAGGUCAUGGCAGUAUGCAAGCAAGUGCCUCCUUAUUUCAAGCCAAUAAAACAAUGGCUCCUCCUAAUGGAUUUCUGACACCUGGGUCCCAUGCCAUUGUCAACGUAGUCAAUAAACGAGAGAAUUGCACAACGAGCGGGUAACACCAGGGACCCAGCAGCUCGCCCAGUUAUUUUUGUUUUGGGUUAAUUUGAUAAAUGCCACUCCAAAUCUGGUGUUUCCGAGAAAUGCCACUGCAAUUUCCAAACUUUGAAAAAUGCCAUUUCAUGCCAUUUCCAGUGGCAUUUUUCGAAGUCUGGAGUGGCGUUUUUCAAUGUUUGCAAAUUGUAGUGGCAUUUUUCAAAGUUUGCAAAAAUUGCAGUGGCAUUUUUUAAAGUUUGGAAAUUGUAGUGGCAUUUUUAUGAAUCGCCAUAAUUGGAGUGACAUUUAUCUAAUUUGUUUUUGAGACGGAAGCAGGGUGUCAACUGGGCUGUGCGGGGCACUCUGGCCUAUCUAGACAGCCUUUUCUUUUAUAUUUACCACAGACCAGCCCAGUACUUUUUUUUUCUUUCUGAAAAUGGCUAGCCCAGUUUUUUUGUGAUUUGUCAAGUAAGUCGCUUUGCCAGGCCUGUUGGUCUGCAAAUCUUUCAAGACAAGGAGAGCUUCAUUCGGCUGGCCGAGAAAAUGGCCUAUCAGUAAUGAGAAAUGGGUUGUACAUUUUUAAAACACAUCAAACCGGCAAUUAGUUUCAAGUUUAUCUUUUUCAUUUCAAGAUUUUAAAUUGCAUUGAUUUUUAUGCAUGGACAAUCUGUUGGAUUUUAUACUGAUAUACAUUUAUUUUUUUUAAACAGUUUGAAUGUGACUCGAAAUUUCAAGAUUAAAAAUAGUUCGGACCGCACCGAAAUAUGAAAAUUUUCGUAUAAUUUCUUAACUGUGGCCACAAUAUGGGUUGUAAUGCUAACAAAAAGAAUAUGGGCUCCAAAAAAACCUAAAGAAUUAGCAAAUGAGCUGUAAAUUAUUAGAAAUAAUGGCAGAUGGGUUGUAUGUUGUUUUCCGCAGAUUUGAGGUUUUCCUAAAGAAAAGGUUGACGCACAAGCACUGACUAUUGGAUGUCCAUCCAACGGCCCUCGUGCUUCUUCAAUCUCUACUCUUCCUGCUCCAACCACUCAAACAAGCGCCGGUGGGACUGCCUGCUCCCUCCUCCCUGCGGCCGGCUGUGCUACCGCGCAGGCCUCACCGUCCCAUCGUACUCCCAUCGCUGACCUAGCCAUCCCUCUACUCACCCACACCUCCUAUUAUUCUCUGGCGACGACAGACGAACCAGUAAACCCUCGUAUAGUCGUACUCCCCUCCGCGUGAGAAACAACUGCCGAGUCUUUCCUGGCUCUGUGUCGUUCCCUUCCUAGGCCUCGCCAUCGUCCACCAUCCUGGUGCUCUCGGCGUUGCGUGGUCAACAUGGUCAAUGACCGACAUGCAUCUGAAGUGGACUGUACGUGGAGAGGCUGACAGUUGGGUCCACGGCCGCACGCAAGGAAAUGCCUCCUUAUUACGUGCAAAAUAAUGAUUCCUCCACCUGGUAUCUGGGACCCAUCGAAAGGGCCUCUGUAUUUCAUGAAAAAAUGUUACCGCCGCUGACAGCUCGGACUCACCAGCUAUAUCUUCACAUGCAAGGAAGUGCCUCCUUAUUACUCACAAAAAAUGAAUACUCCCCCUGCUAGCUGGGACCCUGUAUAGUGGGAGGCUGACAUGUGGGCCUACUAAGUUGACGGGGACGGAGGGCUUUGUCAACUUAGUCAAUAUGCACGAUUCUAGCUCCGGUGACCGUACGAUGUCCAUCCAACGGUCGUAGUGCUUCUUCAACCUCUGGUCUUCUUGGUCCAGCCGCCCAAAGCAGCGCCGGUCGUGCCGCCUGCUCCUGCCUCCCAUGGCCGGCUGUGCUGCCAUGGAGGCCUCACCGCCCCCUACUACUCCCACCGCUGGCCAGGCCAUCCCUCCACUCACCCACACCCACACCCUGUUAUUCUGCGGCGACGACAGCCUCACACCGCAGUCCAAAUCAGUGAACCCUCGUACUCCUCUCCGCGUGAGCAUCCACUACCGCGUCUUCCCUGGAUCCACGGCAUCCCCUUCCUAGGCCUCAUCGUCGUCCACCGCCAUGGUGCUCUCGGCGUGGCAUGGUCAAUGUGGUCAACGACCGACUUCCAUCGUAAGAGUACUGUACAUGGAGAGGCUGACAACUGGGUCCACGCAGCCGCAAGGAAGUGCCUCCUUAUUAUGCGCAAAAUAAUUAUUCCUCCACCUGACAGUGGGGACCCAUCGGACGGGCCACCGUAUUUCACAAAAGAAAUGUUUCCCCCCUGACUACUGGGACCCACCAGCUACAUAUUUGCAUGCAAGGAAGUGCGUCCGGGCAAAAAACGAUUUGCCCCCCUGACUGCUGUGACCCACCAGCUACAUCUUCGCACGCAAGGAAGUGCCUGACAGUCGGGACCCACCUGGUCGAAGCGUAUGUAGCGUUGUCAUUCUAGUCGUGAACGUGUACAUACAUACUGGUCGAUGUAGAGGAGCGCACGUGUCGCAGUAGAGGCACGCACGUAGCAUGUACACGUACGUACAAUAGCUAGUGUGCAAGAAAGAAAAUACGGCCAUGUAUGUCGUGGAAUUGUCACGUCAGAUGCCCUAGCGAAAGAACUUAGUCGUGGAGCCAUCGGAACUAGGAAGCUUGAAGGGGUUAAUCAGGACAAGAGACAUGAGAGGUUUAUACAAGUUCGGCCCCUUACGAUGAAGGUAAAAGCCUACGUCUAGUUGUGAUUGGGAUUAUGUAUGUCUCGAUAACCAGGAGGCAGAAUCGCUUGACCUAGCUCUCGAGUUGUUGUUUCGUGUCUUGAACCGCCGCCGGGUCGUCCCUUUAUAUACUGAGGUUGACGCCCAACGGCUCUACAGAGUCCCGGCCGGCUUAUAGUUUGUAUCCGGCUCGGUCUCUUAACAUUUAUGCCUUACAGUACAAGUUACAUGAAUAAGGCGGUUUAACACUACAGGCCUUAAGUCGUCCCUGGGCCUUUGGGCCUUUACUAAACCGCCGUCUUCAACCUUGAGCUUUAGUCUUCAAGAAUGCUUAUAGGUAUAACCCGGCUCCCUCCGGCAGGUCAUACCUAGUAGUUAUAUCCCCAACAUUAGGCCCCAGACUGAUUUGAACUAGUUCAUGUCAGUCUUCAAAAAGUCUUCUGCUCCUUACUUAAGAAAGUUCAUGUAACCCGCCAUGACGUCACCCUUCAGAUUUGUGGUAACCCGCCAUGUCAUCACCUGUCAUAAAUGCAUGCUUUGUCCAACAUAUCCUAAUAGAUCUCUGUCUUAAUAACCAUCCGAAAAUCAAGGCGCCCUUGUAGCUGGAUAAAUUUAUUUUUCGGCCUCCUCGUUUUUGCACCCACUCAACAGGUUUUCCUUAUAAAUAGCCCCGACUAGGCAUCUUUUCCAUUCUCCGUACGCAUCUUCUUCCUCUCACCCCAUCUGCCACUGGAGCUCCGCCGCUGUCGCCACUGCGCCCUUCAUUCUCGUCGAGCUUUGGCCGCUGCAUCACCCUGACCUUGACCAGAGAACAGCGGUGCUCCUCCUCUGUGGAUCCCCCGCAGUAAGUGUUUCCCUUUCCGCACCAUAGAUCUGCAUUAGGAUUAUCGUGUUCUUCUACGCAGACAUAGUUCAUUCGAGCUCUUGCUCUUUUUCCUUGCCACGGCGUCGCCUGACCCAAAGAACCCCAUGAAUCUGAUGCGGUCCAUGCUCCGCAUUCAUUUGAUUAGCUAUGGACUUCCUUCCCUUGUAAGAAAACCUCACCGUAGCAUAUGAACUUCUCUGCGUCCUAUUUUUAGGUCUAGUAAUUUUUCUUUUCUGAACCUUUGUUUGAUCCAAAAUAAUUACUGCAAACUAUGAAACUUGUUUGUCCUACACUUAGGAAAAAUCCAUAACUUGUUAGACUUGCCAGUCAUGGCGGCUCUAACCGCCGGCUUAAAGAAGCAAUAAUAUGAACCUCCCCUGUUAGUUUAAAUAAUACUGAUGGCUUUAAAACACUUAUGGCGGCUUACGUAACCCAGCGUAAGUAUCCUUAUACCAGUAGGCCCCUUCAUAAGUCGCCAUACUUCAUUCCACUAAUAUUUUUUCCUGUCCGGCUUAAAUUUGAACCGGCCUUGUUUACUUUGUAUUUAGGCUUUCAAACAUAAUGGCGCCCAAGGCACCUACCUCUUGCAACUGGGUGAAAUCCAUUGCCACUGAUGGCACUUUAGAUGACUUCGUGAAAACCGGCUAUCUGCCAAACAAAGAAGUCAUGCCUUACCGUGCUCCUAACCCGGAUGAAGAAAUUCCUCAACCCAAAGACAGAGAGGUGGUUGUCUUUACAGAUCAUAUGAACCGGGGUUUUACUCCUCCCGGUUCAAAAAAAUUCAGAGUUGUACUGAAGUUUUUUGACCUUCGCCCACAAGACAUUGGACCCAAUUCCGUGUCUAACAUCUGUAAUUUCCAAGUGUUCAGCGAAGUUUAUCUUAGCGAAGAACCAAACUUACUGCUUUUCAGAGAGUUGUUCUAUUUGAACCGCCAGACAGAGCGUGCCAAUGGUGAGAGCUUGGAACUUGGUGGGAUUUCAAUUCAGCGCCGCAGGGAUGCACUUUUCCCCUAUGCCAACCCGCCAAGCCAUCCAAAAGAUUGGAACAUGACAUGGUUCUACUGCAAGGACACCUCCCCGGUUGACGAGAAUCCUCUGCCCGGCUUUCAUGCCCUUCGUCUUGACACCAAUAAUCAUUUGCCCGACAAGAUUACUGCCGCAGAACGCAGAUCCCUCUCUCCUACUCUGGCCAAGAUCAAAGCUCUGUUGGGGAAUAGGUUGACGGGCAUUGACCUGGUUCGAGUCUGGCUUGCUUGGAGAGUUAUCCCAUUGAGCCGCCGUACCGUCUAAAUGUGUGAAUAUACUGGUGCCAAGAAUGACCCCCUGCGCCAUAGCCCUGACAAUUUACCUGCUCAUGUUGUUGAUGACAUGACCAAAUCUCUUCUCAACGAGAGUCCGGCGGAUUGUGGCAGAGUGGGUCUCGCCCCGUUCUGCAAAGAUAACCCGGCUCCAAAGGUAAAAACCCUCGUAUAAAAAUGUUUACCUUAUUUUCUUAAUGCUUCACCCAUACUCAUAAUAUACUUAAUCUUUGCAGGCGGGUGAUAAAUUUUGGAAUGUUAAAUAUGAUCAUGAAGCGGCCAAGAAAGCCAGGAAAGAAAAGAAAGCCGCCAGGAAAGAAGCUGCCCAAAGGAAGGGCAAGAAAGCUACUGCUUCGGACUUGCUUCGGCUAGCAGACUCUUCUGAGUCAUAGGUAUCCCUUGACUCCCUUGUCUUAUUCUUUAAUCAUCUUAUUGACACUGAUCAUCAGUAGGAGGACACUGGGACAAGCCGUAGCAAGGCUGACGAGGUAACUAUCCUUUCCUCUGACUCCGAGCCUUUGCCAAGACAGAAAAUCCGCAGAGUGACCCGGAAAGUAAGAUUUUCUCAUCCUCUAGCUCAUCAUGAUCCUCAAUUUCUUUUGAAGCGGCAAAUUCAUGAGAGCCGGAGCCAGACCCGGACCAGCAAGGAUGCGGAGCUCUCCUCCGGCUUACCAAAUACUCCAAGAAAACGCCAAAACAAGGUUACCUAUAUUUUAACUAAGUUUUACCCCUUGGCGGGUCUCUUUCGUCAACCACUCAAUUCCUCUAACUCGGAUUAUCAGGAUACUUCCCCUUCCUCCAGCGAGUCAUUGCAGUCCAAUCUGCCAACUUUUAAGACUAUACCAGGGUAUAAUAAGCCACUCACUUUUGUAGUUAUUGUAAUCUUCUUACUUCUGUAUUAAUCUUUUUAUUUGAAUGCAGUGGUCAAGCUAAACUCAGCAAGAGGGUUAGAAAGAAUAAACCGACUGAAGAAAGAGUCGCCGCUGAUGAGCCGAUUCUUGAGACGACCGUGCCGGAGUUAAGCACUCUUGAAACGCCACCUGAACCAGCACAAGAUGUGUCACCUCCUACUGACCUGCCCACUGACUAAGGUGCUACCGACUUAGAAAAUCCCAAACCUCCAAGCCCAACCCGGACAGCUGAUCCUUCCAAUGCUGAUGUUGAAAUCACCGGAACCGGCCAUGCUGACUCGGGGAGGCCAACCAUGCUGGCCAAAUGCCCCGCCAAGGAAGAACUUCUGGACUAGCGCCGAGUCAAGAUGGAUGUCGCCAAAUAUGCUCAUAUGAGUAUUGGAGAUGUCUUCUCUGGCUAUAUGAGCCAAGUGCACAACAGCCGGAACCUCGAGAUUGACAUGGUGAAGCAAAUGCACCAUAAAUUCGAGGUAUAACCCGUUUUCUCUUGUUCCUUAUCCUCCAAUAUGUUAGCCCCCAAGUCUGCUGCUUAAGAUACUUAUGCUGUAGACUUAGAAACAAAUUUGACAACAUAAAGAAAGAAUAAACUUCUAGCUUACCUUGUAGUCCCCAAGGGGCAGCUUAACCAAUAUGGUUGAGCCGGCUCUUUAUAGAGAAAUUCAUAUGUGUCUUUAAACAACAAUAUGCAUUAGCCCCCAAGUGCCAAGUGUUAUUGCUUGCAGAAAUGCUUGGGACUUAAUCAUAUGAAUCACCAUAUAAUGAACUGUCGUAGAAGAGAAAAAACUCUACAAGACAUUAGCCCCCAAGUGCCAAGUAGUAUUGCUGGCAAAAUGCUUGGGACUUUAAUACUGCAUAAAUAACUUACUUGAUUUUAUACUUGCACAGGCUACCACGAGUCAACUCGAGUCUGAGGUGACCAAUUUGAAGAGCCGCCUUGAAUUCCAAGAGUCAGAACUUGAGAAGGCCAACAGUAAGUUUGAAUACAGUGUUUUUGAACAGGAUAAACGAAAGAAAGAUUUUGAGACUAAAAAGAAAGCCUGGGCGGAUGAGAAGACCGCAUUGAUAAGCCGAGCUGAAAAAGCAUAAGCGGCUCUUGAAGAAGUCACUGGAGAAUUGUCCGGGUUAAAGCGCCAUAUUUCACAAAUGGUCGCAGCCAUCUUCGGUAAGUCGCCUUUCCGUUUUUUACAUAUCAUAAGCCGUGCAAUAGAGUACGUGGCAGAAAUUAACUAUUCUGAGUAUGCUUUGUACAGGCCCCAGAAGCGCAAAUUUAAACCACAACAUGCUGACGAAGCUGAAAGCUGUGUAUACAUUGGUGGAGCAAUUGUACACUGGGUCACAACGUACACUUGCUUCAGUGGCCUUAUCCAAUGAGAUUCCAACCCUCCUACCACGGGUCUUGAGUAAGCUUUCAGUCCUUCCUCAACGGAUCAAUGAAUUGAGACGGUCAGCUGCAAGAGCCGGAGCAAAUAAUUCUCUAAGCCGGGCUAAGGCCUGGCUACCUGAAUUAGACCCGGAGGAUAUCGCCAUUGGUUACCCAAGUCAGAAGGAAGACGGCACGCCAUUUGAGGACACGGAUUUUCUUGCUUGUGUCAAAGAGAUACGCCCCGUGGCGACUCUGAUAGCUACUGAGGUAGAUCUUACCAAGUACCAGGCGGGUUAUGAUGAACAAAAUUGAAGAAUUCCGACACCUCAAUAUGACGUGACCAGUCUGAUUCCCCCAAUUCAUAAGCAUACCUUUGCUCCUGAAGUUGACCUGGCCGGUCUUGUUGAUGAUGAAGCAGAAUUUGAAGCCUUAAACAACAUUGACUGGUCAUCAUCAACCUUCCAAGAAAAGGAGCAGAGCGCAAGUGCGUAGAGGGCUAACCCAGACACUUUCGGCCAAUCCUGAAGGUGAACCUGUCAUGGCGGCUCAUUACCUGGCGUGAAAAACAAUGCAAAUUAUUUGGAUUUAAUGAGUCCUGUAAUAGGAUAGAGAUAACUCUGUUGUGGCCAUGCCAUCGUGCAUGUUUUGAUGCUUAACAUUCUUAAGCCGCCUUGCUGUAUUCGUGCAACAGUUGAUCAUUUUUGAAAAACUGUCCUUCAAAUAAACUGCUAGGCGGGUCAAAAAGGUUAUCAAAAUAAUCAUAGAUUAUCUGGUUGAUAAAAACACAACUAUGAUAAAAUUUCACAACUUGCACCACCGGUUCAUAUAACCCGGCCGGUAAGGAUGAAGAUCCAAUAUUUGGAUACCCGGAAAGUACAACGAUGCUUAUGGGUCGGUGACUCAUCAGUCGAUAUUGAACCGGGCUACAGACAUCAUAUUUAUAGUAGUAAGCCUUAGGAAAAAUCUUAAGUCAAAUAAUGGGGCUUCCAAAGAGAACUUCAACCAAAAAGAGAAGUAACAAGGCUACUGAUUCGAAUGCGACCAGUGAACCGUCCCAGAGGGGUUUAAACUAGGAUUCGAAUACGAUCAUGUAGCCCCCAAUGGCUUUGGCAUUGCGCCGAUCAAGAGGGUACCGACAGCUGUGUUCUCUUUGGUUCGAAUACGACCUAUGUUUAAACAGGAAGCCCCGAUCUUGAGAGUUUUUUAACGACUCUGAUUCGAAUACGAUCAAAGUCGGUUCCCAAAUGGGGUUAAGCUAUGAUUCGAAUACGAUCAAGAAACCCCCAAGUGAGCUCGGCAGUGUGCCAAUCAAAAGGGUAUCCACAGUUAUGUUCUCUUUGGUUGGAAUACGACCUAUGUUUGAAUAGGAAGCCCCCUAGUGAUCAUAAUUUUUUAACAGCUAGAUUCGAAUACGAUCGUAAGGCGGAUCAGAACGGGCUGAGCCGGAUCAAAUAUGACCCGCCCCCGAGCGAUCAUGCGAGAAAAUGAUGACAAUGAUAAUAACAAAUUUACCUUGUGAAGAGGGAAAAAAGGACAGAGGUCCUGCUUUAUUAUUUAUCAUAAUAUAUACAUUGGCAAGAUUAUACAUCAGUGGAGCCUAUGGCUCAAGUGUAGUAGGGCCGGAGAUGAGCAAUAUUCCACGGCCUCCGGGUCUCUUCCUCUGACUUACGUGAGUCUUUGUGCUCUCGAAUGUCAAUAAGGUAAUAUGACCCGUUGUUCAAGUUCUUGCUGACCACAAAUGGCCCUUCCCAAGGUAGGGAUAACUUGUGAGCAUCAGUUUGAUCCUGGAUGAGCCGGAGCACUAAAUCACCUUCCUGAAAGGAUCUGGACUUAACUCGGCGGCUGUGAUAACGGCGCAAGUCUUGUUGAUAAAUCAUCGAACGAGCUGCUACCAAGUCCCGAUGUUCAUCUAACAGAUCAAGAGCAUCCUGGCGCGCAUGUUCAUUGUCUUCCUCGACAUAAGCCGCCAAACAAGGUGAAUCAUGACGGAUGUCACUAGGGAGAACCGCCUCAGCUCCGUAGACCAUGAAGAAAGGCGUAUAACCCGUAGAUCUGUUAGGAGUAGUGUUGAUGCUCCAUAACACAGAAGGUUACUCCUCAAUCCAACAACCCAACGUCCGUUGCAAGGGGACAAAAAGCCGGGGCUUAAUGCCUUUCAGAAUCUCUUGAUUGGCUCUCUCGGCUUGACCAUUGGACUGAGGGUGAGCCACUGAUGAAACAUCAAGCCGGAUAUGCUCACGUUGACAGAAUUUCUCCAUGGCGCCUUUAGACAGAUUAGUGCCAUUGUCAGUUAUAAUGAUGUGUGGAAAACCAAAAUGAAAUAUCACCUUCUUCAUGAAUUGAACCGUCAUGGAUGCAUCACACUUGCUGACCGGCUCUGCCUCGACCCACUUUGUGAACUUAUCAACUACCACCAAGAGGUGAGUCUUUUUAUCUUUGGAUCUCUUGAAAGGUCCAACUAUGUCAAGCCCCCAGACCACGAACGGCCAAGUAAUUGGAAUCAUCCUCAACUCUUGAGCCGGCACAUGAGCCCGUCUUGAGAACUUCUGACAACCGUCAUAUUUACUGACCAGAUCCUCUGCGUCAGCAUGAGCCGACAGCGAGUAAAACCCAUGACGAAAAGCCUUAGCCACGAGAGAUUUUGACCCGGCGUGAUGACCACAAUCUCCUUCAUGAAUCUCACGGAGAAUUUCUUGGCCUUCUUCAGGAGAGAUGCAAUGCUGAAAAGCCCCUGUAACACUGCAAUGAUGCAACUCGCCAUUGAUAAUUGUCAUGGACUUAGACCGCCGGGUUAUCUGCCUGGCCAAGGUUUCAUCCUCAGGCAACUCGCCCCGUGUCAUAUAAGCCAGAUACGGCACCGUCCAAUCUAGAAUGAUAUGAAGAGCCGCCACCAACUAUGCUUCAGGGUCAGGAAUAGCCAAAUCUUCCUCUGUAGGUAGCUUGACAGAAGGGUUAUGCAAAAUAUCCAAGAGAGUAUUAGGCAGCACCAGCUUACGCUGAGAUCCCGGCCGGCUUAAAGCGUCAGUCGCCUCGUUCUUUCGACGGUCAAUGUGUUCCACCUGAUAACCCUUGAAGUGCCCCGCAAUUGCGUCAACCUCCCGGCGGUAAGCCGCCAUAAGAGGAUCCUUUGAAUCCCACUUGCCUGAUACUUGCUGAGCCACUAGAUCUGAGUCUCCGAAGCACCUUACCCGGCUUAAAUUCAUCUCUUUAGCCAUCCAGAGACCGUGGAGCAAGGCUUCAUACUCAGUUGCAUUGUUAGUACAAGGAAACAUCAACCGGAGUACAUAACAAAACUUAUCACCCCGACGGGAAGCCAAAACAACUCCAGCCCCCGAGCCUUCCAAUUGUCUAGACCCGUCAAAAUGAAUUGUCCAAUAGGUAUUGUCCAACUUUUCCUCAGGCAUCUGCAACUCUGUCCAAUCAUUGAUGAAAUCCACCAGCGCUUGAGAUUUAAUAGUUGUGUGUGGCACAUAUUUUAAACCAUGAGGCCCAAGCUCAAUGGCCCAUUUUGCGACUCGCCCUGUCGCCUCUCUGUUCUGAAUAAUAUCCCCCAAGGGGGCAGAACUAACCACAGUGAUGGGGUGGCCCAAGAAGUAUUGCUUAAGCUUCCGGCUGGCCAUGAAUACCCCAUAGACAAGCUUCUGCCAGUGCGGAUAUCGCUGCUUGGAUUCAAUCAGUACCUCACUGAUGUAGUAAACCAGCCGCUGAACCGGGUGCUCCUUGCCAGCCUCCUUGCGUUCCACCACAAUAAUAACGCUAACAGCACGCAUGUUAGCAGCCACGUAUAGUAACAAGGGUUCCUUGUCAAUGGGAGCAGCAAGAACCGGUGGCUCAGCCAACUGUUUCUUCAGAUCUUCAAAAGUAGUAUUGGCGGCGUCACUCCAAGUAAAGCAAUCCGUCUUCUUCAUCAUCUGAUAUAGCGGCAUAGCCUUCUCCCCUAAUUGGCUUAUGAACCGGCUUAAAGCGGCGAUAUGACCCGCCAAAUGCUGAACAUCAUUGAUACAUGCCGGCUUGGCCAGAGAGAUGAUGGCUUUGAUCAUCUCCGGGUUAGCUUCGAUGCCUCUGUUAGAAACUAGAAAGCCCAAAAGCUUGCCUGCAGGCGCACCAAAAACACACUUAGCCGGGUUAAGCAUCAUCUUGUAAACCCGAAGACUAUCAAAGGUCUCCUUGAGAUCAUCAAUCAAGGUCUCUUUCUCUCUGGAUUUAACCACAAUGUCAUCCACAUAAGCAUGAACAUUGCAUCCAAUCUGAUUAUGAAGACAAUUCUGCAUGCAUCGCUGGUAAGUCGCCUGGGCACUCUUGAGCCCAAAAGGCAUUGAAACAUAGCAGAAGGCUCCAAAUGGAGUAAUGAACACCGUCUUCUCCUGGUCCUUAACAGCCAUCUUGAUCUGAUGAUAACCAGAGUAAGCAUCUAGAAAGCUCAAAUGCUCACAAACCACCGUAGCAUCGAUGAUCUGAUCAAUACGAGGGAGAGCAAAAGGAUCAGUAGGACAAGCUUUGUUUAAGUCCGUGUAAUCCACACACAUACGCCAAGUACCAUUUUUCUUAGGAACAAGCACCGGGUUAGCCAGCCACUCUGGAUGAAACACCUCAAUGAUAAACCCAGCUGCCAAGAGCUGGGCCACUUCUUCACCGAUAGCUUUCCUUCUCUCCUCAUUAAACCGCCGAAGAAACUGCUUGACCGGCUUAAACUUUGGAUUGAUAUUAAGAGUGUGCUUAGCGAGUUCUCUCGGUACACCCGGCUUGUCAGAUGGCUUCCAUGCAAAAAUGUCCCGAUUCUCACGGAUGAACUCGAUGAGCGCGCUUUCCUAUUUAGGAUCCAAAUUAGCACUGAUACUGAACUGCUUGGAUGAAUCGCCUGGAACAAAAUCAACAAGCUUAGUCUCAUCCGAUGACUUAAAUUUCGUGACCGGCUCAUGCUCUAUAGUUGGCUUCUUUAAGGAUGUCAUAUCCGCCAGGUUAACAUUGUCCUUGUAGAAUUUUAACUCUUCCAUCGCGCAGACUGACUCAGCAUAAGCCGCGUCACCCUCUCCACAUUCCAGAGCCACCUUGCGGUUCCCGUGCACCGUAAUGGUUCCCUUAUAAACCGGCAUCUUGAGCUUCAAGUACACAUAACACGACCGUGCCAUGAACUUGGCAUAAGCCGACUGCCCAAAUAGAGCAUUAUACGGGCUAUUGAUCUGAACUACUUCCAAAGUUAAUUUCUCGGCUCUGGAAUCGUAUUCAUCCCCAAAUGCUACCUCCAACUCUAUCUUGCCGACCGGAUACUCCGACUUACCAGGUACAACUCCAUGGAAAACAAUGUUGGACUUCUUAAGUCUCUUAUCAGUCAGCCCCAUGCGACGGAAGGUCUCAUAAUAAAGGAUAUUGAUGCUGCUGCCUCCAUCCAUCAGCACCUUCGUGAACUUGUAUCAACCCACUUGAGGGGCCACGACCAGGGCUAAAUGACCCGGAUUGUCAACCCGGGGAGGGUGAUCCUCUCUACUCCAUAUGAUAGGCUGCUCAGACCACCUCAAAUAACGAGGAAUUGCCGGCUCAACCGGAUUCACGGCCCUCUUAUGAAGCUUCUGGUCCCGUUUACAUAAACUGGUGGUAAACACAUGGUAUUGCCCACUUUUUAACUACUUUGGAUUUCUCUGGUAUCCACCUUGCUGCUGCUGCUGACUGCCCUGGCCAACCUGUGUGUUAUGUCCACCCUGGUUUCCCUGGGAAUUUCGAAAAUUGGGAUUUGACCCGCCGCCCGAGCCAUGAAAACCGCCGCCACCUGAGCCGCUCGGGCCAUUGUUACCCUCAAGCAUGUUGGAAUUUUUGAAAGCCUUCAUAAUCGUGCAGUCCUUCCACAAAUGUGUAGCCGGCUUCUCCUUAGUACCGUGUCUCGGACAAGGUUCAUUCAACAACUGCUCAAGUGUGGGUCCUGACCCGCCGGAUCGAGGAGGUGGCCUUCCCUUGCGUCGCUGGUUAUGACCCUGUGUAUUGGUGUUAGCCAUAAAAUCCAAACUACCGUCAGCCUUACGUUUGUUACCUCCUUGAUUGGCCGGGUUGUGCUCAGAGCCCUUGCCAUUGCCAUUCCUCUUUCCCUUCCCUGCCUUCUCAUCAUCAGACUCGGGAUCCUUGGUACUAUCAGAAUCGGCGUGCUUGACCAGAGCCGCCAUCAGCGUGCCCAUAUCAUUGCACUCAUGUUUGAGCCGCCCCAGCUUUUGUUUCAAAGGUAAGAAACGGCAAUUCUUCUCCAACACUAAGACUGCAGAGUCGGCAUCCAUCUUAUCAGAUGAAUGUAUUAUGGCCUUAACCCGGCGUACCCAAUGGGUUGUAGACUCACCCUCUUCCUACUUACAAUUCGUCAGAUCCACGAUCGACAUGGGUUGCUUGCACGUGUCUUUGAUGUUCUGGAUGAACCGGGCCUUUAACUCCGCCCAUGAACUGAUUGAAUUAGGUGGCAGGCCUUUCAACCAGGUGCGGGCGUUUCCAUCCAACAUCAUGGUGACGUACUUAGCCAUUGAUGCGUCAGUAACCUCCAACAACUCCAUAGCCAUCUCAUAGCUCUCAAUCCAUGCCCCGGGCUGCAAGUCGGCUGUGUAAUUCGGCACCUUCCUUGGUCCUUUAAAAUCUUUGGGCAACCGCUCGUUACGUAGAGUCGGCACUAGACACGGGACUCCUCCAGUCCGAGUGGCUAUACCUGCCUCAACAGAAGUCGUCGGAUAAAUCGGAUACGGCUGAUAAGCCGUCAACUGAGCCGCUAGCUCAGCCGCCCGUUCAGCCUCUUGUCGUAGUCUCUCUUACUCUACCAAGUUAAUGGCCUCAUGACGUGGCGGGUUACCGCCACCUGGCUGGUCACGGCGUCUAACAUUGCUUGACAUGGCCACUGAAUCCAUGUGCCUGCUAUAACUCGGGCUUCGGCUAGGACGAGGGGUCGAGUGGAUCCUGUCUGGGCUAUAUGAGUAUGCCUCCUGCUGUGAUAAGGCCGUCUGAAGAAGCUCCCUAACCCGACGGGUUUCAACUGUAGCCGGAGAGUCGCCAUCAAUUGGGAGAUCCACCAAUCGGGUUGCUGCGGCUAUCAUGUUUUCCAAGGGGUUAGAGUAAUGACCCGGAGGGGUUGGUACGUACUAAGGUGGCGCCAUGUUCACGCGGGGAGGUCCCAUCACUGGUGGCUGAAAUGGUGCUCCGUCCCCGGGUGUUGCAACAUGGUCUGUUCCUGUGCGCGGAGGGAGCCAUGGCGGGUUGCCUAUCUGCGGGGUAAGCCACGCCGGGUUACUGGGCAAUGCUCCUGGCGUGUUAAAAAGAUUCCGAGGGUCAUAAACCGGGGGAAGUCGAGACUGAGUCUUUUGAUACCUUCUCCUCAUGACCUCAUUAGUCGCGUUCUGGUCUUGUGUGAGCCGAAAAGCGUGCGCCUGGAUCUGCUAAGCCUGAACGUCCAGAGCCGCCCGCUCUGCGGUUAUCCUAACAUCUUCUGCUGCCAUGUCCUCCUUAGCUUGUGCCAUAUCCAACUUUAACUAUGCCACCUCUGCAUCAUAACCGGCUUUAUCCGUCGGGUUGACUAUGGCAGUUAAUAGGGUGGUCAACUUGUCGGUGAGAUCCAUUAACACCUAGGCCGGUGAACGCACAGGGCCUCCUGCCCUGGCUGCCGCUGACCCGGAAGUUACGGCUGCUGCAGUUGUAGAGUCUUGGAUGGGUUGGGUGCCGGCGCUGAAGAUCCCGACCCUGCUCGGCGGCUCAAGACAAUCCGGAAUACUGCAGCCAUCGGAACAGCCCCCAAGCCUGCCAUCCUGCAGUUGGUACAACGAACCUGUCUCACCUGUGGAUGACUCACCAUCAGAGUAGAUGGCCGUCUCACCACCAGAGGCAGAUCCUUCAGAGAGUCCUCCAUGGAUGCAUCCCACGAAGGCAUGCUUCACAGCCGGCGGAGCCCGGGCGGGUCUCGCACGCUGAGCCGUCUCGACGAGGUCGGUGCAGAUGUCCGGCUCAGGGCCCGGCUCGCCGAUCUUGCAGAUGAAGACGUGGAUUCCGCCGAAGGGGACCCAGUACCCGUACUCAAUUGAACCGGCCUCGGGGCCCCAGCUUGUGUCGUUGAUGUAGAGCUUGCCGCGAUGACUCUUGGUCAUCCGGCCCACAGCGUAUCCCUUGAGCCAUUCGAAGCUGCCCUUCAAGAACUCAAAUCCACCAUGCGCUGGCCCCACGGUGGGCGCCAACUGUGGUGGAAUUGCCACGUCAGAUGCCCUAGCGAAAGGACUUAGUCGUGGAGCCAUCACAGCUAGGAAGCUUGAAGGGGUUAAUCAGGACAAGAGACACAAGAGGUUUAUACUAGUUCGGCCCCUUACGAUGAAGGUAAAAUCCUAUGUCUAGUUGUGAUUGGGAUUAUGUAUGUCUCGAUAACCAGGAAGCAGAAUCGCUUGACCUAGCUCUUGAGUUGUUGUUUCAUGUCUUGAACCGCCGCCGGGUCAUCCCUUUAUAUACUGAGGUUGACGCCCGGCAGCUCUAUAGAGUCCCGGUCGGCUUAUAGUUUGUAUCCGGCUCGGUCUCUUAACAUUUAUGCCUUACAGUACAAGUUACAUGAAUAAGGCGGUUUAACACUACGGGCCUUAAGUCGCCCCUGGGCCUUUGGGCCUUUACUAAACCGCCGUCUUCAACCUUGAGCUUUAGUCUUCAAGAAUGCUUAUAGGUAUAACCCAGCUCCCUCUGGUGGGUCAUACCUAGUAGUUAUAUCCCCAACAAUGUACGUACAUACGGGCAGGGUCUCGAAUGCCUACUCGCGCAUACGUACGGCCAGGGCUCGUGUACAUGGCUGGGUCGGAACGGAGAAACAUCGUCGUCAUCAUGUUCAUGGGGAGCACACGGGCUGGUCGGAACGGAAUGCGUCGUCGUGUUCAUUGGGAGGGCUUGGACGGAACAGCCGAUGGAAAUGAGGCCUGGCGUACCGCACAACGGAGGAAAUGGCCUUGUGUUCGACCGGCCACGGUCGAAACGGGAUCCUGUUCAUUGGGAGGGGUCUGGCGUACCGCAAAAUGGAGGAAACAGACUUCUGUUGGACCUCCUACGGUCGAAACGGGGUCCUGUUGAUCGGGAGGGGUGUGGCGUACCGUAAAACGGAGGAAACGAACUUGUGUUGGAGCGCUACGGUCAAAACAGGGGUCCUGUUCACCAGGAGGGGUGUGGCAUACCGCAAAAUGGGACUCCACGGGAUACUGUUCAUCUCCACCGUCGACCUCCUCCAGCCUCCACGGGUUACUGUUCAUCCACCGUCGACCUCCUCCAGCCUCCACAUGUGACUGUUUAUCCACGGGCUCCUGUUCAUCCAGCCUCCACCGCGCGCUACGCCACCGGCUAUUGUUCAACCAGCCCUCUCCACGGGUUCCUGCUCAACCACCCCUCCACAGGCUACUGUUCAUCCAGCCCUCCACCGGCUACUGUUCAACCAGCCCUCCACGGGGUCGUCAUGUUCAUCCAGCCCUCCACGAGGUCCUGUUCAUCCAGCCCCAAUAGGCUCGAUCGAUCGGGGUCCUGUUCGUCCAGAGGCAACACCACAGGGUCUUGUUCAUCCACCCCCACCGCGAACUGUUCAUCCAAACCCCCCAGCAACGCUCACUGUUCAUCCACCCACCCCCCAACAACGCUCAUUGUUCAUCCAGAGGCAGCAUCAAUCGGCUUCAGUUAGCAGCAGUAGCGGAGGAAUCGCUCGAUCGCUCAGGUUCAGUAACACGUAGCCCGCAGUGCAAUCACUUGGGUUCAGUUAGGCGACGCCUUGCUCGGGUUCAGUUAGAGCCCAAUGCCUCGCACCCACGCGCGUACAUGUACGAGAGAAACGAGCUUCGUUCAGCCCCCGACCACCCACCGUAACCGGGAACUCCCCGAUAUUUUCCUCGCCCUCGCUUCUACCAUGGUUUUUUCCAUCAUGGGCGGCCCAAAGAAUGUCAUGCAGCUGUGUCUCCGGCCUGCCCAGGACGAAAAGCCCAUUUUCUGUCAUGAUUUUUUGUCAUAGAAGUAGGAGCCUACCACAUCUAUGAUGAUACCGGGUUUUGUCACAGUUAUCGUCAUAGAAGUGUCAUAAGUAUGACAGAAUUUUUUUUGUUCGGCCCAAAAUGUUACAGAUGUGUCUUUUUUUAGUGCAUCCUCCUACUUCCCCGUCCCACAUGCCCCGACCGACGGUGUGACACAUUCCGUCGAAAUCACUUCCCUCCUCCACUUAAGCGCCACCCAUAGCUAUUUUGCACGCAGUAUAACAUGGAAAUCAGUAGCAUUUGGCAGUGGAGAAGCAAAUCACGGCCGCACGCAUGCACGAGGUCACUAUGGCUGCUAUGCAUGCCAACCGCCAGAUCUUGGAGGAGCACCUCGUCUUCGAGGCCACCAUCGACACCGCCACGCGGUUGUCUACUAUAAAACAGAUUUCAUGCUAUUUUCUCAAGGCCACCGCCAGUGCCUUCUAGUGAUUUGUCCUCUGUAAUGUUAAUAUGCAAUCUGAUGUUCAGUUAAAAGUUUAGUCCUCUGAAAUGUGAUGUUCAGUUAACAGUUUGGUCCUCUGAAAUGUAAUGUCCAGUUAACAGUUUAGCCCAACAAUUGCUACAUUUCGUAGUACUGUUCUCAAGCAUUCUUUGUUUUGUUAACUAUCUUAUCUUCUAGUACAUGUUUCUAUUCUGCAAUGUCGUGCUCAGUUAACAGUUUUGGUUCAUUUGGUCUGCUGUCCAUUUAACUGUUUGGUUCAAUUCUUCAAUUUGAUUUUCAUUUGUUGUGGGUACAAUUUUGUAUUGUUAUGCAUGUGAAAUAAAUCAAAUUUGGCUGUACUCAAUACAUAUUCUACUGACAGUAUGACAACUCUCAGUUAACCUGAUCAAGAUCUUCCUUAUGUGUGUUGCAGCGGAACAAUGGGAGACACUCUGGUUUACCAUCGAGGUAUGCUCAUGCAUGGUCCUUUUGCUAAUAGCACAUUAUUGUGCAGUUGCAGGAAUCAUUCUAAUAUUUAGGUUUCUUACAAUUUGGUCUUGCACAUGUAGGUCCUGCUGUCAGAGGCUUAGACCCACUGUUCGACCCAGUUUGCAUAUCGGGAAAUGAGAUGUCCAUGAAUAUCAGUCAAGUCAAUAAACUCAGAAAGAUUGUUAGGAUGAAGAAACUUGCGAUGAAUAACAGCAAGAUCUUUGUUUGCACAAUGAAGAAGACAUCAGUCAACUAUAGGAUGGUACUAACUCUUUUACCUUGUUUUUACCCCUUGCGCCAUUUCAAAAUUUAUAACCACGGUCUAUGCAUAUCUUAGUUUUUGGUACUUUUCAAAGCAGUUCACCGAUGAUUACCUCUCAAACCACCUACAUGGUCAAGAGGCGAGGAAGGUAUUCAUUCAACACACAUGGUACAAUAUUAAGUCUUCCUGAAGAGGACGAAGGUUGGGCGGGCAAUUAUCCAUAGCCACUGGCCUAAAGUUGCAAGGACAUUCAACAUCACUGAAGGCUAAAUAUUUGCCUUCCGCUUCUGCAGUUUCCCAGAUGAGAUUCAUCUGUCUAUUUACCAUGUAUGAUGCUACUUCCCAAAGGUUUUCGAUGUUUCAUGUGAAACUUGGUGAUGUUGUGUAAUGGCGUAACUGAGUGCCGAAGCUAUCUGAUGUAAUUCAAUUAUGAAAUCUUGGUUGCCGUCAUACGGAUAUGAAAUAUCUGGUGUGUUUUGUAAGAAAUAUCAAUUUGAUUACUACAUGGAUUAUCAAUAAUAGGCUAAUUACCCUGCUUAUUGGGGUUUUCUAUUGCAGACAGAUACUCAGACAGCACCGUGGGCGAUGAACUCAAACAACCCACACGGAUCCUAGAAAGUAGGCGUGUUCGAUCAAUUAACAAUCACACACGGCUUCCAGCAGAGAACUAUUUGCGUUAGGCCACCUUGCACAAACGUUUCCACGCCAAAAACUAUGUGUGCUAAACAUACGAAUGGAAAUGGUUUUCUAGGAUUCGGCGUGUGGGAUGUACAUACGAAUGGAAACGAUUGGGUUUCAAUGCCUCGCCAGAUCACACACGAGCUCAUUUUUGUGCCAGGAGGGCAUAUCCCCGACGGUUUCUGGGUCGUGUGGGAAGGACCCCCUAUCGCCCACACUCACUUGGCGAUGGUUCUAAGAGCCGUCGCGGAAAGGGGUUAAAAAUCGUUUGUAUAGCAGGUCUCUGCACCAGUGAACCAUAGAAAACUGUUUUCAUGGCUAUGUUUUGAUUGUGUAGGUGACAAAAGAUGAGGGGAAAAAGAAUGUCCAAGAUAUUGCUAGUGCAGAUGCUAAGAGGGAUAUGUUCAUGCAGAUAAUACAAAUGACUUUUAUGUCUCAUGAUGUUGCGUUUGAUUUCUACAACAGCUAUGCUAGAGAAAAUGGUUUCAACAUUAGAAAAGGCAAGGUCAGUUAUAGCAAAACCGAGUUACAUCAUAUGCGUUAUAGGUGGUUUUUUUGUUCCAGAGAAGGGAAACGUGACAGCAAGUUGCUAUCCGAGGAAGGAAACAGCCGUAGGCUCAAAACCGAGACACGCUGCAACUGCGAAGCACACCUGACCAUCAAGCUUGACCAAAAGCGUGGGGUUUGGUAUGUUGAAAGUUUUGAAGAAAAGCAUAGCCAUAUGAUGGCAAGACCGGAUGAGGUACCUUUUCUUUGGUCCCAUAGAAAAAUCAAAGAGUACCAGAAAGCUGAGAUAUUGUCCAUGGGAGCUGCAGGGAUUAGAAUUCACGACAUUAUGGAUUCCUUCCUCGGCAAACAUUUAUGGUAUGGCAGUGUUGGUUUUACCAGGCGUAAUAUAUACAACCUUUGCUCCUGGGAGAAGAGGAAGCUGAUUUCGAAAGGUGAUGCUGCCACAGCCAUAGGCAUCAUGGCCAGUAGGAAAGUGAGGGAUCCUAGCAUCUUUUUCGAGUACAAGCUGUUGGGGAACGUAGUAAUUUCAAAAAAAAUCCUACGCAAACGCAAGAUCAUGGUGAUGCAUAGCAACGAGAGGGGAGAGUGUCGUCUAUGUACCCUCGUAGACCGUAAGCGGAAGCAUUAUGACAACGCGGUUGAUGUAGUCGUACGUCUUCACGAUCGACCGAUCCUAGUACCGAAUGUAUGACACCUCCGCGAUCUGCACACGUUCAACUCGGUGACGUCCCACGAACUCACGAUCUAGUAGAGCAUCGAGGGAGAGUUCCGUCAGCACGACGGCGUGAUGACGGUCUUGAUGAAGCUACCGAUGCAGGGCUUCGCCUAAGCACCGCUAAGAUAUGAUCGAGGUGGAUUAUGGUGGAGGGGGGCACCGCACACGGCUAAAGAUCAAUGAUCAACUUGUGUGUCUAUGGGGUGCCCCCCUCCCCCGUAUAUAAAGGAGUGGAGGAGGGGGAGGGUCGGCCCUCUACUAUGGCGCGCCCUGGGGAGUCCUACUCCCAUCGGGAGUACGAUUCCCCCUUCCAAGUAGUAGGAGUAGGAGAGAAGGAAAGGGAAGAGAGAAGAGAAGGAAGGAGGGGACGGCGCCCGGGAGAUCCUAUGGGGCUCUCUUUGCGUCAAAAAGUUGACACUUCGCACAGGGGUGGCUCGCCUGGGCCGGCCCAUUUGACGUUAGCGUGCUGGAAAAUGGAAAAGCGACAAAAACUAAGAGCGUUGCCGCCGCGAUUCGAACCACCGACUUCCUAGUUUUCUACGUGUUGUGCGAGCUGCUGCGAUACAAUAGCUCUUGUGCUAGAAAGACAGCGCAACACAUGAAGAAACGACCAACAGUGGCCAAAAUUUGAACAUUCGCCCACUACUACUGAUCAUGGUCGCUAGCCACUGUAACUCUAGCGUAUCUACGUCUAAAAUGGCAGCCCCUUCAGUACGAACUAUAAGCAGCAGAUUUACCCUAAAAAAAGCAGCAGCAGAUUUAACUUUAUUGAAAUUUUGAACAUGAAUUUCCUUUUUUUAAGGAAAAUAUAUUUUUAAAGUCAAAUUUUCAAAAUUGCGAACAAAAUUUAAAAAAUCAAACAUUUUAUGAACAAGCAGAAUUUUUCGGAAUCUCAACAGAAAUGAAAAAGGAAAAAAAUAGAAAAACAGUACAUUCUUUGAAAUUACGAACAAUUUUAAAAAAGAUGCAAACAUUUUCUAUAAAACAUGAACAUUUUUUGAAAUUGUGAACAAAUUUUCCAAAAUACGACCUUUUUUGGAAUUUGUGAACAAAAUUUGAGAACAUGAAUAUUUUUUACAAAUUUGGAAAGCUGGAACAUUUCUUUGAAUUUGCGACAAAUGUUCAUGUUUCCUUGUGCACAAAAUUUGAAAGUAGGUACACUUUAAAAAAUUGUUAGGCAAUAUGUACAUUUUUUUAACUUUUUGAACAAAUUUUUUAAAUGGGUUCCACACAUUUUCAAAACAAGAAUUUUUUUAAAUUGUUGAGAAAAAUUUGAAAGCGGGAACAUUUGUUGAAAUUCCCGAACAUUUUUUGAAUUUGCACAUUGUAUUUUCAAAACAUGAACAUUUCUAAAAUUGUGAUUAUUUUUGGAAAGUAGGAACAUUUAUUGAAAUUCCUGAACACUUUUUGAAUUUAUAAAUAUAUAUUCAAAAACAUGAACAUUUUUUAAAUUUGUGAACAAAUUUUGCAACUAGGAACAUUUUCUGAUUUUUUUUAAACGUGAAACUUUUAAAUUUUCAAAUUCUAUAUAGAAAUUUUUGGAACAUUUUUUAUAAGAAGCGAACAAAUAUUUGAAAUCCUAAUUCUUCUGGAAUUUUGUAAAAAUAUUGCAAAAUAGGAACAUUUUAAAAAUAUAUACAAAAUCUAAAAAAGGAAACAUUUUUAAAUUUCUGAAAAUAGGUUGAAAAAAGAAAAAUAAACUUGAAAAUGAAAAUAAAAUAAAAAAGGAGCUAAAAGAAAAGAAAAAGUGAAAAAUGAAUGAAAAUAGCAAAGGGAAAGGAAAAUAAAAAGGAAAAACUAAAAAUAAUGGAAAAGAAAAGGAAACAGAAGAAAAACGAAACAGAAACAGAAAAAAUCUGGUUCAGGAACCUUCUAGAAGGUUCCCAAAACCGGGAAAACCGACUGGAAAUUUCUAGAAGGUUCCUAAAACCAGGAUCGAUACAACGCACGCUUGUCUUUUAAAUGGGCUGGCCCGCCUCGGUCGAGACCUGUGCGGCGUCCCGACACUUUGCCGCAGCGGGCGUCCAAUAGGGUUUUCCGCGCCGCCCCUCCCCCUAGUCCAAUUCGGACUAGGCCUUGGGGGCGGGGGGGGGGGGCGGCCUGCCCUCUCUCUCCCUUAAAGCCCAAUGAGGCCCAUAUACUCCCCGGCGAAUUUCCGUAACUCUCUCGUACUCCGAUAAAUACCCGAACCACUCAGAACCUUUCCAAUGUCUGAAUAUAGCCUUCCAAUAUAUCGAUAUUUACGUCUCAAACAUUUCAAGACUCGUCGUCAUGUCCAUGAUCUCAUCCGGGACUCCGAACUACCUUUGGUGCAUCAAAUCACAUAACUCGUAAUACAAAUCAUCAUCGGACGUUAAGCGUGCGGACCCUACGGGUUCGAGAACUAUGUAGACAUGACCGAGACUCAUCUCCGGUCAAUAACCAAUAGCGGAACCUGGAUGCUCAUAUUGGCUCCCAUGUAUUCUACGAAGAUCUUUAUCGGUCAAACCGCAUAACAACAUACAUUGUUCCCUUUGUCAUCGGUAUGUUACUUGCCUAAGAUUCGAUCGUCGGUAUCUCAAUACCUAGUUCAAUCUCGUUACCGGCAAGUCUCUUUACUCGUUCCGUAAUGCAUCAUCUCGCAACUACCUCAUUAGUCACAUUGCUUGCAAGGCUUAUAGUGAUGUGCAUUAACGAGAGGGCCUAGAGAUACCUCUUCGACAUUCGGACUGACAAAUCCUAAUCUCGAUCUAUGCCAACUCAACAAACACCAUCGGAGACACCUUUAGAGCACCUUUAUAAUCACCCAGUUACGUUGUGACGUUUGGUAGCACACAAAGUGUUCCCCCGGUAUUCGAGAGUUGCAUAAUAUCAUAGUCCGAGGAACAUGUAUAAGUCAUGAAGAAAGCAAUAGCAACAUACUAAACGAUCAAGUGCUAAGCUAACGGAAUGGGUCAAGUCAAUCACAUCAUUCUCUAAUGAUGUGAUCCCGUUAAUCAAAUGACAACUCAUGUCUAUGGCUAGGAAACUUAACCAUCUUUGAUUCAACUAGCUAGUCGAGUAGAGGCAUACUAGUGACAUUAUGUUUGUCUAUGUAUUCACACAUGUACUAAGUUUCCGAUUAAUACAAUUCUAGCAUGAAUAAUAAACAUUUAUCAUGAUAUAAUGAAAUAUAAAUAACAACUUUAUUAUUGCCUCUAGGGCAUAUUUCCUUCAGUCUCCCACUUGCACUAGAGUCAAUAAUCUAGUUCACAUCACCAUGUGAUUUAACACCAAUAUUCACAUCUGUAUGUGAUUAACACCCAUAGUUCACAUCGUCAUGUGACCAACACCCGAAGGGUUUACUAAAGUCAAUAAUCUAGUUCACAUCUCUAUGUGAUUAACACCCAAAGAUUACUAAGGUAUGAUCAUGUUUUGCUCGUGAGAGAAGAUUAGUCAACGGGUCUGUCACAUUCAGAGCCUUAUGUAUUUUGCAAAUAUUCUAUGUCUACAAUGCUCUGCACGGAGCUACUCUAGCUAAUUGCUCCCAAUUUCAAUAUGUAUCCAGGUUGAGACUUAGAGUCAUCUGGAUCGGUGUAAAAGCUUGCUCUGAUGUAACUCUUUACAACGAACUCUUUUAUCACCUCCAUAAUCGAGAAACAUUUCCUUAGUCCUUACUAAGGAUAUUCUGGACCGCCGUCCAGUGAUCUACUCCUAGAUCAAAAUUGUACUCCCUUGCCAAACUCAGAGCAAGGUAUACAAUAGGUCCGGUACACAGCAUGGCAUACUUUAUAGAACCUAUGACUGAGGCAUAGGGAAUGACUUUUCAUUCUAUUUCUAUUUUUUGCCAUGGUCAGGUUUUGAGUCUUACUCAACUUCACACCUCGCAACACAGGCAAGAACUCCUUCUUUGACUGUUCCAUUUUGAACCACUUCAAAAUCUUAUCAAGGUAUGUACUCAUAGAAAAAUCUUAUCAAGCGUCUUGAUCUAUCUCUAUAGGUCUUAAUGCUCAAUGUGUAAGCAGCUUCAUCGAGGUCUUUCUUUGAAAAACUCCUUUCAAACACUCCUUUAUGCCUUCCAAAAAAUUCUACAUUAUUUCUGAUCAACAACAUGUCAUUCACAUAUACUUAUCAGAAAGGCUAUAGUGCUCCCACUCAUUUUCCUGUAAAUACAGGAUUCACCGCAAGUCUGUAUAAAACUAUAUGCUUUGAUCAACUCAUCAAAGCGUAUAUUCCAACUCCGAGAUGCUUGCACCAGUCCAUAGAUGGAUCACUGGAGCUUGCACACUUUGUUAGCACCUUUAGGAUUGACAAAACCUUCUGGUUGCAUCAUAUACAACUCUUCUUUAAUAAAUCCAUUAAGGAAUGCAAUUUUGACUUCCAUUUGCCAUAUUUCAUAAAAUGUGGCAAUUGCUAACAUGCUUCGGAGGGAUUUAAGCUUCACUACAGUUGAGAAAAUCUCAUUGUAGUCAACACCUUGAACUUGUUGAAAAACCUUUUAUGACAAGUUGAGCUUUGUAGAUAGUAACACUACUAUCAACGUCCGUCUUCCUCUUGAAGAUCCAUUUAUAUUCUAUGGCUUGCCGAUCAUCGGGCAAGUUCACCAAAGUCCACACUUUUUUCUUAUACAUGGAUCCCAUCUCAGAUUUCAUGGCUCCAAACCAUUUCGCGGAAUCUGGGCUCAUCAUCGCUUCCUCAUAGUUCAUAGGUUCAUCAUGGUCUAGUAACAUGACUUCCAGAACAGGAUUACCGUACCACUCUAGUGCGGACCGUACUCUAGAAGACCUACGAGGUUCUGUAGUAACUUAAUCUGAAGUUUCAUGAUCAUCAUCAUUAGCUUCCUCACUAAUUGGUGUAGGAAUCACUGGAACUGAUUUCUAUGAUGAACUACUUUCCAAUUCAGGAGAUGGUACAAUUACCUUAUCAAGCUCUACUUUCCUCCCACUCACUUCUUUUGAGAGAAACUCCAUCUCUAGAAAGGAUCCAUCUUAGCAACGAAUAUCUUGCCUUCGGAUCUGUGAUAGAAGGUGUACCCAACAGUUUCCUUUGGGUAUUCUAUGAGGAUGCACUUCUCUGAUUUGGGUUCGAGCUUAUCAGGUUGAAUUUUUUUCACAUAAGCAUUGCAGCCCCAAACUUUAAGAAACGACAACUUUGGUUUCUUGCCAAACCAAGGCGUCGUCUCAACGGAUUUUGAUGGUGCCCUAUUUAAAGUGAAUGUAGAUGUCCCUAAUGCAUAACCCAAAAAUGAUAGUGGUAAAUCUGUAAGAUACAUCAUAGAUCGCACCAUAUCCAAUAAAGUGUGGUUAUGACAUUCGGACACACCAUUACGCUGUGGUGUUCCAUGUGUCGUGAGCUGUGAAACUAUUCCACAUUGUUUUUAAAUGAAGGCCAAACUUGUAACUCAAAUAUUCUCCUCUACGAUCAGAUUGUAGAAACUUUAUUUUCUUGUUACGAUGAUUCUCCACUUCACUCUGAAAUUCUUUGAACUUUUCAAAUGUUUCAGACUUGUGCUUCAUUAAGUAGAUAUACUCAUAUCUCCUCAAAUCAUCUGUGAAGGUCAGAAAAUAACGAUACCCGCCAUGAGCAUCAACACUCAUUGGACCGCAUACAUCGGUAUGUAUUAUUUCUAACAAGUCAGUAGCUCGUUCCAUUGUUCUGGAGAACGGUGUUUUAGUCAUCUUGCCCAAAAGGCACGAUGCUCAAGCAUCAAAUGAUUCAUAACCAAGUGAUUCCAAAAGUCCAUAUUUAUGAAGUUUCUUCAUGCGCUUUACACCGAUAUGACCCAAAUGGCAGUGCCACAAAUAAGUUGCACUAUCAAUACCAACUUUGCAUCUUUUGGUAUCAAUAUUAUGAAUAUGUGUAUCACUACAAUCGAGAUCCGACAAACUAUUUUCAUUGGUGUAUGACCAUCGAAGGUUUUAUUCAUGUAAACAGAACAACAAUUAUUCUCUCACUUUAAAUGAAUAACCAUAUUGCAAUAAACAUGAUCAAAUCAUAUUCAUGCUCAACGCAAACUCCAAAUAACAUUUAUUUAGGUUUAACACUAAUCCCGAAAGUAUAGGGAGUGUUCGAUGAUGAUCAUAUCAAUCUUGGAACCACUUCCAACACACAUCGUCACUUCACCCUCAACUUGUCUCUGUUUAUUCUGUAACUCCUGUUUCGAGUUACUAUUUUUUUAGCAACCGAACAAGUAUCAAAUACCCAGGGGCUACUAUAAACACUAGUAAGGUACACAUCAAUAACUUGUAUAUCAAAUAUACCCUUGUUCACUUUGCCAUCCUUCUUAUCCACCAAAUAUUCAGGGCAUUUCCGCUUCCAAUGACCAUUUCCUUUGCAGUAGAAGCACUCAGUUUUAGGCUUUAGUCUAGCUUUGGGCUUCUUCACGGAAGUGACAACUUGCUUGCCAUUCUACAUGAUGUUCCCUUUCUUUCCCUUUGCCCUUUUCUUGAAACUAGUGGUCUUGUUAAUCAUCAACACAUGAUGCUCUUUCUUGAUUUCUACCUUCAUCGAUUUCAUCAUCAUGAAAAACUCGGGAAUCAUUUUUGUCAUCCCUUGCAUAAUAUAGUUCAUCACGAAGUUCUACUAACUUGGUAGUGGUGACUAGAGAACUCUGUCAAUCACUAUCUUAUCUGGAAGAUUAACUCCCACUUGAUUCAAGUGAUUGUAGUACCCAGACAAUCUGAGCACAUGCUCACUGCUUGAGCUAUUCUCCUCCAUCUUUUAGCUAUAGAACUUGUUGGAGACUUCAUAUCUCUCAACUCGGGUAUUUGCUUGAAAUAUUAACUUCAACUCCUGGAACAUCUCCUAUGGUCCAUGACAUUCAAAACGUCUUUGAAGUCCCGAUUCUAAGCCGUUAAGCAUGGUGCACUAAACUAUCAAGUAGUCAUUAUAUUGAGCUAGCCAAACAUUCAUAAUGUCUGCAUCUGCUCCUGCAAUAGGUCUAUCACCUAGCGGUGCAUCAAGGGCAUAAUUCUUCUGUGCAGCAAUGAGGAUAAACCUCAGAUCGCGGACACAGUCUGCAUCAUUGCUACUAUCAUCUUUCAACUUAGUUUUCUCUAGGAACACAUAUAAAAACAUAGGGAAGCAACAAGGCGAGCUAUUGAUCUACAACAUUAUUUGCAAAAUACUAUCAGGACUAAGUUCAUGAUAAAUUAAAGUUCAAUUAAUCAUAUUACUUAAGAACUCCCACUUAGAUAGGCAUCCCUCUAAUCAUCUAAGUGAUCACGUGAUCCAAAUCAACUAAAUCAUGUCCGAUCAUCAUGUGAAAUGGAGUAGUUUUCAAUGGUGAACAUCACUAUGUUGAUCAUAUCUACUAUAUGAUUCACGCUCGACCUUUCGGUCUCAGUGUUCUGAGGCCAUAUCUGCAUAUGCUAGGCUCGUCAAGUUUAACCCGAGUAUUUCUGCGUGUGCAAAACUGGCUUGCACCCGUUGUAUGUGAACGUAGAGCUUAUCACACCGGAUCAUCAUGUGGUGUCUCAGCAUGACGAACUUUGGCAACGGUGCAUACUCAGGGAGAACACUUGUACCUUGACAUUUAGUGAGAGAUCAUCUUAUAAAGCUACCGCCGAACUAAGCAAAAUAAGAUGUAUAAAAGAUAAACAUCAUAUGCAAUCAAAAUAUGUGACAUGAUAUGGCCAUCAUCAUCUUGUGCCUUUGAUCUCCAUCUGCAAACUACCGUUAUGAUCUCCAUUGUCACUGGCAUGACACCAUGAUCUCCAUCAUCUUGAUCUUUAUAAAUGUGUCAUCAUAUGGUCGUCUUGCCAACCAUUUCGUUUGCAACUAUUGCUAUCGCAUAGCGAUAAAGUAAAGCAAUCAUAUGGCACUUGCAUCUUAUGCAAUAAAGAGACAACCAUAAGGCUCCUGCCAGUUGCCGAUAACUUGAACAAAACAUGAUCAUCUCAUACAACAAUUUAUAUUUCAUCACGUCUUGACCAUAUCACAUCACAACAUGCCCUGCAAAAACAAGUUAGACAUCCUCUACUUUGUUGUUGCAAGUUUUACGUGGCUGCUACGGGCUGAGCAAGAACCGUUCUUACCUACGCAUCAACACCACAACAAUAUUUUGUCAAGUUAGUGUUGUUUUAACAUUCAACAAGGACCGGGCGUAGCCACACUCAAUUCAACUAAAGUUGGAGAAACUGACACCCGCCAGCCACCUGUGUGCGAAGCACAUCGGUAGAACCAGUCUUGCGUAAGCGUACGCGUAAUGUCGGUCCGGACCACUUCAUCCAACAAUACCACCGAAUCAAAGUAUGACAUGCUUGUAAGCAGUAUGACUAUUAUCACCCACAACUCACUUGUGUUCUACUCAUGCAUAUAACAUCUACGCAUAAACCUGGCUUGGAUGCCACUGCUGGGGAACGUAGUAAUUUCAAAAAAAAUCCUACACACACGCAAGAUCAUGAUGAUGCAUAGCAACAAGAGGGGAGAGUGUCGUCCAUGUACCCUGGUAGACCGUAAGCGGAAGCGUUAUGACAACGCGGUUGAUGUAGUCGUACGUCUUCACGAUCGACCGAUCCUAGUACCUCCACGAUCUGCACACGUUCAGCUCGGUGAUGUCCCAUGAACUCAUGAUCUAGUAGAGCUUCCAGGGAGAGUUCCAUCAGCACGACAGCGUGAUGACGGUGUUGAUGAAGCUACCGACUCAGGGCUUCGCCUAAGCACCGCUAUGAUAUGACCGAGGUGGAUUAUGGUGGAGGGGGGCACCGCACAUGGCUAAAGAUCAAUGAUCAACUUGUGUGUCUAUGGGGUGCCCCCCUACCUCGUAUAUAAAGGAGUGGAGGAGCGGGAGGGCCGGCCCUCUACUAUGGCGCGCCCUGGGGAGUCCUACUCCCACCGGGAGUAGGAUUCUUCCCUUCCAAGUAGUAGGAGUAGGAGAGCAGGAAAGGGAAGAGAGAAGAGAAGGAAGGAGGGGGCGCCGCCCCUCCCCCUAGUCCAAUUCGGACUAGGCCUUGGGGGGCCUACCCUCUCUCUCUCCCUUAAAGCCCAAUAAGGCCCAUAUACUCCCCGGCGAAUUCCUGUAACUCUCCGGUACUCCGAUAAAUAGCCGAACCACUCAGAACCUUUCCGAUGUCCGAAUAUAGCCUUCCAAUAUAUCGAUCUUUACUUCUCGAACAUUUCGAGACUCCUUGUCAUGUCCAUGAUCUCAUCUGGGACUCCGAACUACCUUUGGUACAUCAAAUCACAUAACUCAUAAUACAAAUCGUCAUCGAACGUUAAGCGUGCGGACCCUACGGGUUCGAGAACUAUGUAGACAUGACCAAGACUCAUCUCCGAUCAAUAACCAAUAGCAGAACCUGGAUGCUCAUAUUGGCUCCCAUAUAUUCUACGAAGAUCUUUAUCGGUCAAACCGCAUAACAACAUACAUUGUUCCCUCUGUCAUCGAUAUGUUACUUGCCCGAGAUUUGAUCGUUGGUAUCUCAAUACCUAGUUCAAUCUCGUUACCGGCAAGUCUCUUUACUCGUUCCGUAAUGCAUCCUCUCGCAACUAACUCAUUACUCACAUUGCUUGCCAGGCUUAUAGUGAUGUGCAUUACCGAGAAGGCCCAGAGAUACCUCUCUGACAUUCGGAGUGACAAAUCCUAAUCUCGAUCUAUGCCAACUCAACAAACACCACCGGAGACACCUGUAGAGCACCUUUAUAAUCACCCAGUUACGUUGUGACGUUUGGUAGCACACAAAGUGUUCCUCCGGUAUUCGGGAGUUGCAUAAUCUCAUAGUUUGAGGAACAUGUAUAAGUCAUGAAGAAAGCAAUAGCAACAUACUAAAUGAUCUAGUGCUAAGCUAAUGGAAUGGGUCAAGUCAAUCACAUUAUUCUCUAAUGAUGUGAUCCCGUUAAUCAAAUGACAACUCAUGUCUAUGGCUAGGAAACUUAACCAUCUUUGAUUCAACGAGCUAGUCAAGUAGAGGCAUACUAGUGACAUUAUGUUUGUCUAUGUAUUCACACAUGUACUAAGUUUCCGAUUAAUACAAUUCUAGCCUGAAUAAUAAACAUUUAUCAUGAUAUAAGGAAAGAUAAAUAGCAACUUUAUUAUUGCCUCUAGGGCAUAUUUCCUUCACAAGCUAGAUAAGGAAGGACAUAUUAAUAGAAUGUUCUAGUGUGACUCCCAGUCUCGUCAUGACUAUGAGGAUUUCGGCGACGUGCUUGUAUUUGAGAGCACGUACAAGAUGAACCGCUAUGGUAUGCCAUUCAUACCUUUUGUUUGUAUUAAAAAUCACCGGAAGACCACUGUUUUUGGUUGUGCCAUAGUUUCAGACAAGACCGGACAGACAUAUGUGUGGCUGCUGCAGACUUUUUUGUGGUCCAUGUGUCAAAAGCUGUCGAAGUGUGUAAUCACGGGCGCCGACAUUGCGAUGAUCAUGUUGGGGAAUGCCGUAAUAUCAAAAAAAAUCCUACGAUCACGCAAGAUCUAUCUAGGUGAUGCAUAGCAACAGGAGGGGAGAGUGUGUCCAUGUACCCUCGUAGACCGAAAGCGAAAGCGUUUAGUUAAUGUGGUUGAUGUAGUCGAACGUAUUUGCGAUCCAACCAAUCCAAGCACCGAACAUACGGCACCUCCGUGUUCAGCACACGUUUAGCUCGGGGACGUCCCUCGUACUCUUGAUCCAAUUGAGGCUGAGGGAGAGUUUCAUCAGCACGACGUCGUGGUGACGGUGAUGAUGAAGUUACCGGCGCAGGGCUUCGCCUAAGCACUACGACGAUAUGACCGAGGUGUGUAACUGUGGAGGGGGGCACCGCACACGGCUAAACAAUGUCAACUUGUGUGUCUAUGGGGUGCCCCCCUCCCCCAUAUAUAAAGGAGUGGAGGAGGGGGAGGGCCGGCCCUCUAUGGCGCACCCUGGAGGAGUCCUACUCCCACUGGGAGUAGGAUUCCCCCCUUUCCCUAGUUGGACUAGGAAAGGAAGGAAGGGGGAGGAAGGAGGAAGGAAGGGGGGGCCGGCCCCCCCACCCAAUUCGGAUUAGGCUUGGGGGGGCGCCCCCUCCUAGGCUCCCUUCUCCUCUCUCCCACUAUGGCCCACUAUGGCCCAUAUACUUCCCGGGGGGUUCCGAUAACCUCCUGGUACUCCAGUAUAUGCCCGAACUCACCCGAAACCAUUCUGAUGUCCAAACAUAGGCUCCAAUAUAUCGAUCGUUAUGUCUCGACCAUUUCGAGACUCCUCGUCAUGUCCGUGAUCACAUCCGGGACUCCGAACUACCUUCAGUACAUCAAAACACAUAAACUCAUAAUACCAAUCGUCAUCGAACGUUAAGCGUGCGGACCCUACGAUUUCGAGAACUAUGUAGACAUGACCGAGACAAGUCUCCGGUCAAUAACCAAUAGCGGAACCUGGAUGCUCAUAUUGGUUCCUACAUAUUCUACGAAGAUCUUUAUCGGUCAAACCGCAUAACAACAUACAUUGUUCCCUUUGUCAUCGGUAUGUUACUUGCCCGAGAUUCGAUCAUCGGUAUCUCAAUACCUAGUUCAAUCUCGUUACUGGCAAGUUUCUUUACUCGUUCCAUAAUACUUCAUCCUGCAACUAACUCAUUAGUUACAAUGCUUGCAAGGCUUAUGAUGAGUAUUACCGAGAGGGCCCAGAGAUACCUCUCCGAAACACAGAGUGACAAAUCCUAAUCUCGAUCUAUGCAAACCCAACAAACACCUCCGGAGACACCUGUAGAGCACCUUUAUAAUCACCCUUUUAUGUUGUGACGUUUGGUAGCACACAAAGUGUUCCUCCGUCAUUCAGGAGUUGCAUAAUCUCAUAGUCCGAGGAACUUGUAUAAGUCAUGAAGAAAGCAGUAGCAAUGAAACUAACAUGAUCAUAAUGCUAAGCUAACGGAUGGGUCAUGUCCAUCACAUCAUUCUCCUAAUGAUGUGAUCCCAUUCAUCAAAUGACAACACAUGUCUAUGGUUAGGAAUCAUAACCAUCUUUGAUUAACAAGCUAGUCUAGUAGAGGCAUACUAGGGACUAUAUGUUUUUUCUAUGUAUUCACACAUGUACAAAGUUUCCGGUUCGUACAAUUCUAGCAUGAAUAAUAAACAUUUAUCAUGAAUUGAGGAAAUAAAUAGUAACUUUAUUUUUGCCUCUAGGGCAUAUUUCCUUCAGUCUCCCACUUGCACUAGAGUCAAUAAUCUAGAUUACAUAGUAAUGAUUCUAACACCCAUGGAGCUUUGGUGCUGAUCAUGUUUUGCUCGUGAGAGAGGCUUAGUCAACAGGUAUGCAACAUUCAGAUCCGUGUGUAUCUUGCAAAUCUCUAUGUCCCCUUCUGACACUUGAUGACGGAUGGAAUUGAAGCGUCUCUUGAUGUGCUUGGUUCUCUUGUGAAAUCUGGAUUCCUUUGCCAAGGCAAUUGCACCAAUACUGUCACAAAAGAUUUUCAUUGGACCCGAUGCACUAGGUAUGACACCUAGAUCGGAUAUGAACUCCUUCAUCCAAACUCCUUCAUUCGCUGCUUCUGAAGCAGCAAUGUACUCCGCUUCACACGUAGAUCCCUCCACGAUGAUCUGCUUCGAACUGCACCAACUAACAGCUCCUCCAUUCAAUAAAAAUAUGUAUCUGGUUUGCAACUUAGAGUCAUCUGGAUCAGUGUCAAAGCUUGCAUCGACGUAACCGUUUACGACGAGCUCUUUUUCACCUCCAUAAACAAGAAAUAUAUCCUUAGUCCUUUUGAGGUAUUUCAGGAUGUUCUUGACCGUUGUCUAGUGCUCCACUCCGGGAUUACUUUGGUACCUCCCUGAUAUGCUUAUAGCAAGACAUACAUCAGGUCUAGUACACAACAUUGCAUACAUGAUAGAACCUAUGGCUGAAGCAUAGGGAAUGACUUUCACAUUCUCUCUAUCUCUUGCGGUGGUUGGGCCUUGAGUCUAACUCAAUUUCACACCUUGUAACACAAGCAAGAACCCUUUCUUUGAUUGAUCCCUUUUGAUCUUAUUCAAAACUUUAUCAAUGUAUGUGCUUUGUGAAAGUUCAAUUAAGCGUCUUGAUCUAUCUCUAUAGAUCUUGAUGCCCAAUAUGUAAGCAGCUUCUCCAAGGUCUUUCAUAGAAAAACUAUUAUUCAAGUAUCCCUUUAUGCUAUCUAGAAAUUCUAUAUCAUUUCCAAUCAACAAUAUGUCAUCUACAUAUAAGAUUAUAAAUGCUACAGAGCUCCCACUCACUUUCUUGUAAAUACAAGCUUCUCCAAAAGUCUGUAUAAAACCAUAUGAUUUGAUCACACUAUCAAAACGUUUAUUCCAACUCCGAGAGGCUUGCAUCAGUCCAUAAAUGGAUCGCUGGAGCUUGCACACUUUGUUAGCACCCUUUGGAUCGACAAAACCUUCCGGUUGCAUCAUAUACAACUCUUCUUCCAGAAAUCCAUUCAGGAAUGUUGUUUUGACAUCCAUUUGCCAAAUUUCAUAAUCAUAAAAUGCAGCAAUUGCUAACAUGAUUCAGAAAGACUUAGGCAUCGCUACGGGUGAGAAAGUCUCAUUGUAGUCAACUCCUUGAACUUGUCGAAAACCUUUCGCAACAAGUCGAGCUUUGUAAACAGUAACAUUACCGUCUGCGUCGGUCUUCUUCUUAAAGAUCCAUUUAUUUUCUAUGUCUUGCCGAUCAUUGGGCAAGUCCACCAAAGUCCACACUUUGUUCUCAUACAUGGAUCCCAUCUCAAAUUUCAUGGCCUCAAGCCAUUUCGCGGAAUCUGGGAUCAUCAUCGCUUCCUCAUAGUGCGUAGGUUCAUCAUGGUCUAGUAACAUGACUUCUAGAACAGGAUUACCAUACCACUCUGGUGUGGAUCUUACUCUGGAAGACCUACGAGGUUCGGUAGUAACUUGAUCUGAAGCUUCAUGAUCAUCAUCAUUAGCUUCCUCACUAAUUGGUGUAGGAAUCACUGGAACUGAUUUUUGUGAUGAACUACUUCCCAAUAAGGGAGAAGGUACAGUUACCUCAUCAAGUUCUACUUUCCUCCCACUCACUUCUUUCGAGAGAAACUCCUUCCCUAGAAAGGAUCUAUUCUUAGCAACAAAGAUUUUGCCUUCAGAUCUGUGAUAGAAGGUGUACCCAACAGUUUCCUUUGGGUAUCCUAUGAAGGCGCACUUCUCCAAUUUGGGUUCGAGCUUAUCAAGUUGAAGUUUUUUCACAUAAGCAUCACAUCCCCAAACUUUAAGAAACGACAACUUUGGUUUCUUGCCAAACCACAGUUCAUAAGGCGUCAUCUCAACGGAUUUUGAUGGUUCCCUAUUUAAAGUGAAUGCAGCCGUCUCUAGAGCAAAACCCCAAAACGAUAGCGGUAAAUCAAUAAGAGACAUCAUAGAUCGCACCAUAUCUUAUAAAGUACGGUUAUGACGUUCGGACACACCAUUUCGCUGUGGUGUUCCAGGUGGUGUUAAUUGUGAAACUAUCCCAUGUUGUUUCAAAUGAAGACCAAAUUGGUAACUCAAAUAUUCUCCUCCACGAUCAGAUUGUAGAAACUUUAUUUUCUUGUUAUGAUGAUUUUCCACUUCAAUAUGAAAUUCUUUGAACUUUUCAAAUGUUUCGGACUUAUGCUUCAUUAAGUAGAUAUAACCAUAUCUGCUCAAAUCAUCUGUGAAGGUAAGAAAAUAACGAUACCCACCACGAGCAUAAACACUCAUUGGACCACAUACAUUGGUAUGUAUUAUUUCCAAUAAGUCAAUAGCUCGUUCCAUUGUUCCGGAGAACGGAGUUUUAGUCAUCUUGCCCAUAAGGCACGGUUCGCAAGCACCAAGUGAUUCAUAAUCAAGUGAUUCCAAAAGUCCAUCAGUAUGGAGUUUCUUCAUGCGCUUUACACCGAUAUGACCCAAACAACAGUGCCACAAAUAAGUUGCACUAUCAUUAUUAAACUUCAAUCUUUUGGCUUCAACACUAUGAAUAUGUGUAUCACUACUAUCGAGAUUCAAUAAAAGUAGACCACUCAGCAAGGGUGCGUGACCAUAAAAGAUACUACUCAUAUAAAUAGAACAACCAUUAUUCUCUGAUUUAAAUGAAUAACCGUCUCGCAUCAAACAAGAUCCAGAUAUAAUGUUCAUGCUCAACACUGGCACCAAAUAACAAUUAUUCACCUCUAAAACUAAUCCUGAAGGUAGAUGUAGAGGUAGCAUGCCGACCGCGAUCACAUCGAAUUUGGAACCAUUUCCCAUGUGCAUCGUCACCUCGUCCUUAGCCAAUCUUCGCUUAAUCCGUAGCCCCUGUUUCAAGUUGCAAAUAUGAGCAACAGAACCAAUAUCAAAUACCCAGGCGCUACUGCGAGCAUUAGUUAAGUACACAUCAAUAACAUGUAUAUCAAAUAUACCUUUCACUUUGCCAUCCUUUCUAUCCGCCAAAUACUUGGGGCAGUUCCACUUCCAGUGACCAGUCCCUUUGAAGUAGAAGCACUCAGUUUCAGGCUUAGGUCCAGACUUGGGUUUCUUCUCUUGAGCAGCAACCUUUUUGCCAUUCUUCUUGAAGUUCCCUUUCUUCCCUUUGCCCUUUUUCUUGAAACUAGUGGUCUUAUUGACCAUCAACACUUGAUGCUCCUUUUUUAUUUCUACCGCAGCUUUUAGCAUUGCGAAGAGCUCGGGAAUCGUCUUGUUCAUCCCUUGCAUAUUAUAGUUCAUCACGAAGUUUUUGUAGCUUGGUGGCAGUGAUUAAAGAACUCUGUCAAUGACACUAUCAUCAGGAAGAUUAACUCCCAGUUGAGUCAAGUGGUUGUGGUACCCAGACAUUCUGAGUAUGUGUUCACUGACAGAAAUAUUCUCCUGCAUUUUACAGCUGUAGAACUUAUUGGAGACUUCAUAUCUCUCAAUCCGGGCAUUUGCUUGAAAUAUUAACCACAACUCCUGGAAUAUUUCAUAUGCCCCAUGACGUUCAAAAUGUCGUUGAAGUCCCGGUUCUAAGCCGUAAAGCAUGGCACACUGAACUAUCGAGUAGUGAUCAACACACGUCUGCCAGGCAUUCACAAUGUCUACAGUCGCGGGCAGGGGUGGUACACCUAACGGUGCUUCCAGGACGUAAUUCUUCUGUGCAGCAAUGAGGAUAAUCCUCAAGUUACGGACCCAGUCCGUGUAGUUGCUGCCAUCAUCUUUCAACUUAGCUUUCUCUAGGAAUGCAUUAAAAUUCAAAGGAACGGUACCAUGGGCCAUUGAUCUACAACAACAUAGACAUGCAAAAUACUAUCAGGUACUAAGUUCAUGAUAAAUUAAAGUUCAAUUAAUCAUAUUACUUAAAAACUCCCACUUAGAUAGACAUCCCUCUAAUCUUCUAAGUGAUCACGUGAUCCAAAUGAACUAAACCAUGUCCGAUCAUCACGUGAGAUGGAGUAGUUUUCAAUGGUGAACAUCACUAUGUUGAUCAUAUCUACUAUAUGAUUCACGCUCGACCUUUCGGUCUCAGUGUUCCGCGGCCAUAUCUGCAUAUGCUAGGCUCGUCAAGUUUAACCCGAGUAUUCUGCGUGUGCAAAACUGGCUUGCACCCGUUAUAUGUGAACGUAGAGCUUAUCACACCCGAUCAUCAUGUGGUGUCUCGGCAUGACGAACUGUAGUGACGGUGCAUACUCAGGGAGAACACUUGUACCUUGAAAUUUAGUAAGGGAUCAUCUUAUAAUGCUACCGACGUUCUAAGCGAAAUAAGAUGCAUAAAGGAUAAACAUCACAUGCAAUCAAAAUAUGUGACAUGAUAUGGCCAUGAUCAUCUUGUGCUCAUGAUCUCCAUCACCGAAGCAUCGUCAUGAUCUCAAACAUCACCGGCGCGACACAUUGAUCUCCAUCGUAGCAUCGUUGUUGUUUCGCCACCUAUUGUUACUACGAAUAUCGCUAUCGCUUAGUGAUAAAGUAAAACAAUUACAUGGCGAUUGCAUUGCAUACAAUAAAAGCAACAACCAUAUGGCUCCUGCCAGUUGCCGAUAACUUUGUUACAAAACAUGAUCAUCUCAUACAACAAUUUAUAUCACAUCAUGCUUGACCAUAUCACAUCACAGCAAGCCCUGCAAAAACAAGUUAGACGUCCUCUACUUUGUUGUUGCAAGUUUUACGUGGCUGCUACAGGCUUCUAGCAAGAACCGUUCUUACCUACGCAUCAAAACCACAACGAUUUUUCGUCAAGUGUGUUAUUUUAACCUUCAACAAGGAUUGGGCGUAGCCACACUCGAUUCAACUAAAGUUGGAGAAACAGACACUCACCAGCCACCUAUGUGCAAAGCACAUCGGUAGAACCAGUCUCGUGUAAGCGUACGUGUAAUGUCGGUCUGAGCCGCUUCAUCCAACAAUAUUGCUGAAUCAAAGUAUGACAUGCUGGUAAGCAGUAUGACUAUUAUUGCCCACAACUCUUUGUGUUCUACUCGUGCAUAUAACAUCUACGCAUAGACCUGGCUCUGAUACCACUAUUGGGGAAUGCGGUAAUUUCAAAAAAAAUCCUACGAUCAUGCAAGAUCUAUCUAGGUGAUGCAUAGCAAUGAGAGGGGAGAGUGUGUCCUUGUACUCGUAGACCGAAAGCGGAAGCGUUUAGUUAACGCGGUUGAUGUAGUCGAACGUCUUCACGAUCCAACUGAUCCAAGCACCGAAUGUACGGCACCUCCGCAUUCAGCACACGUUCAGCUCGAGGACGUCCCUUGUACUCUUGAUCCAGUUGAGGCUGAGGGAGUGUUUCAUCAGCACGACGGUGUGGUGACGGUGAUGAUGAAGUUACCAGCGCAGGGCUUCGCCUAAGCACUACGACGAUAUGACCGAGGUGUGUAACUGUGGAGGGGGGCAUCGCACACGGCUAAACAAUGUCAACUUGUGUGUCUAUGGGGUGCCCCCCUCCCCCGUAUAUAAAGGAGUGGAGGAGGGGGGAGCGCCGGCCCUCUAUGGCGCGCCCUGGAGGAGUCCUACUCCCACUAGGAGUAGGAUCCCCCCCCCCUUUCCCUAGUUGGACUAGGAGAGGAAGGAAGGGGAAGGAAGGAGGAAGGAAAGGGGGUCGUCCCCCCACCCAAUUCGGAUUGGGCUGGGAGGGGCGCCCCAUCCUAGGCUCCCUUCUCCUCUCUCCCACUAUGGCCCAAUAAGGCCCAUAUACUUCCCGGGGGGUUCCGUUAACCUCCCGGUACUCCGAUAUAUGCCCGAACUCACCCGGAACCGUUCCGAUGUCCAAACAUAGGCUUCCAAUAUAUCGAUCUUUAUGUCUCGACCAUUUCCAGACUCCUCGUCAUGUCCGUGAUCACAUCCGGGACUCCGAACUACCUUCGGUACAUCAAAACACAUAAACUCAUAAUACCAAUCAUCAUCGAACGUUAAGCGUGCAGACCCUACGGGUUCGAGAACUAUGUAGACAUGACCGAGACACAUCUCCGGUCAAUAACCAAUAGCGGAACCUGGAUGCUCAUAUUGGUUCCUACAUAUUCUACGGAUAUCUUUAUCGGUCAAACCGCAUAACAACAUACGUUGUUCCCUUUGUCAUCGGUAUGUUACUUGCCCGAGAUUCAGUCGUCCGUAUCUCAAUACCUAGUUCAAUCUCGUUACUAGCAAGUCUCUUUACUCAUUCCAUAAUAAUUCAUCAUGCAACUAACUCAUUAGUUACAAUGCUUGCAAGGCUUAUGAUGAGUAUUACCGAGAGGGCCCAGAGAUACCUCUCCGAAACACGGAGUGACAAAUCCUAAUCUCGAUCUAUGCCAACCCAACAAACACCUUCGGAGACACCUGUAGAGCACCUUUAUAAUCACCCUUUCAUGUUGUGACGUUUAGUAGCACACAAAGUGUUCCUCCGGCAUUCGGGAGUUGCAUAAUCUCAUAGUCCGAGGAACUUGUAUAAGUCAUGAAGAAAGCAGUAGCAAUAAAACUAACACUAUCAUAAUGCUAAGCUAACGGAUGGGUCAUGUCCAUCACAUCAUUCUCCUAAUGAUGUGAUCCCGUUGAUCAAAUGACAACACAUGUCUAUGGUUAGGAAACAUAACCAUCUUUGAUUAACGAGCUAGUCUAGUAGAGGCAUACUAGGGACUAUAUGUUUUGUGUAUGUAUUCACACAUGUAUUAAGUUUCCGGCUAAUACAAUUCUAGCAUGAAUAAUAAAAAUUUAUCAUGAAUUAAGGAAAUAAAUAAUAACUUUAUUAUUGCCUCUAUUGCAUAUUUCCUUCAGAUCAAGGCAAUUUGUGAAGGCUUGCCAGACAUGUGGCACUGCAUAUGUACGUGGCAUAUAGAAAAAAUAUGAAGAUUCAAGUCAUAAGUCCUUGAAGGAGUUACGAACUCUUUUGUACUACAGCACGUCCACAACCAUGUUUGAGAAGAUAUGGCACGCGUUUUCCAAAAGAUGGCAGUCGGAAAAAAUGGUAACAUGGUUGAGAUGGAUGUAUAAGAAGAGGAGACUGUGGGUCGCAACUUAUCUGACAGAGGGGUCUUGUCUUGGCAUGAAAAGCAACCAGAGGAGUGAAAGUCUAAACUCAUGCCUUUACCUCCACCUACACGGUGAAAUGACCCUGAUGGAUAUGAUUUUGCACUAUGAGAACGCCGUUGUACGUAUUCGUGAGAACGAGGCGCGAGAUGACUGCACGGCCUCACAGAGUUUACCGGUGCCAGUUACUAGCUCGAGGGAACUUGAGAUAGCUACUUCUCAUGUCUUCACUCCAGCAAACUUCUAUAUGUUGCAAGAUGAUCUUAGAAAAAUUGGCGGCAUGGAGUUUGUAGAAAUAAAGCUCGGAGACGGAUCACAGCAGUACAUCGUGGCCUGGAAGAAUAACCGAAAGAGCCGUUUUUGGGUGGAGUAUACACCAGUAAAUUCCGCAAAAACUAUAAGGUGCAACUGCAGAAGAAUGAUUUGAAAGGGUCUACCUUGCAAGCACAUAUUCCAUGUACUGAAGUACUUGAAUAUAUCUGAAAUACCAAAGAGUUUAGUUCUUGUUCGAUUCACGAAAGAAGCAAGGUUGGGACUGCCCGCGAGGCGCACAAGCGAUCUGUUGGGAUUUGGUUAGACUGGGGCAGGUGAAAGAAUGAAAUAUAUCCAGGUCAGUGUGUUGGCUUCAAAAGCUAUGCAUGCGGCAUGCAAACACCCAGCUUUAUGGGAUCAGUUACAGGAGAGUUUGAAGGUCGUGAUAGCUAAGAUCCAUGCGUAUGAUCAGCUAAAGGAAAAUUUGAGAAGGAAAACGGCUGAUCUCAGUAGAUGUGCAAUUGAAUAUGUAGACAAUGGUGAAGGCAACAUAGUUGAAGUUCAAGAUCCUAUUAAAGUAUCAACGAAAGGUGCAACUAAGUAUGCCACUUUCAUACUAUGAACUCAGAAUCAGGUGCGGCGCUUGCAAAUUGCUAGGGCACACUAAACGCAGCAAGAAAUGCAAACUAAAUAAGAAGUAAGUUUAUGUAUGCAUUGUAGGUUAUAAUUAUUUUUAACUUGUCAUUCAUUAGCUUUUCCUAUCUGUUAUCAUGUGUAGAAACAUGGUGGACGAAGAAGAGUAAAACACUUGCUAGAGUUAUGUACGGAUGAAUCCAGUGAUGUAGUAGUGAGGUGUUUACAAUGUGCUACUGUAUACAUGAUAUAUACUAUUGCAAGAGGCCAGGACCUUGAGAUAGCGCUUGUAGCAUAUAUGGACUAAAUAGGAGGCGGUCACUAAGGACUUUAAUCAUGGAAAAUGGAUAGCAUUUUAGCCUUUGUAAUGAUGGCAUGUUUUGUGUUGUCCACUCGAGUUGUAUUAUCGUAAAAAACUAGAAGAUACCCCGCACGUUGUUGCGGGAAUGUUUUGCAAUAUAUUCAUAGAGAAUUGGUUACGUGGAACAUGUAUAUGUUGUUACGGGAAUUUAUUGAUUGCAUGUUGUGGUGGACCUUUCUCCAUGCAUGUUGAAUGAUGAGGUGGCAUACUUGCAUGUUAAGAGAAAUAGGUUAGUGGGGGCUAGUUAUUUAGAUAUAGAAGAUGUAAUUAUGUGUGGUAAUAAUUAAUUUUUUUCACUCCUUUGGUUUAUUUACCGAAAACCAGCACACUUGGGGUCUAGAGUAUAGACUUGGUACCGAAAAACACACCAUUUUCCCCGUAAAAAAAAAAGAAAAACCCACCAUUUUAUGUUGUUGGUAGGCAGGCAUUUUUUAUUUUUUAUUUAAUUUUUUGCAUAUGUCACAUGUCAAAUUUUGCACACAAGUUUGAAUCAUUCAAUUUUUCUAUUUUAAUUAAAAUAGAAAUUUGACUAAAUUUUAAAAAAAAUUGGACCAAACAUUGCCACCAUGUGAGGAUGCCCAAAGUCAUUUUUUUGACCUCCUCCAAAUCACCUCAAAAAUUGCAAACAUGAUCUCCUACUCAAACAUAGAAAGGUUUCACAAUUUUUUGAUUUUUUUUGAAUUUUUUAUGCCCUGUCCAAUGCCAGUUAGAAACACUCGGCUUCACGGAGCCACUAUAAAUUGUAAAAAAUUAUAAAAAGGAAAUCUUUCAUAUUCUUUCUAUUUAUAUCAUGGAGAUCAUGCCUACAAAAGAAAAUUGAGGUGAUUUGGAAGUGGUGGGAAAAAUCACCUUUGUUCAAAAACUAACUUAAGUUAAGACCAAAUGGUCCCUUCGUAAUGCGGUGAUUUUUUCGACCACCUCUAAAUCACCUCAAUUUUUGCACACAUGAUCUCUUGCACAAACACAGCUAGGUUUCCAAGGUUUCAUAUUUUUUUUGAAUUUAUACUGCCCUCUAGACUGAUUGAUCAAAACAUCGGUCUAUACCUCAAGGGGUCAUUGUAAAAUACUUUUUUUUAAAUUUCUUUUAUAGCCAUGUUUGGCACAUGUAGGUCACCAUGUAAAAGAAAUUUGGGGUGAUUUGGAGGUGGUCAUAAGAAUCACCUUUGUUCAAAAACUGGCUUAAGUUAGACCAAAUGGUCCCUCCGUAAUGCGGUGAUUUUUUCGACCACCUCUAAAUCACCUCAAUUUUUGCACACAUGAUCUCUUGCACAAACAAAACUAGGUUUCCAAGGUUUCAUAUUUUUUUGAUUUUGUUUUGAAUUUAUACUGCCCUCUAGACUGACUGAUCAAAACAUCGGUCUAUACCUGAAGGGGGCAUUGUAAAAUAGUUUUUUUUAAUUUUCUUUCAUAGCCAUGUUUGGCACAUGUAGGUCACCAUGAAAAUUUGUCAUAUUUCAAUAUUUUAUGUUAUUUUUAAAAUAGAAAAUUGAAUGAUGCAAAUUUAUGAAAACCACAACUCCAUGUAAUUAAGUUUGCAACCUAUGUAAAUAAGACAAGUGUACUUUAUAACAAAAUAGUAGUAAUUGAUUUGGGAUGAAGUAACAUGUGACAGAUGGAAAAUAAUAGUAAUUAAUUUGGGAUGAAAAAUAUGUGACAGAUGGGAAAAAUAUGCGCCCUUACUAGCAGUAGAUUUCAACACAGAGGGCCUGCAUAUGACUAGAAACCCAUCAUUUUUGGGCCAGGAUACAUGCCCGUCAUGCACGAACUUCUACUGCUAGUAGGGCCCACAAGGCAGAGAGGUAUCAAUCAGAUGUUGUUUGGGUGAGAGAGGCUUGUGCUAAGCUACUGGCAGCCGAGUAUAUAAGCUGGUGCGACCACCUCUUGCUUGGCGAGGUGGGACUAAACUCUCACCACCGGAUGCUCUGCCCUAGUGCGCCCAUGCGAUAGGCCAGAUUAGAUGGGCUUUCACAGGCCGGCCUAACCCGCGUGUUGGACCAUGCGUGGGUAUAGAUGGCUAGGAUGGCCCAUGGUUUUCCUUUUGUUUACAUAAAAUUUACCUGACCCCUCAAAAAAUAACAUAUAAAUUACCUACUUUUUAAUUACUCCCUAUGAAUUCAAAAGGUAUUUUUAUCGAACACAACUUUUUAAAUAUUUAUAUUUUCUUUUCUUAUAAAUAAGUGACAUUUUCAAAAUUCUAAUAAGUAGGAUAAUAUAACUUUAUUAAAAAAUAUAGUACAUCUUAUUUCAAAUUCUUUUUUGGCACACACAAUUUUUAUCUAGUAUUACAUUACUCUUCUAGAUUUACAUUUUAUUUCCUUCACACUUUGAUGAUGGAAUAUUUGCUCUGUUAUUGCAAGAGUUGUUGAAAUGAUGGAAUAUUUGAUCUUUUUGCUUAUUCAAAUGAUGCAUUGAUGGAAUGUGUGAGGAUGAAGAAUUAUCAAUAACUUUACUAAACCCCAUGUACCAUAAUUCAUGACACAGCUAAUUUGGAACAUUGGCAGAUUCUUAAUUUGGUAGGAUUUGCACAUGGGCACAACAUGUUGCACUUGCCCACAGCAUGGAUAAGUGUUGCAGCAUGUGUGAAGCAACACUGAAGCAGCAUUUGUGAUCAUUGCACCAUCGGAACUCGUAAACUACACAUUGAAACAACAUCUAAACAGAAGGUAGCAUUCACCACAAAUAAAUUUAAGGCCACACAAAUAUAGAUAGCAUUCUAGAUUACCACCACAAGUACCAUCCAGUUCACAACAGAUCCAGUUCAGACACAUACUACGUUACAUUAAUAUAUAUACUAGAUUAGUAGAGCUAGUUCCCAAUAGUGCACACCCAGAUGCAGCUUUCCAAAAGUAAAACAUCAUCAAAUCUACUGAUGAUGAGUAGGGCUUCCAGCUUCUGAUGACCGGCAUGAUGUAGGGCAACUACACUGGAUACAAGACCUUCGCAAGGGCAGCAUGCUGCGCCCUGAUCUUAGGGUCGUCCCUGCUGACCGAUGAAGCCUGUGCAUGAUCCAAAAGAUGCUCAUAGAGCCCAUCCUUGGGCUUUGGCUUCAUGCAGUAGGGGCAUAUGAACUUCUUCCCCUUGUAGUAGCAAGAAAGACCCUUGUCCCUGAUCUUCUGCACCUCCUUCUCUAUGGAUGAUUCGAUGUUGGUGUGGUCCACCUCAUCUCCAGAUUCAUAAUGCACACAUGAAUGAAUUCCAUUAUUACUUAUAUAAAACUAGUGCCGAUAAUACAAUAUAGGCUUCAGCCUACCAUACAAUUGUGCUAUAAAUGGACUACUAUAUAUGUAUAGGCCUUCAGCCAUGCAAGCAAAUCACUUAAGGCAUCAGGUUCAUAUACAUGCCAGAGUUGUGGAUGAAGCAAACAUCAUCUGACCUUAAUUACCACAUGUCACCCAACUAGCUAGUUGGUCUUAGUCCUUUGCUUCCUCUACCAUCUGGCAGGACAGAGAAGAUAGAAACCUCACAGGUUCCCAAAUGAAACUAGAUAGCAGAAACACGUCGUAUGGACAGGAUUGUCUAGGUUUUGAGCCCAGCCUCUGUUUACAUCAUAGACUCUAUAGUCUAUAAUUACAUCCAUGAUUACAAAUUUAAGUUAAUGAACCUAUACUUUAAAUACAAAUCUUAAUUUACACUACUAUCUAAGUUUUGAGCCCAGCCUCUAUUUCCAUCUUACAUUCUCAACUCUACAUAAUUACAUCCAUGAUUUGAAAUUUAUACCUAAUAAACCUAUAUUGUAAAAUAAAACUCUUAAUUUACAUUAGUGUCUAAGUUUUGAGCCCACCCUCUGUUUCCAUCAUAUAUUCUCCACUGUAUAUGACAACAUGUCAUAUGAACUAAAUGAACAAUCUAAAUUUUCAGGGUGGGCUUACCUCAAAGACUUCGUCGUCGCCAUAGCCUUCGGCAUAUGGGUCUUUGAAGUCAGUCAUGUCCAGCUUCCUCUUCUUCUCCGCAGAACCAUCCACCUCACUAUAAAAUUACACUCAUUAGUACUAGUUACACAAGCCAACUGCAAAUUUUAAUAUGCACACAUGACACAUUGAUCAACCUAUCCUAACUAUGAUCAUACUUGCAUUUUCCAUUUCCAUGCACACAAUCUGAACAACAUAGCUAAUAUAACUGCAUAUUCUGGAAAACUUUCUAAUUACAGGAAACCUGCAUAAAAGAAUAAUUUAAAUGUACCUAAGCAUUUUUUGGGAUAAUGCAGCAAAGCUCCUACAUAUAUUAACAUAAUGCAGUAGUUACUUAGAUACCACUUCAACUAUAAAUGCAUACAUCUCCAGCUAACAUCUAAAAUUGCAUUACUUACCUAAACAACAAAAAGUUAUACUAUAGAUGAAUCAAGUAUCAUCUAAAUCAAUUCAUAGGCACAUCAAAAUUAAUGCAUUCCAUUUGGGCAUAUGACAUACAAAACUCCAAUCUGUGCAACAUUGAACCACAGAUCUAAUAUAAUAAUCAUAUAUGUUUGCAGCAUUGAACCACAGAUCUAAUAAUGAUAUUUGGUCUAUCUGUUCUUAAAUUCCCUCAUAAAUAAGGUGUUAAACCUCAUACUAACUAAAAUCUAAGAAGCAAAAUUUCAACUACUAAUCUAAUAAGCAUCUGAAAAAAACCAUCCCUCAAUCCGACUACUUCUAACCUAAUCUAAUAAUCAUAUGUGCUCCACCAUUCUUGCCAGAAUCAUAUACAGAAAUGAGAAAACCCUAAUGCUGAGAAAACCCUCCAUCCAACUAAUCUAACCCAAGAAACUUUUGGCCAAACCCUAGAAUCUAAAAACUACAACGAAAAUGGAUAAUGAAUUACCUUCUGCUCCACCUGCUCCUCGCUAGAGCCGGCGUCCACCUUCUCCACCUUGUGCGCCUCGCUAGAGCACGCCUCCACCUUCUCCACCUUUUGCGCCUCGCCGGAGCUCGCCAGAGCGGGCGCAUCUGGCUGGACUGCGCCGCUCCUGCCCGCCUCCACCUUCUCCAGAUCUGCAGCAUCUGCUGCACCGCCUUGGACGCCGGCACCUCCCUUCACCGCUGCGGGCGCCGCGACCUGCUACACCUGCGCCACCAGAUUUGCGCCCCAAUCGGGGCGCUCGCUUCCUGCGUCCUCCAUGGUGAUGGAGGUGAUGGAGAGGAUGCGGUGGGGGAGAGGGAGACAACAAGGCGGACGAGGAGAGGGAGAGGAGAGGGAGACGAUGCGGCGGGGGAAAUGGUGGGCGAUGCGGCCGGAGGUGGUUCCCCUCCUCAUUUAUAUGAUGGGACAGUUUUGACAUGUUCCCAUGGACACGUGCUGCCCCACGCGCGGGCGGUUGCAUGCGAAAACGAAACACCCGGGCGUAUACGAAUACGACCAUACGGUCGGGCAUAUGAACUAAUCGGGUCGUACGGGCCCCACAGGACUCCUCGACAGCUAUACACACGGGCAAAAAAGACGAUCGUGCCCCUCGUUUCGAACCGUUUUUGGUUAAUCCUGGCUGUCCUUGUGUUUCUCCCCCUUGCGUUCAGCCCAGGGGGGGUGCACCGGAGCAGAAACGAGUGUUCACUAGUUUGGCUAAAAAGAAUAGUCUCAAUGCCAUAUACAAUAAGAACUCACACUCAAGGAUGUCAUCUACCAUCUCGUCGGCGUCGGAGACAUGGAAAAGAUGGCACAUGAGCACGAGAAGGCAAGGGAAGCUACGCGAAGGGGCUCUCUCUAGGUCAGAGGAGCCGUGGGAGGCGAUGCGGACGACCAUAGGACCUCCUCGCCGACAAACCGAGCCAUGACUAGGGUUCACCGUGGGGCAUGUUCGGAGGUGGAAGUCAGCAUGAUGACAUGGAGUCGUAGUGGCGGGUCCCGUUCGGUAGUUGGCAGUGCUGAUUAAUAGUUUGAAAGUGCAUCCCCAAGAUACCCUAUUGGUUUCGAUGAUUUAUGACAAAACCAUUUUAGAGGACUAAUGAUUUCAAUAAGCUUGUUUUAGAGACUAUGACUAAUUUUCGUAUGCCGUCCUUGAUAGGUGGAACAUCAAUGAUGAUGUUACUGUUACAUUUUUCGUUCAAACAAGUUACAGGGAGCUACCACAUUGCCACCUCAAAAGAAGUAAUACUGGUUCCUAGCUAGUAGCCACACACAUGGAGCGACUCACGCAGCUCCAACCAAUUAAAGUUUCGUGAAUCUUCCAUGGCUAUUCAUUUGGCCUCGCUCGACGUCACCCGGCUCUGGUGACCACUUAUGUCCCGGAUGGAUGUCGCCGGCCACACGCCCCUCGAAGACGACGAGAUGAGCAGCGUGUGAUCCUCGUCGCCCCGCCCAUCCAAGCGAAGAUAAGACGCCCACUCCCUUCCCUCCACAUGGCACCCGCCCUCCAAUCCCUUACUUAUUCCCGCCCCCCUCACUCCUCCAUCCCCUAGCUCGCUCGCCUAUCCUCUCCACCUCCUCAGCCACACCUAGAGCAUCUUAGCUCCGGCUAGGUAGCUAGCAAUGGCCGCCGCACUGAGCCUCCGCGCGCCCUUCUCCCUGCGCGCCGUGGCGCCACCGGCGCCCCGCGUGGCCCUCGCGCCCGCGGCCCUCAGCCUCGCCGCCGCCAAGCAGGUGCGGGGAGCCAGGCUCCGCGCCCAGGCGACGUACAAGGUGAAGCUGGUGACGCCCGAGGGCGAGGUGGAGCUGGAGGUCCCCGAUGACGUCUACAUCCUCGACCAGGCCGAGGAGGAGGGGAUCGACCUGCCCUACUCCUGCCGCGCCGGCUCCUGCUCCUCCUGCGCCGGCAAGUUGGUGUCCGGCGAGAUCGACCAGUCCGACCAGAGCUUCCUCGACGACGACCAGAUGGAGGCAGGGUGGGUGCUCACCUGCCACGCCUACCCCAAGUCCGACAUCGUCAUCGAGACCCACAAGGAGGAGGAGCUCACCGCAUAAGCUGCUUUACCUAUCUCUCUUUGCAAGAUAAUAUCACGGACCCUGAGACCUGUGUAAACCCUGAGAGCUGAUUUCAUGCAUGCACGGACAUUG
rnacentral:lncRNA from 1 species